AUAUCUGGAAAUUAAUAAGCUUCCUAAUUAUGGCAAACUCAGAGGCUGGAACCAGCAAUGAUGCUGUACCAGCAUCAGGAAGUGAGUACCAAGUGUUCUUGAGUUUUAGAGGGCCUGACACUCGUCAUGGAUUCACAGACUUCCUCUAUAAUGACUUGUUAGAUGUUGGAGUCCAUGUAUUCAGGGACGAUGAUGAACUUCGCGUUGGCGAGGUAAUUGGUGAGAACCUAUUAAGUGCUAUCAAUAACUCUAUAAUCUACAUACCCAUGUUCUCUCGGACUUAUGCUUCCAGUAAAUGAUGCUUGUGGCAGCUUGCGCAUAUAGUGGACAAUGUUUCUAAAUCAGAAGAUGAAAAGUGUAUCCUUCCCAUUUUUCUUGACGUGGAACCUGACGAUGUUAAACUUAAAACGCCAAUAUAUAGCAAUGCUUUAUUGGAACAUGAGAAGAAGUUUCCUGAUAAACUCGAGGCAUGGAGAGCGGCUCUUGCAGCGGUAGGAAAAAUCAAGGGAUGGAACGUGACAUCAAGGUGAGAUCCCUGCUUAUUUCUUCUUCUGUUCACUUUUUUUUUUUUUGGGGCUGUUUUGGAGGAUACAACAUUGGCCUGUCAAAUGAUUUCUUUUAUUCUUUGUUGGUUUUUUAGAGAAUAUAGUGAAAACUACCCCGCACUCAUUCAGCUCUACAUCCUCUGCUUUUAACAUCUUCCCUCAAAUAUUCCCCCGUGGCGUCAAUACCUUCAAUGACAUGGACCUCCAUAUUCGUUUUAACCAUUUUUUCCACUUCACUGUAUCGUAAGACUAGGAAAUAUUCAAGAGCACCCAUUUGCAUUUAUUAUUUGAGAUGAUUACCAAAAUCAAGUUCAGAUUUGGCAUUCAUAUCAGUUUCCAUUUCCUAUUAACAGGAAAAAGACAAAAGAAUAAUAAUUCAGAAACGGCAUCCGGUGCCGGCUUUUUUUAACACAUUUCUUGGUGCUUCUGAAGAAACACCAACCAUACGAGAAAAUUGAGAUUCGAUGAAGAAAAAUCAUGUUUAAAUAUUCAAUAAAAGCAAGAGCAUUUUGAGAUAAAGGAUGACGGGGCUUUCUUGGGGACUCGAGCUCUGUGGAGCUCAUGGAAGGUCCAAAUCGAGGCUGGCAACCUUGAUAUGAGGUCGGCGGCCGCACAGGGGCCUUCGAGGGGUGUAGCCUCGCGAACAGAGGGGUGAGAGAGAGAGAGAGAAGGGACACGCGGCGUAGGGAAUUUUGGAAGUUCGGAAGAGUGAUGAGGAUCCUUUUUGAUAAGAAAGUUAGGGCAACAUGUGCAAUUUCUAAAGAAAACGUAAAAAUUGGGGAUUCGAUUUGCAUAUCGUCAAAAUAAGGAGAUGCGAGUCGAAGUGCGUGGAAAAUGGUUUUAGGGAUCUAUUUUUAUUUCCGUUUUCACCUUUCUUAAGGGUUGUAUCAGGCAAAAUAAAAAGCGGUGAAUUAGUAAUCACCCAUUUAAUCUAAUCCAAAGUAAUAAAAGGUGGAGAUGAAUAAUGGGCCACAUGGCUCGAACAAUGACCUAUUUGAUGAGUUGCAGCCCAACGUGGCAUUGUCGUGGCCGCGCGUCAUUUAUAUCUUGUUUUGGGGGGUCAUCGCAUGGUCUUUAUAUUAACAACUUAAUAUGCUUACUAUAAUUCAUCAAUAACAACACAUAAUUCGGCUGUUCAAUUGAUAAAUUUAGAUCGAACACAUAUUUUAUAUUAACAAACCAACUGUGUGCUUUUAUGCAAUGCGGACGCCCCAUUAGCUUCUCCAAAGUAAAUGAGCUGUUUUGCAAAAUGUUUUAGAGUGGCAAAGCUUUUGUGGUUACGUGUGUGAUCAACAUGCUGCUCUGGAAUUCCGGAUUUUUAACCAAAAGAUGGAGUUAUUGGAUAGCAAACAGACAGGCCUCUCCAUUUUGUUUUAAUAUUGACAAAGAAGUCGACCUUAGAUGGGUUAAUUACGAAUCUAUGAAUUAUGCUUAGGUCUAUGACUAGGUAAGAUGCAUAAGUCAACAAAAAUAUUUUGGGCUUCUUCUCCAGGAUUUUUUUAUUUUUUAUUUUUUGUCAACCAAACUACAAUGCUCAAUGGAUGACGUUGCAUUUGUUUACAUUAUCUCGAGUCAUGAUUCUCCCAUUGUGAUUCCAGAAAUUUUGUCCAGGCCUCUAGGUAAAUGCUAAAAUUUUGCUUAUGCACGAUGUGUAGACACUUGGUAACUGUGGCCAUUGUGUAACUCAAUACUAUUGUCUUUAGAAAAUUAUUUAAUUCAUAUCAAAUGAGUUCUACUAAUUUAGCCUAUAAUUAUUAUUAUUUGUACUUACAUAUCGUUUCGAUGUACUUCAAAUCUUUUCAAGAUAAGAUUUUGACAAUCCCACACAUGGUGCAUGGGUAUGAAAUUAAUCUAGUAACUAAAGAAAGCGCUUUUAUGCCUUGUAGCCAAGCAGUGAUUGUCAAAUUAGUUGUUAAAGAGGUUUUGGAGAAGCUGAAGAUCAAACAAAAAUCAGUGACUGACUAUUUAGUUGGACUUGAUGAUCGGAUAAAAGAGUUGACAAAGUUAUUAGAUGUCAAUAACGAUGAUGAUGUGCUGCUCAUUGGAAUUUAUGGAAUGGGUGGCAUCGGUAAAACAACCAUUGCUAAGGUUGUUUUUAAUCAAUUAUGUUCUCACUUUGGGAAGUGUUGUAGCUUCCUUGAGGGCAUUCGUGAAAAGUUGACUAAGGAGGACAUAGUCCGAUUGCAAAAGAAAUUACUAUUGGACAUUGGUGGUUCUGCAUCUGUAGGAGAAAUCAACGAUAGUGAAGAUGGAAUGAGGAGGAUUGAAGCGACACUAAAAAAUAAGAAGGUCCUAGUGGUUCUGGAUGAUGUUGAUAAGGAAGUGCCCAUUAAGAAUCUAAUAGGAAAUUCGAAAUUAUAUCGAGGAUCUAGGAUCAUCAUUACAACAAGAGAUGUGUCUGUUCUAGAUGUUAAGGGAUUUAAAUGUACUCAACUAUAUGAGAUGCUAGAGAUGGAUGUUGGUCCUGCACUCAGCUUUUUUGUUGGCAUGCCUUUAGUGGAGACUUUCCUUUGGAUUAUUAUUGUCAAUUUUCGAGUGACAUUGUCUCAACUAUGGGAGGGCUUCCAUUAGCUAUAGAAGUGAUAGGUUCAUUGCUCAAUGGGAAACGCCAAGAAAUUUGGGAAGGGACAUUGAAAAAGUUAAGGAAAGUUCCUGCAGAACAAAUUCUAAAGAGAUUAAGGGUUAGCUUUGAUGAUCUAGAAGAACAUCACAAACAAAUUUUUCUCGAUAUAGCGUGCUUCUUUGUCAAUAAAAAUAAAACCGACGCAAUUUACAUGUGGACCGAUUGUGAAUUUUACCGCAAAGAAGGAAUUCAAGUCCUUACCAAUAGGUGCUUGAUUAAGAUAUUGGACAAUGAUAAGUUUUGGAUGCACGAUCAACUUAUAGCACUAGGAAGGCAAAUUGUCCGUGAAGAUAGUCGAAAUGACCCUGGAAAGCAGAGUAGGUUGUGGAUUGCAGAAGAGGCUCUUCGAAUCAUAGGAACCAAAAAGGUAAGUUAGAGACAUCUCAUUUUCAAAUAAAAUUCGUAUAUCCUAGGAUUGGGUUUUUUUUUUUUUUUUUUUGCUUUUGUUUAGGAACUUUAUCAAUAUUUUCCUGCUCAUUUGAGUUGUAAAACAUAGUGGUUGGAAGUUGACAAACUUCUUGGUGUCAUUGCAAAAUUUCACUUGCAGAUGAAGCACAAGGUUCAAGCGCUUGAGAUAUCAACAGAUGAUUGCACCAUAAAGAUUACAAGUUAAAACUUUGAAAGAUUACCAUGCCUAAGAUUCCUCAAUUUAGAUAGGGGAACGCAUUUUGGGAACUUUGCAAAAUACUGUUCAAAGUUGGAAUGGCGUUCAGAGACGAAGUACAAGGUUCAAGCACUUGAGAUAUCAAGAGAUGAUCGCACCAUAGAGAUUACAAGUGAAAACUUUGAAAGAUUACCAAACCUAAGAUACCUCGAUUUAGAUAGGGGAACGUAUGUUGGGGACUUUGCAAAAUGCCGUUCAAAGUUAAAAUGGCUUUCUUGGAGUUAUUCUUUUGUUGUACAAGAUUUGAGGAGGGAUAAUUUGGAUUGACAUUUUAGGGCAAGCAAUUUGUAUUUGGAUGAGCUUGUUGUUUUUAAACUUUACAACAUUAGGUUCAAGGAUUUUUCAAAAGUAUGGGACUUGAUCAAGGUAAAUUACUUGUUUAAAUUCUAGUCUAAUAGCUCCCUUGCGUACAAUAUGAUGGUUCUUACACUCGACAUGUCAUCCAUUUUUACAGAGAGCAUGGAAUUUGAAAGUUCUAUAUAUUCAUAAUUGUCAUGGCAUAACAUCAAUCCCAGACAUCUCAAGAUGUUCAGCUUUAGAGAGAUUGACUCUUCAAUAUUGCUCCAAUCUAAAGAGAAUUGAAAGCUUUAUUGGAGAUCUACAGUUGUUGACUAAGUUAAAGAUCAAAAUGUGCUUGAAGUUUAUGGAUUUGCCGGAAGAAGUGGGGGCAUUGGUGAAUCUCAAGUGUUUCUCCUUGCAAAGUUGUGAAAGUUUGAGAGAACUUCCAAGCUCACUUGGGAAUUUGACCUCAUUGACAAAGUUAGACUUAUCAGGUACUCGCAUUGCCAGACUUCCAAAUUCCAUUGGAAUGUUAAGACUUAAAUAUCUGUAGUUUGAAAGUUGAGAAUUUUUCUUUUGACAGGCACAGAACUUACGGAACUUCCCAACUCCAUUGUACAGUUAAAAUCAUUACAGAUCUUGCGCUUUCCAUUGGGGUCAUCCAAGUACUUAUUUUAUUCAAGUCAUGAUUGGCAAUUACCUAGUGGUAUAAGCAAUUUGGUAAAACUUGAAGAGCUGAAUCUCUCUAGGCGUAAUGGAAUAAAAGGUGAAAUUCCUGUUGGAAUUGGAAAAUUGUCAUCUUUAAAAAUCCUAAAUUUAGAGAGCACCUGUAUUUGCGGGAUUCCAAAGACAAUCAACAAGCUUCAUCAACUCCAAACCCUAAACUUAACUACUUGUCAAAAUAUUCAAGAGUUGCCAAAGCUUCCCACAAGUUUGACCUGUCUACUUCUUCAAUCCAUAUCACUGCUCUCAGUCCCUAAUCUAUCAAACUUACUAAUUUGGUUGACCUGCUACUAAGCGAUAGCUCUUAUUAUACUGGCAAAUCAAACCUAAUCUCAGGAUGCAACUUAAAGUGGAUUGGGAAUUUAUCUAGACUGAAUGGCUAGAGUUACAUCUGCGAAAUGUCUGUGCACCUCAGGUGUUGGCUUCUCUUUCUCAUCUAGAAAAGGUUGUUUUGACACACCUAGACCUGAAACCCCUCAUGCAACUUCCAUCCUCAAACUGGAGUUGGAGAAAUUUGUUGACUUUGAAGAUCGAUUGUUGUGAAGAAUACAUUCCACUCGAGGGAUUUCUACGACUAGAGAAUUUAUAUGUUGUGGGUUGUGCAUGGUUUCAGAGAUUAUCCAUUCCUUUGGAAUUAAGGAAGCUACAGAAAGUAGAUGUCAAUAGUUGUCCAAAGCUAGUUGAGAUACAAUUUGUGGGCCUUUUGAAAUCAUUGGGAAAUUUGUGCAUUCGUUAUUGCAAAUCUCUGACAAGAAUAAGUGGGUUAUCAUACCUAAAGCACUUAAGUGAAUUGAGAAUUGAAAGCUGUGAUGAACUUAUUAAUGUUGAGGGCCUAAACGAGCUAGAGUCUCUGGAAUUCUUGUUGGUUUGUUAUUGUGGGUCAUUGACAAGGUUGAUUGACGCAUCUUGCACAAAAAUACCAGAUGAUUGCACCCUCAAUAUACAGAGUUUUUUAUACACUGUCAAAGAUGCCCAAUUGGGAACGCAUGUGAAGGAUUACAUAGAGGAGAUUCUUUCAAACAAGGUCUGGCAUCUUCUUCGUCAAUGUGUGGAAGUUUUGUUGAAUUCCUUUUUAGUCCAAAUAUUCUCGUUUCUUUGGCCACGUAAUAUUCGCCCUUUAGGAGUUGCCCUUUUUUUUUGGCACCGUAGCUGUUUUAUUUGCGUUGUUUUCCGGUGUUGGAUAUUUGCAGCUCCCAGAGCAAUCUUUCCUCCCCCUUUUGAGGUUCCCAUUUUGUGUUGUGCUUUAAUUACUUAGGCUGCAUUUUUUUUUUCUUUCUUAGUCACUUAUCUUUGCUUGCCUUUUGGUGUUGAAUAGUUUUAUUCUUUAAUAUUGCCAGUAGGCUCAUUUAAUCAUUCUUUAAAUAUUAAUCAUCAAAAUCGCUUUCAUAGAAAAGAAAUUAGAUAAUUGAUCACUAAUUAUAGAUUCCAAAAGCAUCAUAUGAUGUUUUUCAUCUACUACUUUUUAUUAUUAUUUUGCAAUAGGAUGGGAAUUGAAAAGAGCAAUUGAUAAGAAGGAACAAGUAAGAAAGAAGCAUCGUAACCCUUUGUAGUCGCUGGGUUUAAUAAAAAGAAACAAGCUAGAAAUAAAUUAAGAUACUAAUAAGGCAACUCUACACGUAAGGCAAUCUACAAAUAGGAAAUAUAAACAUAAGAAAUAAUACCCAUCAACUCUAGCCUAGUAUUAACGGACUAAAAGUAAAUACAGUACAUCACUAAAUCUAGCAUUCAUGUCCCAAAGACAAUCUUUUGACACCAAUUGUACAAUUUAUUAAGGUACCAAUAAUUUUAUGCAAUAAAGUGCAAAAGACUAUCUAACGUAUGUAUGAAAUUUUAAUUAUUGUACCACCUUAACUACAAUUUGUUAGCAAGAUAACCAUUGUAAGGUACAAAAUAAUCUUAAGAGUAACACUUGUCAAGAUGUGGAUAAAGUAUUUUAAGUAUGUAGACGCGGUAGUUUAUGUGUAUCGGUAGGAAUAAGUCGAGCUAAAUGUUAUAAUAUUCAAAAAGAUAUUUUAAAAAUUUUCUAUUGAUGCCAUUUUGGAAUAAUUAUAGCAAUAUAAAGAAAAUGUUUCAUAAGCGACCUCAUGAUUUAAUGGUUAGUGAGAAAGUUAAUAGUAAAUGUCCCCAGUCAAUAGUGAAUAAAACCGCUACUAGAAAAUUUUAUUUACACUGCCAUUUUAAUUUUCUCAUUUUUUUCCCUUAAAAAAGGGGAUAUGUGAUAAGAUAGUGUUCCUAGGUAGAUAGUUAUCUAACUUAUUCGAUGUUUAAUUUAAAUUUAUAUCACAUAAUUAUAUUUGUGCUGGUUGGAUUUUGGGUAAAUAUGCAAAAAGUUUAGUGUAUAUCCAAUAAAUAUGUUGUUUGGCUCUCCCAUUGAAAUUGUUACAUCACAGGAUUCCUUCACAAUCCGAUUUCACCUUGGAAUAAAGAUGCCUAGUAAAGGGUGGUUUGGGUCUGUUGGUGGAAUAGAGAGAGAAAAGGAAGGUGUCGACCCCGAUUCAUUGACAUAUGAAGGAUUGAUUACUGACAUGAAAAAUUUCGGCUUUUGUUUCAAGAGAAUGUGGCGCGUGAUUCCUCAUUUUUCGCUAAUGGAGAUCAAGAGUGAUGUGGACGUGAAUAGAAUGUUAGGAAGCGCAUCUAGAGGAGGAGAAUUCCUUAUUCAUUUGUUCGUUGAGGGAGGGAUCGACAGUGGGAGGGAGGGAGAAUACAAAGAGGAGAUUAUGGAGAUAUUAAGGGAGGAACGGAGAAUGAAGACUGACAUGCAUUCCGACGAGGACGAGGCUAAGCGAUACAGCUUUUUACCUCUAGAGUUAGACUCUAACUCUGCGCAUAUGGGUGGCGAAAGCGGAACUCACGGCCCAUCCCCCGUUGAUGAUUUCGAGUUGGAGCAAGGCAAUGCUGAAUGUCUUGAGGCUACAACAUCGAUUGCAAAAAAAGAUUUGGACAGUGCUAAAAAACAGGUGGAGCUUCACGAAGAACCUAAAGAUGAGGAGACAACAAUUUCAAAGCGUUGCAGAGAGGACAUUUUUCUAAAUAUGUUAAACAAGGAGCGCCAUAUUCUUCAUCAAUGUGUGGGAUUUUUGUUUAAUUCCUUUUUAGGCCAAAUCUCUUCCAUUCUUUAGCCACACAAAUAUCCACCCUUUUAAAAGUUGCCAUUUUUCUUUUUGUUGCACUGUUAAUUUCUUAGGUGGCUGAUUUAUUUCCUUGCAUUAGUCACUUAUCUCUCUAGUUACCUUUUUGCUGUUGGAUAGUCUUAGUUCUUUAAUACUGCCAGCAAACUAAUAUUAUCUCUCUCUAUAUUACUUCGUCAGAAUUGCUUUCACAAAUAACAUGCUCGAUAAUAGAUCGCAAAUUAUUGAUUUCAAAAACAUUAUAUGAUUUCUUUUUCACUUUUCUUAAAAUUAAUGUCCAAUUCGUAGCUGUACGAAAGGGGAAAAAAAAACACAAGAACUCAUUAGAUUCUACCAAGUGUCGUCCCAUGGGUAGACAAAUCAUGAAGAUAGAUAAUCCGUGGUGUGUGCGUGUCUAUAUAUAUAUAAUGUUAAUUUAUCUCCUAUGAAUUUGUUGUUUUCCUUUGGAGUAAACAUGGAUCAUUUGCUUUGCCUUUUUCUUUAUUACUUGUCACUAUUUAUGCAAUUUAAUAUAGGGUUAAGUCAUUUACUUGAAGAUUAAGCAAUAGCUGUGUUACACGUUUGUUUGCUACUUUGCCGAUGCGUGCGUAGACAGUGGGCUUGAAUAUUGAGUGAGGAUGUAAUUUUUACGUUAAAGUAAAUUAAAGCACAUACUGCUUGAGAAAAUAGUCAUUCAUUGAGUGAAGAUGUAAUUUUUAUACGAGCGAACAUAUUCUUUCACUAAAGAUUGUGACUUAUGAUGAAAAGAGAGACUAAUUAAUUUCGAAGCAUAUUACUUCAGAAUAAGGAAGAAUAAAUUAAGACUUUCAUAAACUGAUUUAAAACAAUGUCUCCCAUGGUUAUGGAUUUUCGAUAUGAAAUAUCGAAAAUGGAACUCCUUUUUAUUUACAAAAUGCAAAAUAAUUAAAUUUAUAUUAGUAUUUUGACUGAAAUAAAUAAUUAACAUUAGAAGAUGGUAGUACAUGAAGUACCAUGUGUGAUUAAAGUGAAAUAAGACGAAGAAUUAAAGUUUACUAAAGUAAUAACAUAAAUCAUAGAAAGAGAAAAGAAAGUGGAUAUAGAUUUUGGCUAAUUACAAUUUUAGUCCUAAAUUUUUUGUAAUGAUUCCGAUAUAGUCCUAAAUCUUCCAAUUGUUCCAAAGUAGAUUUAAAUUUUUGUGUGAAACUUCAAUACAAUUAUCGCGUCCAAUUUCCGCCUAAGAUUGUUGACAUGGAAUAGUUCAAUCAUUGCUGUCCAAGUGGCACGGUUGGUGAUCUAACAUGGAAAAAGUUAAUUGAAAUGUUGCUAUUUUGUUUGGAAGAACAUGUGGUGUAUCACUAAAAAAAAAAAAAAAAAAAAAAAUCAACCAUGCCACAAAAAUCCCCAAAUCAACUCCCCCAAUUCGUUGAAAACCCCAAUUUCCUCAAAUCGAACCCUAGUUUGCCAUCACAAUCCCCAAUUUCCACUCUAUUACGUCGUAGUCCAGAGAAGAGAUUAGCUACCUCAACAUUUUGUAGCAGAAACGAUAAGGAGCGUUCAUGUUACAUGUACAUUAACGUCGACAGUCUUCAGUAUUUUACAAAAAAUCAAAAGAAAAGGGCAAAGAACGGUCUAAAAGUAGAUAUUUCAUUAUGGUCCCUCCAAGAGUGUCGCCAUUAUCAGUUUUAUAAUCUAUUUGCCCUGGGAUACUAUCGCUGGGGCUAGUGAGACAGUGUUGACGUAUAUAAGUAGUGGUUUUGUUUGAAUUUUGGUUUAUACUGGCUUUUUUGGUUCGCUGUGAAAUCUAGUCAUGCCAGCUUAAGAGUACAUCUGCUAAACAGGGCAAGAGGCAGAGAGAUAAUGAUCAUGCAAGCCACGCCAACACCACAACAAAGAACUCAACUCGUGGCCAACAGGGUGGCAUUCCCCAGCAUGUUACAAGAAGGACAACAAGACAAGCAGCAAAAAAACAACCACCGGUUGCAGUAGCAGCACUUCCCAUUGAAGUUGUAGGCGUAUCAAGAAAGAAGAAAAAGAAUAACAGCAAGCAAGCCAAUCCUAUACGAAGAAGUGCCAGGCUUAUGAAAGGCACAACUGGAGGGACAAGUGAUAUCGUACAUCUAAAUCGAUAGUCACCUAGGAUGUUUGACUGGAUUGUGAGAUCAUUGUAGUGUGACUUUUCUUUUUUUGGUGGAUUCUGGGUUCAGUGAACUAGCAUGGUUGGAUUGAUAACAUUCUUAUGACGUAUUGCUUGCAAAUGUGCUGCUUUUAGCAAUUAACACGACUAUCUUUUGUGAUCCCUCUCUUAUUGCAAUCUGCUUUCUCUGUUUCAUUGCUGAAUACACAUCGAUUGAUUAGAUGAUGUCAUACUAGAUUGUCUAUAGAACACUUGUUGUUGCAAGCCCAGUUGUUCGUGCAAAACUACUUUUUUUUUUUAACAGUCCUAGCUCCAUUAUACCAAAAAAUUUGGGCUCAAUCUGUUAUGACAGAGAGGAGCCAACAAGUCACGUGUAUGCAAGUCCAGUGAUAUGUGCAAAAUGCACAUUAAAUUUUAUUUAUGCAAAACAUGUCCACGACUAGAAAACAAGUAUUAGAACAGCUCAUACGUGCAUAAAUACAAAACAAACUCUACUAACAUGUUUCAUGGCGGACUAAAUACAUCCUUCCCUUUAACCUUCCCACACAUGUAAGCUAAAUUAACUGGGGACAGUCAACACGAUCCAUAUUGUCUUCAAUCUGGAUUUGUCUUCCUAUAACUUUGCCCCUUCUUGUUUCAAACACUGUUUGUGUUUGUUCCCUACUUCGGCCCUUUUGCAUACCACUAGCUUUCAAAAACGGGUUUUUCAUUUUAAGAAAAACUGUUGAUUCGAAUAUAAUCAAACGGCACAUCAUACUACAUAAGAAACACUCGAUUAAGAAUGAUAACCGUUGCCUUUCACUAGUCGGACCUCGUUUAUUUGAUUUGGUGCUUUAAAAGGCAAAUCAUGAUGCGGCUUUUGAGCGUCCGCCCUGAUAAGGAAAGUGAUGGGACCAGAAAAAUUUGAUUCACUUCUUGGAUUAAGGAAAGUGCGGAGGAAAUCGGCGGUGCCUCAACAUUGCACCUGCACAGGACUAGCAGCUGCACCUUAUUAAACCAGCAAAUAUGUCAUUAUUACCUAAAAUUUAUUUUGUAAAUGACAAUGUACAAGGUGAAUAAAAUUAAAUAUCGGAAUAAUCUCGCUUUCCUUAUUGCUCGACCUGAGCCUGAUAACAUCUCAACGCAUGAUUGGUUGAUGUGAUAAUAUAUGUGUAAACAAUACUAACAACCUCACUUACUCCAUUUCUCGAGGGAGGGAAAGGAAAAACUCUCUAGUUUUCUGGGGUCUUGCCAUCUGUCACGCUGUGUACUCUCAUAUGAAAUUGAUCGCCUGUUGGAGGAAGAACCAUCCGUGGUUUUUGUCUCUGGCAAGAACCAUCUUUUCAAAUCAGGUUUUGGCCGUCAACAAUCAGAAACCUCUCGAUCCCUUUCACAACCUACUCCUCUUUUAGUCCACCGUUCGUUCGUCAUCACUUCCUCUUCGGAGUGACCUCUGUUUCUUCAGGCAGCAGAAGAGGCUGAGGGACGGCCUCCAUUGCAAGACUGAUAUCAGUUGUGCUAGCGUUUGCCAGACAAUCAUACAAUGGACUUAACAGUUGCGAAUUCGCAAAUGCAAUUAGUACAGAAGAUAUACAGCUAAAACCAUCAGUAGAGUCGAGCACGAAGGCUUAAACAAGCUCUCUGUAGCUUGCAAAAUCAUGUGAUCUCAUGUUCUAUGCCCGAACAUGACUCCCGUAGCUCUCCUUCAAGCUCAUACUUCGGUCGCACUGUUGCCUUCGAAUACUUCGUCAGAGAUUCUGAUUCUUUCUGCUUUCACCAAUACUCAUUUAUGUUACGGCACAAAACCAAAUAUGACCUGUGGUGCGGAAUUUGAUUAAUCCCGGUGCUCCAUGUUUUGGCAUUAUGGAGAGAGUGACGAGGUUCGGUGAACACUAGGUGUUUGUGAAAAUUCCUUGGUGAAGUAUGGAGGUGAAUACCAGCAUAGUGGUCAGCCUACAUGGUGCCAACUACAGAACAUGGAAAGGCAAGAUACUUGAUUUGCUUUAUCGCAAGGAAGUGCACGGUCCCAUAGAGUGACGAGGCCAAGCUUAAUUCCACUGACCAACAAUGGCGGGCUUUGGCAACCCUGUUUGCAGGAGAAUUGGCCUCGCUCGCGGGAGUGAUGAAUAAUUUCGGUGGACAUCAGAUUGGUCAGCAGCAUCUCGCAAUCAAGUACAGAAGAGCUCAGGUGGUCAACGCCAUAUCAAGUUGAAAUGUUCGGAAGAUGGACAGAGAUGACGGACAUGAUGCGAUUAGCAAUCUGCCAGACUCGGUGCUCCUCCAUAUUCUGUCCUUCCUGCCCAUGAGAGACGCCGUGAGGACAGUGAUGGUCCCAGGGUUCCGUUACCUCUAGACUUCUACCUGCCACUUAUCUUUCGAUCACUGUGCUUACCACAACUGCAAGGAGAGGAAGACUACUUUUAGAAUCGAUGAGAGAUUCGUGAAUUUUACCGACUGUGCGUUAACUCUGCACGAGAACCCCACAAUUGAGUUGUUCAGUCUUAAUAUAAACUAUGCGGCUGAGGUGGACCCCUAUGAUCCUCAAUAUGAGGGUGGUAUGACCGAAGAGACAAGAAGGUCAGACAAAAUCGAUACAUGGAUUCGUUUUGCAGCGAAUAGAGAGGUUAAGUUCCUCGGUUUGGACUUCCUAGGGUGUGCUAGGGAGUUCACACAUAAUCUUUACAGGUUGCCCUGCAUUGUUCUUGGGUGUAACAGCUUAGUAGAGCUGAAGCUGGCUUCCUGUGAGGUUGGACCAGUGGCCGGACGGGUCCAACUAAGGUCGCUUAGAAAAUUGUUUAUGAAGAAAAUUCACUUAACUGACAAAAAGUUGGCUGAAAUACUAUCUCGUAGUCCAUUGCUAAAAGAAUUGUCUCUUGAAUAUUGCUAUGGCUUUUGCAAUCCCAUUUCUGUAGUGCCCCAUCUAUUGAAGAGUUAAAUUUGGAGGGAUGCAGUGAUUUGAAGAAGCUUGAUCUUACCCGAUCAGAUAUAAAACAUUUAACCAUUUAUUUCUAUGGAGAUCUGGAGCUAGUUUGUCCUAAUGUAAAGAUUCUGAAUAUUGCUGGGUAUAUAAGGUAUAUCAAGGUGACUGAUAUGUCAUCACUGGUUGAUACGUCCUUCUGCUACCAUGAUUAUUUUAGCUAUCCAUAUGAGGAAUAUUGUGAGUCCAGACUGCUUCUGGAAAAGCUCAGCUGCAGUCCUUAUUUAUGCCAUGUGAUUCAUGUACACUGGUAUGGUUACCCAGCUGUUGCUCUGGCCUAAUUUGUCUUGGCUUUGAGGCACUUUUGAAUGAUUUGGGUUCUGAUCCUUCAUGUAAGGAGUAUUACUAUUUGUUUGAUAGAAUAUUCUCACAUUUCAACUGUCCUAAAAUUUGUAGAAUAGAAGUUGGGUGAACAGAUUUUGAACGGGUCUUAUUUGAAAUGGACAGUGGCUGUGCUGUUUCUAUGCUUCAGCUUCUUUGUCCUACUGCUUUUUUUUAUGCUUCAGUUCAUGAGGUAAUGUCCUAGAUGAAGAGUAAAAGAAAAUAUUAUUUACUUAGGCUGGGUUCUUUUAUUUAUGCCCACCUAAACUUUUAUACAGCAGCCUUCCUUGCAUCUGCUGGCCUAUGAACUUUGAGUAACUGUAAACUUUUAUCCAUAACCUAUUCAUGUAACCAAAAACUACAGCUUGUUAGGUGUCUGUCUUCCUUGUGUCCUUCUUUGCUUUGUGCUAUUUUGUGGACGAUAUUGUUUUUCACUUCUUACGUGACAUUUGUUACCAUUUUAAAUGUGUAUGUACAUGCUCUUGUGAUUUGCCUUUCUAAAUAUUCUAAAUUGUCUCAUUAAAAAUUUCCUGACAAGACUGAUUUUUUUUUUUUUUUUGGGUCAAGUACAAGAUCUGAAUUGAAUGGUAUCAUAUAAUUUCAUUUCAGUCAGUCCAUACAUACACAUGCUCUUGAGUGCCCACAAUGUAUGUCUGAUACUAAUUUUCAUUCAAAAUCGGUCCAAGUAAUUCUUUUUAAACCUGGUAUUGACUAAAUGGGAACAGACAAAUCAGCCAUGCCCAUCUUUCGCCUGGAAGUAUGUGACACUUCUACUGCGUCUGAAAAAGUGGUACCUCCCUGACAUUUCUAGCUUGUUGAAGAACUCUCAUUUUCUUGAGACACUCACUAUCUAUGUUUAUCCUGGAAGAGAUGAAGAUGAAUCUGAGGUAUAAAUGCUUGAACUGUAACAUUUUGUUGGCAGAUUAGAAUUUGGAAUUAAUGGACAUUGCAAAGUUGCCUUAAAUUUCUAGCUUGCCAAAGCAGGGUUGCAGCUUGCAUUUGAGUUCAAUGGCUUUAGUUACUGAAGUUCAGUGGUCGACACAUUUCCCUGCCUCAAGCACCAUUUAAGCAUGUUAAGAUAUAUGGUUAUGUACUGGAGCCUGAUGUCAUUGAGCUCAUUGAAUUUCUACUUAAGAAUGCACAGGUCCUGGAGAAGAUGGAGAUUUCUACCAAGAAGACUCUGCAGCAUGUUGGGGGGGUGGGGGAACCGGUCCAACUUUGUAUUUUCUUUAUCGCCUCCUGUUUCCGAGGAGACUUUUCAUAGUAACAUGUCCAUCAACUAUCAAUUGGAGUCAGAGUGCUUCUCAAGAAGCUGAGUAGUGUGCGAUUUACGCCAUACACUUGGUGUAUACUGGUAUGGUUUCUCUGCUAUUGCUUUAACUGCAUUUAUCUUGCUUUUGAGGGACUUCAAAAUGAUUCAAUUAGUACUCCUUGACCAAGAAGUAAUACUCUUUUUUUGACUGAUUUUUCUCAGAGGAUUUUGAAACUGGGUAAAAUGUUCCAUCUAUUUUGGUCUCUUCAUUCUUGUUGUCCUGAGAGUAUCAAUUGAUGAGGUAAUAUUGAAGAGGUACUAAGGAAAAACUGUUCACUUACACCAAGCAUCUGUUUUACUCAUCCUGCCCUUAAACUUGUCAUUGCAUGCUCCCCCCCUCAUGCAACUCAGACAUUGUCGAGGUUUUUUUGUGUUUGUUUUUUGCAUUGUCAUGAACAUGUCUUCUUUUGGCUAGCAUUUCAUAUUUUGUGGUCUUGUUCGUUAAUAUAUUCUGUCAUUUGCAGCCAUUCAAAACAGUACGAGAUUGGCUCUCUUGAAUUAUUUUGUAAUGUUCCAAAUGCGUAGUUUAAUUUGGUGGCUUAAUUGUAGCGAAGAUUAGGAAGAAACUGUACAAUCUAGAUCUUCCUUCACUAAUACGCUUUAAGGCAUGUUCAUUGCUUUGUUCCAGUGGUGUAAUUUCACUCUCACUUGCAAAAUUCUUAAUCUGCCACAUCCCUUCCCUCUAGAUUAACCAAAAUCAAACAUGCUAAAAGUUGAUUUCAAGUUGAUGCUUUUGACUGGUCAAAAAUAUAUAAAACAAUGUUGUUGAAGCCAGUUUAUGUUCUCACGGUCCUAAUUAAGUUGAAGUGACCGACUUCCUGUCCUAUCAAUCUAAAUAAUUCUUUCUUCCUAUCAAUCUAAAUAAUUCUUUCUUCUAUCGAGUAUUUGACUAUAUGGGAAUUAAUUCACAACUGCCAUGCCCAUUAUUUUCAUGGAAGCAUUUGACGCUUGAGUCUAACAAAGUAGCAACUCGCUCGGACUUCUAGCAUAAUUAACUUCUCACACUAAGCCAAACUGUUACAUAGAUAAGAUGAAAAAAAUAGGCAGUAGCCCUAAGACAGGGAGAUUUGUAUUAUGCUUUCUUGCAUCAUAGCUAGCAUCGGUCAACAAUUAUUGGUUCAGUNNNNNNNNNNNNNNNNNNNNNNNNNNNNNNNNNNNNNNNNNNNNNNNNNNNNNNNNNNNNNNNNNNNNNNNNNNNNNNNNNNNNNNNNNNNNNNNNNNNNCCUAGCUAGCAGCAGCACUUGGCUUGGUCAGGCAAGGGCCAAUGAUCCUCGCCGGAUUUGGGGGAGGGCUGCGAUCCUCCCCCCAAAUCUGGGCGAGGGCUCGCAAGCUCUUGCCGUCGAUCGGCCAAGGUCACUGAGCCCUAGCCCCCACUGUCGCCGGCCCUUCCCGAUGAUGAGGGGGAGGCGGCGGCGGCAAGGGCUGAGUCCUCAGUUGCCUCAAACUGUUCAUUUUCUUUGUUUUUUUUUUAAAAUCAAAUUUAGUUUAAUUAAUUUUUAUAUUGAAAUUCAAUUCCGUGCCAAAACGACGUUGUUUUUUCAUUGCGUUUCUUUGCUAACUCAGCUCUCCGAUGAGCCACGUAAGCGAGCAAAAUUAAUUAAAAAUUGCCACGUAGAAUUUCCCGCGGUGUUUGCCAAAGGUGGCAUUCAAGUGUCUCAUUUUACAAAAAAAGUAGCAUUUAAGUGUCAUUUUCCUAACUUUUUGUUAGAGAAAAAUUCCGUAUUUAUUUUGAAGCUGACAAAACAUUUCCAUCGGUCUAGUCUGAAGACUUGCAGACUCUUUCGUCAAAGUCUGAAGACCGCCAGACCACCAGACUCAAGAUUCAAAGUCUACCCUCAUUGAUAGUUUCUAAACUGUCAAAUAAGACUUAUCCAGAGUUAGUAUUUCUUUAAGGAUUUGAUUCUAUCGACUAAAGAAGAUCUCUUAGCUGGAUAUAGCAUCUCGGAAUCUAUUAUUCGUUUUGAUUCGAGUAAUUUAGAUCCAUUGAUUGGUGAAGCAUACUUGGAAGGUUCUACUUAUGGAAACCUAGAUCCUGAUUGUAUGGGCGAGCAGGAUUGGUGGGCAAUCGUCAUAUUCCUUAAAUAACUCGAGAUCUCCCUAAUUGAUUCUGUCCAACGGGGAUAGAUUGGAAGAGCUCUUUUGGAAAGUGCCAACGGGUAUGAAGGCAUGGAGAACUACAUAAGGAAGACGUUCCAGUUGUUCGAGUGUGUGUGCGAUAGAUGAAUUCCAAAGUCUGAAGCUCAUUGUUCUUUGCCAAUUCAAUUGCUGAGCGUAAACUUGUACUCAAAAGAGAGUUUAUACAUUUGUGAGACCUUGAGGAAGUGUAGUAGAGUCUCUACACUGUGGAAUCAAGGACAUGAUACUGUAACGACUCUUUUAUUCAUAGUAAAAUCCAGCCGGUGGGCUGUCAGUGCGGGAGAAUGGACGUAGGCUUGGAUUAAGCCGAACCACUAUAAAUCUUGUAUUCUUAUUCUAUUCCCUAAACUCUUUUACUUUACUCGUGACUUUGUUUAAUUGUUUGAGUCUCGUUUCUAUUUUAAAGUCUACUAUUAAACAGACUCAGGUUAAAAGUAAAAUUUUACUCUAUACUUCGAAAAAGUUUGUUUUCGCACCUAUUCACCCCCUCUAGGUGCUCAUACUAGCAUUCACAUUUUUGACAUAUAAGGGUCAUCUCGUGCCAAAUUUUGGCACUUAGGGUAUUCUUUUGCCCAACAAUAAGUAUAUUAAUAAAUAUAAUUUUUUUUAUCAUUAACGAGCAUAUUUAAGCAUAAAUUGUUGGGGAUAAUGAAAACAUUGUUCCUUCUCAGCAAUUCAUAUAAUAAAUUUUAGCUGACUAUUUUUCAAAUCAAAGAUUUUCCAUGAAAUGAAUACAGUUUUGUUUAUUUUAAGAAUUCCUGCUGUUAGUGAUAAACUCCCUUAAUUACAGUACUGGGACUCAUUUGCAUGUUUUGGAAUGAUGAACUCAAAAGAAAUUGAGGCUAAUGGAGGGGAAAAAAUGAAUGUAUCGUGUAAACAUGUCUCACCAUCUCUGCAUAGGAAUCUUGAAAGUGAAAACUGUGUCUUGGGCACUAAAGUAACGUAUAAUUUCCAUUUUUUGAAAAGCACUCUCGGGCAUGACAAAAAAAAAAAAAAAACCACUUUCGGGCUCUUUAUUUAAUGCAAAUGUACAGAUACAGGAGCAAAUCUCGGCUGUAUUGGUGCAUGUGAGCACUGUUUGAUCAAGCGGGUCUAAUGUGAAGUUCAUCUCAUCUGGCAAUUCAGUUCACUCAUCCUUCAUUUACUUUAAAAUUUCAUGCUCAGUAACUUCUCGUCAAAGAUCCACACGAAACCCAUUUCAUGAAAAACCAAGAUCAAUCUUUCUAUGAAAGAUAUUUCAUUUCUCGAGUAAAUUCCCAUUUUUCGAUGAAACAGAAAGUAUUGCCAUUUAUUAUUAUCUAGGAAUAUGAACUCUCAACGGUCAGUUUGACUUUGAUGAAAAUUUCUGGAUACAGGUUUAUUUUUUUAUAAUUUUUUUUGAGUCUUAACGCUUAGUUCGAUUUUCAUGAAAAUAUCUGGAUAUAGGUUUGCUUUUUAUUUUUUUGAGCAAAAAAUAAAAAAUAAAAAGUGCGGCAUCUCCCUCCUAUUGCUUUCUCCUUCUUUCGAAUUCAUUCCCAGCGCAUUCGCAUGCUCAAAGCAUUUGCUUCUUCUGUUCUUGCUCUUCCCGAAUAGAUUUCCUAAUUUCGUUCCCCGGUGGAGGAUUCGGGCAGACUUUCUGACUGCACAUGGGUGGAUUGGGUCUGAAAUGCCUGUCACUGCGUUCGGUGUGUGGGGCAUGCUUUAAUGGGGAACGCUGGCCAUCCAUUGAUUGAAGGACGUUCUUGUGGAAUGCAUAUAUAUGCUGCGGUUGAUUCUGUUUGGCCCGUUCCGUGCUCUCUUCGUGGCAUUUGUUCAUCGAUUUGAUCAGAAUCGGCCACGAGAGAGAGGAAAGGGUUUAGAAGGAAAUGGCGGGAGGGAAGCUCCAUGCAUGGAGGUUCUACAAUGAGUGCUCUCAGGCCAGGAUCAUCAGGACAGAGGCAUGAUGAGGCAACAGACAUUCAGGUUCGCACCGAGAAAGUAUGGGCGAUGUUGGCUGUUGUUUUUCGCUCCAGUUAGAUUUUUCAGGUCGACAGAUAAAAUUGAUUUCCAUGUAUUCGUAGAUGAGAUGGGUUAUUGCCAUCUAAGAAUCCCACUAAGGCUGAUGUUGAGGAAGCACCAUUCGUCGAGUUUUAACCAGCUUUCUAUUGCUAUAGGACUCGAGCUGCAUACUUAGUGCUUGUCCCGGCGAAUGCUGAUUGGGUUUCCGUUGGUAACUUCUCAGCUCGGUUCAAUAACAAUUAGAGCAUACAAUUUCGGCCAAUGGCGAGGGGUGCAUAAGUCUCCGGUGGUGUUCUACGGGUCUCCAAAUGGGGUGCCUCCAAAAAGACCAUCUAGUUUGCUGCGAUUGCUGAAUGAGAUACAGGUUGAUUUUGUAUGCUAUGAGUUGAUUUUCAAGCAUAGAAUGGACUUUAGAAAGAAAGCAUCUCUCCACGUGAUUUGUCAGUUAAUAGUCUCAUGGGGGUGGUUUUUGAUUUUCUUCUUGAUAUCUAUUUAUCUGUUAUAGCCAAUUCCAAGUUCCAGCUUUUGCUUCUAACUCUUGAUUGUUUCUGAGUGUCAAGCAAUAGACUGAAUUAAGCCAUAAGUAGAAGUAGGAAGUAAAAACGACUGGGUGGCGAAAUGAGUGUUGUUUGUAAUGUCAUGUAGUGCAUAAUAGCGCUAGUACUUGAAAAGCAUUUGGUGACAUUACUUAGAACUUCUGUCUAACACUUAAUGUAACAGUAUUUGCUUGUCAUUUGGUUUUUUGAAAUCUAAGUUUGGCUCGACCAUCAAUGAAUUCUUUGCCAGGGUCUGCCUUGUCACUUAUACUUUGCUUUGGUGUUCCAUAAGAGGGAAAAUGCUGAUAAAAUGGAGACGAGAUGGAUGAUCUUCUGAUGUUAGUUGUCUUGGAGGUGUUGCUUGACAAGUAGUUAAUCCAAGGAAACAAAGAAUGGGUAGUGAAGCGCGAUUCUUCAACUAAAGGUAGGCUGACUUUGUGUCUUGCUACUUCUAUUAACUAUCAUUGCAUCGGUAGUCAUGGAUGGUGUAUGCAAUACACACUCACAUACUAUGAGCUUCAUCUUUAUGCCUUUGGAUAUCUUGACAUAAAUUUGUGUAGACAUCCCAUCAGGUGAAAGGCUGUCUUGUUCUUUUUCACAGUGCCUUCCAGCUACAAAUUUCCAUUAUUCUUCUUGAGACCUUUCACGUUUGAUGCGAGAGAACUGUGUUAGGUUUAUUGAAGAAAAGCAGCUUUAAAUGAGGUCUCUGAUACCUGUGUGGUCCAUCUUUGUUCGAGUAGUGACUUAUCUUAACAUUUCAUUUUUGAGGAAUAUUGCACUUAAAAGCCGUUAUGAAGAUGGAAAUAAAAAAAUAUUGUAACUUUGAAUGAUGUACCUCUUUUGGAAGUUGAGACAAUUUUGAUUUCAUGGAUAGGAUUGACAGGGAACAUAUUGCAUGUUGUGCUUAUCUUAGAUUGGGCUAUUUAGGCAACAUUAUUCAAUUGAUCUCUUCCAUUUAGGGGACAAGUUCAGUAUGAUACUUCUUUUGAAUGAGUAUUGAGUGUUGGAGCUGCAUUGAACACUACCCAGAUGCUUUCCUUGCCGCAGUGAUUUUAUCUUUUUCCCCUCUUUGAAGCCAAUUAUCCUACCUCAAGUCACAAUUUCCAGGCAUAAAGUCAGAGAGAAGGGGCAGCUGAAGACUGGUUAUAAAUUCACAGUGCCGGGUCACUGGAAAGUACUGGUCGAGUGAUGCUAAUGGCACAGCUACGAUGAUUUACGCAUGGUACACUAGAACUAUGUGUCAGAUUUGAAGUGAAUUUGAGAUUCAGGCAGGGAAGAAUCUGCAACUUGAUGAGUCAGCACGUGCCUUAUGAUUACUACAUCUGCCUAUUAAAACACUAGCAAUAUCUUGUGUUAUACAUUUUUUUCCCUUGUCUAUGUUAAAUCUUUCCAUGGAAUAUAACAAGAUUUUUGUAGUGUCAAUAGCAGCAUUGCUUGCAUGCAGGAAAAUUUUCUCGUCAUUUGAUACCAAAGGCUGCGUUUAAGGACUACUCCCAUGUGGGUGCAUUAAUUCGGAGGUAUGCUCUAAUGAGAAGCUUUAGUUAUUGUGUGGUUGAGACAAUUGCAAAUUCAAUUAUUCUGUGUAAAUAUUGUUAUUGUGCCUUCCAAGUUAGCCACCUGUUUGAGAUAGUUUAUCCAUCUCUCAAGAUUAACAUAUAUCUUCAACUCCUGCAUACUUCACUUUACAGCAGCCAUUCUCACAACUUUACUGAACUAUUGGAACUGCGUGUGCGUGGGCCAUUUCUGUUUCUUAUUUUUCUUUUUCUUUUUUUGGGGGGGGGGGGGGGGUGGUUCUGGUUGAUAUAUUCAUGCAUGCACACCUUUUUGGAGAAAUAUAACAUUGCAUGCAACCAUGAUGUUAUUAUGAUGAAUUGACCGGUAUGUUUACGGAUUUCUAGUGCAAGGGAGACAGACAGAAGAUAUGAAAAGUUGUCUGUCAAGAAAGAUUCCAGCACAUCGACAGGUCAGAUAUUUGUGGACACUGCUGUCUAUUCAAGGAAUUGAUGCUUUUCUUUGGCUCUAUCAUCCAAGGGAGGCAAGAGUUCUGUCCUUCAGCCGAUUGGGCUUUUCAAAUGCAAGGACAUGGUACGUUACUCCUUGUAAUUUGAGGUCUAGAGAUUCAUGAAACAUCUUUGGAACAUGGGUGUGAUGAAUUGUUCCUAGUUCGCUCAAAAUGUUCCUCAAAACUACUAGCAAAGGGUUCUUUUAUGCCUUUGUAUCAUUUGAGAAGGUUAGAUUAACACAUGAGAAAAUGUGCAUAUGCACCCUGAGAAGAGAAUUUAUUGUGAUAGUGCUUGAAACAGUGUGACUCUAUCCCAGUUGCUCCUUAAAGGUUCAUGUGCUCAUUGAUGCUCAAAAUGAGCUUACUCUCUCCUGGCAGCGAGGAUCAUGGCUUUUUUGAUCUGCAUUGCGGAUUUUGAUUGUCACAAGCUCCUAGCCUGCAAAUGGAGUUAGAUUGUGGAAAGAAACUUCAGUUUGAUACAGAGGUAGUUACAAAUUUGAAUCAGUUCUUGUAUUUGGAUCUCUUCAUGAACUGUAUUCAUAUGAUUUUCUGUACAUAUUAUUAUCAGCAAAAAUAUUAUUUGUCUUGAGUUGGUGGAGCUAAUUUCAGGAAACAUCUUUGCAUAGUGGACUAGUGUGCUAGAAUUCUAUGUGGUCUCUCAUGUGAUGGGACUUUUUCUCCCCUACGCAGGUUAAUAUUGAUUUGGGAAGGUACUGUCUUGCUUUGCAAGAAUUUAAUUUCAACUCUUUCAUUAAUGAUAGUUCGGUGAAUUGCUUCACUCGAAAGUCGCCUUUCCCAAUGUUGGAUAAAUUCAUAGAAUCUGUAGCCUCAAUUGGAACUGUAUCAGGUGAUCGCUGUAGUUUUAUUUUUAGAUAAACAGAGUGAUGAAUCAUUUCAGUUGCUUCAUAGUUCAUAGAAUUCUACCUGAGACUGUGUAGGAUAUUAAAGUUAGCGACCUGAAAGAAUUUUAAUGGGACUGAUAUGUCUUAUUUGAAAAGAAGCUAUUGAUUGGCACUUUUCCCUUUCAUGUGGAGUAGCGUCAAGAAAAUGAUCUGGUUUAAAAGCCCUAUCGUUUCUUCUUCUUUUCCCCUGUAAUGCUGAUGAAUCUGUCACAGUAUAGGUAAAAUUCGAAGCUGGUACUGGUUCUCACGGCAUGAACUCGUGAUUUCUAGCAUGUCAAGGAACAGGUUCUUUGAGCCUAUAGGCACAGAGCACAGAGCAUUCAUGGAUUAUGCUGUCUUUUCAAUGGGAAAUUAUUUGUGUUGAAUCGUACUCUGAGUCUCACCUUUAGUAAAGACACCAGCUUAUUUUCUUUCCCACUUUGACUGGCCUAGUUAUCCUGAUUCGGGCUGUAUAUUACCAGUAACGUCACGAUCUUGAUUGCAAAGAUACAGAAAAUUUCUGCCCAACAUUUAUCCAUUUGAAACCUUUUCUCUUUUAUGUGUGAAAAUGAAGGUAAAGUGAGCUUAGUAAUAGCCCAGCUUACUAAUCUCCGCUGCGUCUAGAUCCCGGAGGAUAUUGUGCCCAAUUUAUCAGCAUUCUUUGAUUCUGGCAAAUCCUCCUGAUAUAACUAAUAACGUGGUAGACAUCGAUGCGGUUGACAUUGAUGAAAACACGACAAAUUGCUCCCCUAUGGAUGCUUGGUGGCUUGAAGCCAUAUGAGUCGCAAAUGCUAUAGAAAACCGACAGGUCAUGGAGUACGACCACAAGGCAAGUCAUCCACUUUACUUAUUUGUGCAAAAAUCUUUUAGGAUGUUUCGACAGGUCAUGGAAGACGAGGACAGGUGGGUAGACGUAGAAAUUAAUACACCUUAGGUUGAGCUCUGAGCUUGAGCUUGAGCUCAACCAUUCAAACAAGGCUCAUAGUUGCAACCAUUCAGCUUGCAGACUUGAACAAGGGUAGCACUUCAUGGAUCCUUUCAAUUCAAUCACAUCAGGAAAAGAGCAACAGACUGAAAGAAAUUGCCGAGAAGAUGUGAUUAUCGACCAAAGUACUUUGAGCUCCGAUGUUUGGUUUGGAAAUUACUUUUGCUUCGCUGGCGGUUCUUCAGAAGAGCUAUGUUAUUCAAGACGAAACAUCAGGUUGCGACUGCUCACAGAUGGCAAGAGUUUUAUUUUAAGAAAAAUUCAAGGUUGAUUCAGCCACGAAAGUAGGAACUUUAAGAUUUUUCAUUUCAGAAAUCUCUGUUCUUGCUCACUACUUCGGGUUCACUUCAUGCGAUGAUUAUUGGUUUGAGCAGAAGCUCUUACUAUUUAAGUUUUUCCAUUUUGUGCCAUAUUUAAUUAGGUGCCUUGAUGCUUUUAUCAUGGUACUUAUUUUUGGUACAAAGCAAAGUUCUCCAAUUAGUGGUACAUUUUCGCCCUUGCACCUCACGAAUUUGUUCUUUCUUUGAGGUUGAUGGCUACAAUAACCUUUUUGUAUAAACUCAUUCAGGGUGCUGCAUCUGUUACAGGUAUAGCAUCCGGUCCGAUGCCAAAAAAAUUUUAAGAAUAGGUAGAAUGUAUUCUAAUGGAAACAACAUAUAUUGAACCGUGAUCUAAUUCCUUUGUAAAUAUACCAUUAAUUGCGAUUUAGGCGUUCCCAGUACAUAGGGCCCAAUAGUCAACCGAGACACUGGACAACAUAAAUUAUGGCCUAAAGACAGGCGUUCACAAAUAUGAGGACUGGUAAUAAUGCGGUCAAUACAUUGUACCCUAAUCCAACAAUAAACAGUAAUAGAAGUGGCAAGAUGAGUGGUUUAUUAGAAAAAUGAGCAUCACAAUAAACAGUAAUAGAAGUGGUAAGAUGAGUGGUUUAUUAGAAAAAUGAGCAUCACGUGAAUCGCAAUUCACAACACGAGCAAAACUUACAAACAUGCACAAAAGUACAACAUACUCAAAGCGCACAGAGAUAAACUCCAAUCUUAUUCUCUUUGAAACUUUGUUUCUUCAAUGAAACUAGUGUUCUUUCGAGAAAGAUUCUCACACUAACGUGGCCAUGGCAGGGUGCCUUGAGGGGAUUUUCAGCUUGUUAUUAGUGUGAAACUGGACUGCAGCUCGUAGUCUACCUAAGCUCAGCUAAUCUGGCGCGUCAACAUUUUAUAUUAAUUCUCUAAAAAAAGUACCAAAUACUAUCUUGCUAUUAUAAAAAUAAUGGAUAAUUGCAUAUAUGGUUCAUAAACUAAGCCUCAAUAUAAAAUAUAAUCUCUUAACUUUAAAUUUAUUCAAUGUGACUCUUGAAGCACAAUGUGCGAUUUCCUUAUGAAGUCAAGGAGUGUUGAUCUUACCCACAUAGGUGCAAUUAUGAGGUGAAACCUGAAUGAGCUUGGAUAAAGUACAACGAUUAGUUGUCUACCCACUUCUUCGUCAAAUCAUUGGCUUUUCUCAACCUGAAAAGAGAAACACUCGUUAGAGGGUGAUAAUAAUAACAAAUAAAUUAAGAGAAUAUCAACUGAAAUGAAACAAAGAGAUAAGGACAAAAAUCUUAAUAAUUGACUAAUCAAUUAAGGGUUGGAUGAUUCAUAGAACAAUACAUUUUAGGUAGUUUGUUGGUUAUUCAAUGAUAAUAGUAUGAUUCAAAUAUAAAGAAAAACAAUGUUGACAAAAUUUCUAUUCUAUCCAUGAAGUAGGGUCCAUUAAAUUUAAAGUGGUUGCACAAUGUGUUUAGUUUUAAAACGAAGAAAAAAAAAUGCAAAUCACGUGGUAAACAUACCAUCCAAAAGCAAACAUAUUCUAAAUUGCUAUUGAAAAGUUAGAUAAAUGUGUCUAUUCAAUCAUACUAUUUAAAGAAGAGGUGUCUGCAUUUGGGUUCGAGUGUAUCUCAACCUUGAGUGGCGCUCUCCUCAGCUGUACGACCUCGUCCGAUGACAGCACCCUUCUCAGCCCCUCCACAUCCCCCUGCAGCAUCGCCGCCAUCGGUGCCCCUACCUGGUUGUCGCUUCACAUGUGAUGCAUCGUUAAUCUCGUGCAUGGAGGCAGUGAAAAGGGCAGUGAUUGAGGGAAGGGCACUCAGCGUUGGUAGUUUAUUUGUAAAAUAAAUAAGAGGUGUCUUGUAUCACAUUGAAAAAAUACAUGAACUAAAUUGGCAUUAAUUCUCAAAUAUAAUUUUUAUUUUCAUUUAUUAAAAUAUAAAUUUAUAAUUAUAAUGAAACCAAUGUGUCCUAUUGAAACAACUUGAUUAUUCAUAAUAGAGUUACGCUUAUUUUGUUAUUAUUUAAUUUCGAAUUUAUUAUUUUUGCUUAAUGGUUAUUAGGCACUCUCGCAACUUUUGAAAGUUUGUGUUUAUUCAGACAUAAUUUCUUAAUCUUUAGAAGGUUAUAUUUGUGCAAACAUAACUUCUUCAUCUUUGAAAGGUUUUAUCGGUUCAAAUAUAUUUAUUCAACAUUUCUAUUGAAUACUUUUCAUAAUUUUCAAUUAUCCUUUCUAUGAUAUAUAGUCAUUGUUUUUAAUUGUUUCCCUUUGAGAGUUCCUGGAGAAAUACCAUAAUGACUAUCUAGUAUUCUUAUACGAGACUUUGUUGUAUUUGGAGGAUUUUUGCCAGUAAUCAUUAACAAUAUUGUGGGGCAAAUAAUUCUUUAAAGAGAGUGUUCUCAUACCUCAAAGAUUGACUCCAUUUUUCUUCCCAUUGAUUUUUCCCCAACAUUCAGUGCAUGUUCACUGUGUGGAACAUGAACCUGAGAGAAGAAAAAAGAAAGAAAGAAAAGAAAAGAAAUCAAAAUAAGUUAUAGAAUUUUUCACAUUGACGUCAUUUUGAGUGAAAUCGUACAUAUCGGAUUGAUGGUCAUGCCACGUAGGAUAGCCUGCGUUGAUCGGAAUUCUACAUCAAAUUUUUCCAAUCUAAAUUAGCUGACCAAAUAACAUUAGAAAAUCAUUAAAAUAUUUAUGACUGUAUGGGUCAAAUUGAAAAGUUCAUGACUAAAUUGGGAUCCGCACAUUAAGUUUAUGACUUUUUUGGUAAUUUUUCUUACAAAAGCAUAUCUUCGUGAAAGUAUACAUUCUAUUUUAAAAAUAAGUAAAGCUAUACCCCUUUCUUUUUUUUCUUUUUUCUUUUUUUGUCAAAUACAAAUACCAUUUCAUUCAUUCAAAAACAAUAACUACACGAGUGAAGUCAACAAGAAUCAAUACAUGAUAAAUCCCAAAGAGGUAGGGGUUGCCUUGACAUCCAAUUGAAGGGGAGAGUCCCUUUUCGAUGGGUUUUGGUAAUUCAAUUUGCGACUUGGUUAGUUUCCUGUGGGCAAUGGGAUAGGGGAACACCUUCUAAUUGGGUUAGUAGUGCAUUGCAUUCCUCAAAGAGACAUCUCAAAGCCCAUGGGCUCAAACUCAGUUCAGCAGUGAAUCUAUCAAUAGACUAAUUGUCAGAUAGAACACAUGUUAGACCUAAAUUAGUGAUUCUAAUCACGCAUCAAAGAACAAAAUUCAAGUGUUGAUUAGAAUCAUAUGUGGAAAAACCGGAUAAAAAUAAAACUGCCCUCCAGCUAUUGUUUGAACUUGUGCUCGUCGGAAAUUCACUGAAAUUCGAUGAUAUCAUGGGCAUACUUUACUAACCUAAUCCCCUCGCGUACUAAUGAUGUAUUUUCGAAUGAGAGGGUUUGUGUUAGAUCUUGUGAUUGCCCUUACAAAAUGAAUGAUCAAAGUGGUUAUCAAAUGAGUGGUUGUCACAAAGAGGUACGAAAUGUGCAAAAUCGCAUGUGAAAUAACUGUUACUUAAAAAGAGAAAACGUGGGUCAAACACAAUGGAUAAGUUUUUAUUUCAAAAACUAUAUACCUAUAGUGGGAUCACAUUAUAGAUAACAACACCCACAUGCACCACAUAUUCCUCCUUCAGCUCAGACGCCUCCCGCAACCAGAGCAAUGCUUCCUUCAUUGCAAGGGCUUUGAUUUCGAGUGGAGAAGAAUUUCAUAUGAAUAAAUGAUAGGCCUAGAGAGAUUAUUUGUUAAGGAUUUGGCAAUAAAUGCAUAUGCUACCGUUUCAUUUUUCAUAACAAAAGUUCCAUUUGAUACUUAAUAAAGGAUUCUCUUCUUUUCUCUCGUCUUGUGACAUUUUCUUGUUCUAUAAUUUUUCCUUUGCAUGUCCUUUAACGUUUUUUUUUUUACCUUUUUUAAUUCUUCCGCGCAGGGCUCCCGUUUACCUCCUCUUCCAUCCCAUUCUGGUGAUUUCUCCUGUAACUCUCCUCGUGAGAAAUGGCUGUGGAUAUAGCCUCCCCUCCCGAUUAGUUCAUCCCUUUUCCCCUGUUUUGAUCCCAAAUACGCAAAUCAGCUUGAAACCCUAACCUGUCUUUCCCAGUUUUUUCUAGUGUAAUCAAUAACCUGCAGAGCUCCCUUCAUUUCCAAACCAUUCACAGCAUCCAAUCCGAACCCUACCUUUCUCGCCCAAUAUCCCCCGCACUGCAUCUUUGUAAAUUUGGGGUUAAACUCCAUUGAGCCAUGGAGGGCAACCAGGAAAACCAUCUCCGAUUGUUGGCUCUUUGUAAACAGAUGGGAGAUUUAUGGGCUGCUGAUGAUAUCACGGAACUGAAUGGAUGCAUCCCUGAGGUACAUAAACAGACUGGUGAGUAUCUAUUGUAUGGAAAAUUGUUCUCGAAACCUAAUGUCAAUUUCCCAGCAUUCUGGGAUACAACGAAAAGGGCUUGGAAGGUAGAAGAGGUUAGGUGUGAGGUGAUUGAACCAGGUUUCUUUGUAUUCAUCUUUAACUCGGAGGAAGAACAUUAAAGAAUUCUGCAAACAGGCCCUUGGUCUUUCUCAAGCCAUCUGUUAGUCCUACGUGAAGGGGACCCUACCAUUCCCGAGCACUGCUAUGAGUUCAAACAUUGUUCCUUUUGGGUGCAUCUGAUGGGGCUUCCCAGAGCUGCUAUGUCGGAGGAUUGUAUACGCAUGAUUGCUGGAAAAAUGGGAGAGGUAGAGGAAGUUAGAAUUGAUGCUCGGAAUAAUAGCUCUAGAAGAAUUGGCAAAGCAAGAGUAAGGCUGAAUCUGUUUAAUCCCCUGAAAACUGAAACAAUAAUUCAUGUGGGUGAUAGAAAUUGGUGGAUUGACUUUAAAUAUGAGAGACUACCACACUAUUGUUACUCCUGUGGUUACAUCGGCCAUUAUGCAAACUAUUGCCCGACAUUUCCCUACGAAGAAUCUGGACUUCCUCAAGACAAACCGGGACGUUAUGGAUCUUGGUUGAAAGCAGAGGUGAAGACGUGCAGCCCUUGUUGGACUACCUUUUAUGGGGAGAUAGAUCUCACCUUAUCUGAAGAGGAAGUGAUCCUUGAGACACCGGUUAUCCCUUCCACUGGUGACUCGAACAGCAAAUCAUCAACAGAUGGUAGCCAAGCCAUUGUUCUUUAUCAUCCUACAAUACAAACAACACCAUAAUUAUCACUCUCAACAGAACUUGCAGCACAGAAAAAAGGCAAAUGCAUCUAGUAGCACUUGGAACAACCAAUGGAGCAUCUAAUGCAUGAUGCAGAGAUGGGGAUUACAGGAGCAGCCAAAUCUGGGACAAAAAAAUAGAUAUCAAAAAAGAUAAAACGAUUCACCCCGUAUGAGAGAAAGAGCAGUAUGACAACCCUUGUGGACAUGGACAAAUUUCUGGAAACAUCAAUUCAACUAUGGGAAGGCGAAGCGGCAGGGGCUUUGGUGGCUAGCCCUAAUAAGCCACCAAGAAAGCCAUGAAGGUGCUAAGCUGGAACUGUCAAGGUUUAGGUUCUCCCUUGACAGUCCAGCACCUACGAGCCCUAGUGGCUCGCGAGAGACCUAACCUGGUUUUCCUUAUGGAAACCAAAAAUCAGUACCAGAUGGUGAAAAAUAUCAAAAGAAGCCUAAAAUUUUCUUCUAUGUUUGUUGUUAAUCCUAUCGGCACAGCGGGAGGCUUGGUAUUACUUUAGGAUGACUUGGUACAAAUUACUAUUGAGCACAGCUGCCAAGAGUUCAUUGAUCUCUCAUGUAAAGUGGCUGGAAAUGGUUCUAAAAUGCAGAUCUCUUUCCUACAUGCAUCAACUAACUUCCAAGAGAGAGUAUCUCUUUGGAACCUACUUUAUACUAGACAUGGAUCAACAACAGCACCUUGGCUUUGUAUUGGUGACUUCAAUGAGGUGCUAUAUCAUUGGGAGAAGAUGGGCCGAAGAUUAACGGAAAGAUUUCGAAUGACGGCGUUUCGGCACUUUGUUGACUCAUGUUCUCUGAUAGAUAUUGAAAGUAAGGGGUGCGCAUUCACGUGGACAAACAAAAGAGAUGGGGAAGAUUCAGUCAAAAAAAGGCUUGAUUGAGUCUUUUGCAACCUCGAAUGGAGGCUCCUAUUUCCCAGUGCCGAAGCUUUUGCAUUUCCAGCAAUAGGAUCUGAUCAUAUUCCCCUAUUAUUAUGUUUAAAUGCAGGUGAACAGAAAAUACAGAGACUAUUCAGGUUCAAGGCUUUCUGGCUAGAUCAUCCAGAAUGUGCAACUAUAGUAGACAACGCUUGGAAGUCAGAGAAUUGGCAGCAAGGAGAUUUGGUCCAGAAAACAAAAAUGGUAACCGAAGAUUUGCGAAAAUGGAGCAGGGCAUCUUUUAAAAAUGCAUCUAAACAAAUUGACCAGCUUAGCCAUCAGCUCAUUCAGAUCAUCAACAGGGCAAAAAAUCAGACAGACAGGGCAGAGGAAUAUAAUACUAUCACAGAGAAAAUUAGCUCAUUGUGGCGCCAAGAAGAAAUGUAUUGGGGCAUUAGAUCCAGAAUCAACUGGUUAAAGUGGGGCGAUCGGAACUCAAAUUUUUUUCACGCUACAACAAUUCAGAGGAGACAAAGAAAUCAAAUCAAGAUGCUGAAGAUUGAAGAGAAUAGGUGGAGUCGAGAGCCUCACGCCAUUAAACAACACAUUACAACUUAUUACCAAGAGCUGUAUAGAUCUGUGGGUCCUCAGCAUUAUCAACCAGUUCUAGAGCAUUGUCCAAUUGUUGUUUCUGAGGAAAUGAAUGAGCGGUUAACAGCACACAUUACUAUGGAGGAGGUGGAGCAAGUUGUUUUCCAAAUGGGGGCAGCAAAAGUCCCUGGACCAGACGGAUUAAGUGGUCUAUUCUAUCAGAGUCAGUGGGCUACUAUUCAAGAAGACAUAUUUCAUUUAGUGGAUUCCUUUUUCAAAGAAGGCAGAUUCGAUACAGCCCUUAAUGAGACCUUUAUCACACUUAUUCCCAAGGUUGCAAAUCCUGAAAGCAUAACAGAAUUCAGACCCAUAAGCUUGUGCAACUUUAGUUACAAAGUCAUUACAAAGGUCAUGGCAAAUAGACUCAAACCUUGGCUCCCAUCCAUUAUAUCCCCGAAACAAAGUGCAUUUGUAGGGGGUAGGCAAAUACAAGACAAUAUCUUUAUUGUUCAAGAAGUCCUACAUCAACUACGGGUUCGAAAGUGACGUCGAAAAUUCCAAGCCGUGCUGAAGCUAGACAUGCAGAAGGCUUAUGAUAGAGUUGAGUGGGACUUUUUAUGUGAUUGUAUGAAGAAGAUGGGCUUUAAUGAGCACUGAGUGAAUAUGGUCAAAUUUUGUAUCUCCUCAGCUCACUUCCGUGUGUUAAUUAACGGCCAACCAGGGGAUUCUUUCACUCCAUCUCGAGGUAUUCGACAAGGGGACCCUCUCUCACCUUAUUUAUUCAUUAUUUUGGCGAAUGUUCUCUCCUAUAUGGUGACUAAUGCUAUCAUGGAUGGGACCUUAAAGGGUAUCAAAUUAAAUCCACACUGCCCUAUCUUAUCCCACAUAUUCUUUGCAGAUGACGCUAUUUUCUUCUUGGAUGGUACUCUUAGGGAAGCUCAAAAUCUUGCCAAUAUUCUAAAUUGUUAUUGUUUUGCAUCUGGUCAGUCGAUCAACCUUAACAAAUAUGGUGUUUUUCUUGGGGCCAGCUGUCCACAGGAUUUAAAACAAAAUAUUGCAGCUGAACUGAGGGUUCCUAUCCUAGAAAAAACUGGGAAAUAUUUAGGGAUACCAUCUGAUUGGGGCCAAACUAAAAAAACAAAUGCUAGAUUGGAUCAUUGCACGGGUGGACAGAAAAUUGGAGAGAUGGAAAUAAAUUAAUAUCGAAGGCAGGGAAAGAGGUGUUAAUUAAAAUGGUUGUUCAGACAUUACCCCAAUAUGCCAUGAAUAUCUUCAAAAUACCUCUAUCUAUUUGUCGAGCGAUCGAAAGAAAAAUCUCAGCCUUCUGGUGGAAACAGAAUGCACAGCAAAAAGGUAUUCACUGGAAGAGUUGGGAAGUUUUGAAGAAGAGGAAGGCACAAGGAGGAAUGGGGUUUAAAGAUUUAGUGGAAUUAAACAAAGUUAUGUUGGGAAAACAAGCUUGGAGAUUAGAGAAAGCCCCUGAGGCCUUGUGGAGCAGAAUAUUUAAAGGCCUCUACUUCCCUAACGGUAAUCUAUGGACUGCUACAGGAGGAGCCAGACCAUCUCGGGGUUGGCAGUCUUUUAAUAGGCCGCGAUGCCCUAAAACCUGAUCUGAAAUGGGAGGUCGGAGAUGGCAAAUCCAUCAACUUGAGAGAUUACCGUUGGUUAAUGUCAGGAAGUAUUGGGGGACCGGCGAAUCGAGAUGAUCCUAAGUUAGUGGCAAAGAUCAUUGACCCAACUACGCGCACAUGGAAACAUCAGAUUAUCACAGAGCUUUUUGAUAGCCACAUCUUAGAGGAAAUUCAAGCAACCACACUCAGCAUAUUUACCAGACUUGACCGUCUAAUUUGGACAGGACAUAAUUCAGGGGAGUAUAAGAUCAAAAGCGGGUAUCAUAAAUUACGAGCAGCCAACACAAGCAUAACAGAAUGCCAUGCAUCCUCUUCAUAUCAGGUAUCGAAACAACUAUGGACAGAAAUCUGGCAUCUACAGACGACACCUAGAAUCAGACACUUCAUGUGGAGUUUAUACAACGAAGGCCUCCCUACCAGAGCCAAUCUAUACCGGAGAAAGAUCAUACCUGAGCCGACAUGCCCACUAUGUAACCAAUUUCCAGAGUCCUCCGAACACCUCUUUGGACUUUGCCUGUGGACAAGGAAAAUUUGGCAGCGUUAUUAUACCGACAUGGAUGUUUCCCCAACCUCUAUAACAAGAACAGACCGAUGGGUGAGUGAAUACCUCAGAUCUGGAAUCACAGUAAGUCAAAAAGCGAUUUUCGCGACCACCCUUUGGCUCAUCUAGAAAGCCCGCAACGCUUUGAUCUUCCAAGGUAGGCGAAAAACACAAGAACAAAUCGUUAAUGAAGCCCUUCUCUCUCAACAGCUCUACGAGAAAUGGAACCCACGGACAAAAGCAACGAGAUCAGAUCAGCGCACCUGGGUGCCUCCAGCUCCGGGUACCUUGAAGAUCAACGUUGAUUACUCUUGGCUGGCUGAGAAAUUGGAGGGAUCUAUUGCUGGUAUAUGCAGAGGAGAGGCGGGGGUGUGUAUCGGAGGUUUUAAGAAGAAAUUUCGAGCUCAAUCGGCUCAAGUGGGAGAAACCCUAGCUGUCCAACAGGCUUUACUUUGGUUGAGAAGACAACGAACUGCUCUGACAGAACUCCCGUCUGGCGCACGAACUCAUCUGCUCCUCUUCCCCCGUGUGUAUCUCCAGCGACUGCACUUACGCCGUGGACUCCAUCUUGGGCCAAAAAGAAGUGACAUGGGCCUCUCAUCCGACUGUCCUGGACUGCAGAGAACUGCUGGCCCAAAUGCCAAACGUUUCAUUGCGAUACGAAGCACGAGAAUCCAACCGAGCGGCGGAUUGGAUUGCCAAGUCUCACAACACCGACUCUUUACCAAGAAAUUGGGUUUCCCAUCCCCUGCUGGAACUUUAUAUUAUAUUAUGUUUGGACUUUCAGUUUAGUUGUAAUUCGGCAUCCCCGUAUUAAUCAAUGAAAUAUCUUUCCGACCAAAAAAAAAAAAAAAAAAACCACUCGAGAGUAUGAAAUUCUGCAAAAACUUGUUGGCAUUUUGCCACAUCAGAGGCAGAUUAAUUGAUUAAAAGGUCAAAUCCAGCCAUGGCUUUCUCUUCAUCCCAAGUGCACUUCACUCGAAGUCCAAAAACUGAAAACACAGUUUUGAUCGAGCAAAUGCUACAAUUAUUCGAGCACACGGAGGCCCCUUUUACCCGUCUUCGUCACUGUCAGCUCCAGACCCUAAAUAUCUUUGGACUAGUGCGUCUCUUUUGCAAAUUGAGUUCCAGCUGUUCUUGUUCCAAUUCUUCCAGGUUGGGCCGUGUGUUUCGUAAGAAAAUACAGUAUAAGAAAACCACUUAAAUUAAAAAAAAAAAAAAUACGACGAUUACAUAUACAUAGUGGAGCUUAUAUUUCUAGACUAAGCGUUCAUGCCAUAAAUGAACGCCACGUGUUAAGUGGCGAUACUUGAUAUAAUGAUGGUAUGUUAUUACUGGGGUUGCGGUCGCAAUAUGACUAGGAGUAAUUAGGACUAUGUACAUGCAUAUUCACCUUUUCUAUUUCUUUUUUUGUUUUCCUUGUGUCCCUUUCCCACGUUCUAGGACAAUUGAAGACUAAUCAUUUACUCAUUAUUUGUUUCACAUUCUUUCUAUUUCCUUCGACAUUACAUUCAUACGCGUCGGAAGAAGGGAGAGUUAACUAACCCUAAAUGAUUGUAGAAAGUUACAAUGAGGUAGGCUUGUUCGGUUUGGUUCUUUGCAUAUGUACAAGUUUUUCACAAAAUAUUUCGUGUGUCCAACAUAUUUUAAUCAAGAUGUCUUACCAAUGACCUUCGGUAGUGUUUACAAGUAGUCAUUAAAGCUUCAAAGUUUUAGGAAAAUAUCAUUCCUGAAAUAAUUGUCGAUAAUCUCGUGCAUUACACAGGCUAUUGAUCUUAUGUAAGUUGAUCGACAAGCCUUAUCAUACACAUACAAAAUAUAUAUAAAAUAGAGAUGUUGGAGCCCCUAAACUGUUACAAAAUGUGUAAUUAGGCCUUCAACUAAUUUUCAAUCAAACAAACUAGUCCCUGAAUUGCCGCGGCUACUGACUACGCAAUCGGAUGUUGCAGGGAUGAACUCAACAGGGUGGUGAGUGAGGCAUGGAGGCGGAAGAAGAAGAUGAUAUUCACAGAGUGAUUGACGGUCGUGAGGUCAUAAGAGCUUGUGAAGGCAUAUGUUAUCCCCAUGAACACUGUUGAUGGUGCAUUUGUUUGGAAGGAGAAAUAAUAUGGGCUAGCCCAUGGGACCGCAAGUCCUAAAACUUGUUACAAAAGUGCAGUCGAGUCUAAAAACUUGUCAUAAAAAUAUAAUUUAGUCCUAAAAUUUUCAAAAAGUUCAAUCGAAUUCUAAAACUUCCAAAAAGUGCUAAAACUUGUCAUGAAGGUCCAACCAAAAUUUUAUGACUUUUAAUACACUUAUCCCUACUUUUUUCUUUUUUGUAAACUUAGGGGCCGGAGUUACCAAUAGAUAGAGCUUUAAUUAAAGUAGAUGGACAUGACGGUGUACGUGCAUCAAGGAGAUUAGUCGAGUUGUAUAUCUGAAUACCCUAUAUUAUCGAAAAGAGAACUUCCGGAAAGUUUUCCCAAUCCUUCUUUAAAAACAGAAUUCCGUGAUGAGAUAGAGCGAUUCUUUUACUUUGGUUACUCCUCCGCAGGGUUACAAAGUGAGACCUCCUAGUCCUAUAUAGAUAAUUGUUUAGGCUGACUGAUCUUUAAUUUAACUUUCCAUCACAUGAUUCUUAAAAUGUCGGCACUUGGGUACAUAAGAAAACCACAUAACUGUAAAUCCCAUUCGACGCAGCUCUUCCAGUGUUCAGUUCUAGAUCUGUCUUUGCAACUAAUGAUUGUGCCAUAUCAUGACUAUUUACUAUUAGGGGUGAUCGGGUCCAGGGUGGGUAGGGUCUAGACCUGGACCCUGUUCCCGACCCUGUUAUAACCGGUUCUCUUUUUUUGGACCCUGUACCCGACCCUGUUUGCAUUGGACCCUGUUCCCGACCCACCCUGUUUUUUCGAUCUGAGAACAGGGUUAACCCUGUUUAUAUUAGAACUUGUUUUGCAUACAAACAAACAUCAAAAUUUGAAGAGCAGCAAUUUAAUUUAAUCCUUUCCUCCAGCCAAUUUUGGCUGCUUAUCCUGCCUCUUCACCAAAUACAAGACCAGUAUUGAAUUUUGAACCAAUUGGCUGCAACGCUAUUCUUACAUAAAUCCAUUUACAUCUAUUAGAGGAAAUCAAACACAAAUAAACAGAUUAGUUUUCAUAGUAAAUCAAAUCUCUCAACCAUUGGUGGUGGCAAAACAGGAGCCUCAAUGACAGCAAGUUCCUUUCUCACCGACGUUCCAAAGAGAAAUCAAACACAAAUAAAGUCUAUUUACUUACCACAAAAUCAGAGUUUCCACAAAAUAAAGUUUAUUUUCCAAUAAUAAUGUCACUCGCCGAAGCUGUAUGUUUAAUAGUUGAGACAAGUGAUCAUUUUAAGAUAUAAUUUUUCUUGAAUAUUAAAAGGAAGAGGCGAGUUUGGGUUUAUAAGAGUAUAUUGAAGAAGAAAACCAGCAGAAUAGCCUUCGCUCUCUUGCCUCUCUCUCACACACACCCACCCGCACAAGUAUCGUCUUCCUUGUGUUGUGCGUGACCUAGAAGUUGAAAAUGAAAUUCCUUCCUUAUCAGGUAGGAUUAAUGAAUAUUGUGACAGCAACAAGUUAGCAAAACCAACUUAAUAAUUGUUGUAUAAUCUAUCGAUGAAACUCGAAAGGUAAAUGAUUUACACACCAUAACAGUUUCAUAAUCAAUACAAAAUCAAUCGGUGAAACGUGAAAGACAACGCAACCAUUUUAAAACUGGAAUCCAUUGGUGAAACCGGAAAAGUAAAAUAUUUAAGAAUGAGAGUGCGACUAUUAUUGCUCAUUCGUAUAACUAAUCAAUGAAUCUAAUAAUUUCUAAUUACCAAACAUCACUGACCGGCGGCGAGCGGACCAGAAGUAGCGUCAGGGUCAUCGCGCGGUGAGGACAGGGAUAGCGGUGGAGCUAGGCUGUCGGCGGCGGGGGCGUCGCUCGGGAGUAGGCUCGGAGUAUAUCUGUUGGGCGUCAGAGCAUAUCUGUCGGGUGUCGAGCACAAGAGGACCCAGCAGCAGGGGCAACAGCGGCUUCGCAAGGGAGGGCAGCGCCCUCGAGGCGCUGCAGCAGGGGGCUCGGCGGGACGCGGCGACGUCGGGUUGACGCGGAUUAGCACAGCAAUGGCUUUGACGGGCUACUGGUAUUGCGGCUGGUGAGGGCGGCAAGGAUCGAUGCGGCUUCAGCGGGCGUCGGUGAGGGGGCUAGGCCAAAUGGCGAGCAGAGCGGGGGGGCGUUGUUCGGGCGGCGGUAGAUCGGUAGCAGGGGAGCUCAGGAAACAACGCGCAGUGAGAAUAGGAUUGGCGGAGGGCUACUGUGGGUUGCUCCAAGAUGCGACAAGGUAGGCUUGCGGAUGCGAGAUCUGCGGGUUAGGAGCGUCGGCGAGGCAACAGCAGCAGGUGGAACGGCGAGAUCGAACGGAGGUGGCGUCGGCGCUGGGGUGCAAGCUCCGUGGGGGUCAGCGGCUUUGUAGGCAGAACCAGUGGAGCGAAGCUUCAGAUGACCGGCGGAACGGCAGCGGUGGUGCGACCGCGAGGGGUGCGACGAGAGCGGCAGAGGCGGUGUUGGCUUCGCGAUUUCGGGAGGGAAGCUCGGAGCAAGGUUGGCGAGCGGAACCAAGAUUGGCGAAUGGGCGGAAGUUGCAAGCUCGGGGAAGUUUGCCAUCUGAGGUAAAGAUAGAAAGUGAUUAGGGUUUUGCGUAUUGGUUUUUUUGGGGGUGGCUUACAAACCGGUUCUCCAACCGGUUCCUAAAUCGGUCCGGUCAAUCCAGUUCUCGGGUGGGAAAUCCCUUGGAAUCUGUUCCCGGACCGGUUUCAAUCGGAACCGGUUCCCGACCUUGUUUUCCGGGUGGGCCGAUCCGGGAACUAGAUUGACUUGGUCCGGUUGCACACCCCUAUUUACUAUAUAAGGUUUUUGGGUGAUUGCAUAGACAAUAUACGAAGGUGAUCAAGAGACAGAGAAUGUUCCUGCAAAUAGAAAUAUAGGAGGCGCGACUAGAGUUGCUUCAAGCUCAGGGAGGGAAUUAAGGAAAUGGCACGACUUUCAGCUCAAGAAGCGGUUCACAAAAUUCAAGAUUCCAGCGCGCUUUAAAAAAUCGUGAACGGAAUCAUCCACAACCACAGGAGUCAUCAGAGGAGCAAUUUUAGGACCAACUGCAUCAGCUACCGCCAUACUGUCACUAUGCAUUUUAUGACUAGCUGUUCUCUUUCUUGGUAAACAUUGAUUGUGCGGAUGGCCACAGGUAACAAAUAGUGAUAGCAGCUCCAUUUUGCUUAGGAAGAAAUUUCCUCUCCCUUGCUAGUAUUCUGAGGUUGUCGACUGCCUUUAGCAGCAGGCGUAUCACAUGCCCCAAAAGAAUCAAAACCAUCAAUAUAUCAAGUACUGUGAUAGACAUAUAUAUAUAUAUACCUUGAAUCUAUGAGUUUGGACAUAAAUUGUCAAGUGGAAAGAAACAUAAUUUAUUCAAUGAUAUGCAUCAUAUGAGCAUCAUUUAUUAAACUUGCAGGUAAUUAUACAUUCUUAUAUAAGGUGCAUUUAUUAUCCUGUAAAUCAAUUAAUUGAGAAUUUUUUUUCAAAAUUGAUCGUUUGUAUCACUUAUAAAAAUAAAAAUAGUAAUGUUAAGUUAGCGAAAUAUUAAUGCAUAGAUUGUGGAUAAAAUCGAAAUAUUUUCCAUUGCCUAAUUUUUCUUGGCAAUCAAACAAUUAUUUUUAGGAUAAUUCUUUUCCAAAUCAUUGAUUUCCAGUGAAAUAAAUGCAUCUUUAUUUAUUCUAAAAACUCCCCCUAUUGGAAAUAAACUCCCCUAAUUACAGUACUGAAAUUUAUUUGCAUGUUCCGGAAUGAUGAACUCAAGAAAUUGAGCAUAAUGGAGGGAAAAAAAAAUGAACCUCCCAUGCAAACUGCAAGAAGUUGCUUGAGUGACAACAAGUCUCAUCAUCUUAGCAUAGGAUUCUUGGAAGUGAAAAUUGUGCCUUGGGUUCUUUAUCUCUAAAGUUGCGUAUUAUUUGCGCUCUUGAAAAGCACUCUUGGAGACUUAUUUAAAGCAAAUGUAAAGAUCGAGGAGGAAGUCUCGGCUACAUUGGUGCAUGCGAGCCCAACUCAUAUGCAAUGUCAAAUCAAGCGGGUCCUACAUACAGUUCAUCUUCUCUGACGGUGCAUGCUAAUUGGCCUCACAUGUACCAACCAAGAAUUUUUUCCAGUAAAGAGGAUUGUUAUUGAUAUGCAUCAUUAGGUAAACCACUCGAGGAAAGUGUAGUGAAAUUGGCAAAUAGAAUUGCUUUUCAAGUCAUAAGUGUGUAUUAUAUAUAUAUAAUGUAUGGCAUUUAUAUCAAAAGAUAAGAAAAAUCGAAAUCAUUGUUUGGAUUUUCGGUUUGAUGAUAUGUAUUUUUAGCUAUGGGGCAAUUUAGGAAGCUAUUACAUUGCAUAAAAUUGUCUGAAAUUAUUUUCUAAAAAGCCAAAUGUCCCGAUCCAUUGUGCGUGGAAGGUAAAUGUUUGCAAUUGGAAUGUUGGGCAAACAUAUAGUAAUUAUGAAUAUCGUUUUGAUACCUAUAAAAUGUCUAGUUUGCCAUGAUAUGCACAAGUAUUGAGAUUUUCUGCAAUUGGAAUGUUGGGCAAAUUGAUAGUAAUUAUGAAUAUCUUUUUGAUACCUAUAAAAUGUUUAGUUUGCUAUGAUAUGCACAUGUCUUGAGAUUUUCUUUUAGAAUCUAAAACACACAGCAAAAUAUAAUUUUCCUUCUACAUUUUUUUUUCAAUAUUUUAAUAUAUUAUUUUCAUAUUUUAAUUCAUUUAAGCCAAUAAUCACUGAUAUAAAAAGUGUUAGUUAACAGCAUUUUGUCUAUCUACUAGAUGUUAAAUGCAAAAACUUAUUUGAUUGAUCAUAUAAUAUAUAUAUAUAUAUAUAUAUAAUAUACCGAUUAUGUAAAUUUAUUUUUUGAUUUUUAAUAUUAUUAAUGCGAUAUAUCUAUCGGAAACGCAACCCUGAAUCCGUGAGUUUGGACAUAAAUUGUCAAGCGGAAAGAAAUAUGAUUUAUUUGAUGAUGUGCAUCAUAUGAGCAUCAUUUAUUAAACUUGUAGGUAAUUUUACAUUCUUAUAUAAGGUGCAUUUAGUAUCCUGUAAAUCAAUUAAUUGAAAAACAUUUUUUCAAAAUUGAUCGUUGUAUCACUUAUAAAAAAAAAAGUAACGUUAAGUUAGCGAAAUAUUUAUGCAUAUAUUGUGGAUAAAAACGAAAAUAUUUUCCAUUGCCUAAUUUUUCUUGGAAUUUUUCCAUUGCCUAAUUUUUCUCAGAAUCAAACAAUUAUUUUUAGGAUAAUGCUUUUCCAAAUAAUUGAUUUCCAGUGAAAUAAAUGCAUCUUUUUUUUAUUCUAAAAACUCUCCCCCGUUGGAAAUAACUCCCCUAAUUACAGUACUGGAAUUUAUUAGCAUGUUCCGAAAUGAUGAACUCAGAAGAAAUUGAGCAUAAUGGAGGGGAAAAAACAUGAACCUCUCGUGUAAACUGCAAGAAGGUGCUUGGGUGACAAGUAGUCUCAUCAUCUCAGCAUAGGAUUCUUGGAAGUGAAAAUUGUGCCUUGGGUUCUUUAUCUCUAAAGUUGCGUAUUAUUUGCACUCUUGAAAAGCACUCUUAGAAACUUUAUCUAAAGCAAAGGUAAAGAUAGAGGAGCAAGUCUCGGCUGCAUUGAUGCAUGCGAGCCCAACUCAUAUGCACUAUCAAAUCAAACGGGUCCUACAUAGAGUUCAUCUUCUCUGAUGGUGCAUGCGAAUAGGCUUCACAUGUACCGAGUGUAACCAAGAAUUUGUUCCGGUAAAGAGGAUUGUUAUUGAUAUGCAUCAUUAGGUAAACCAUUCGAGGAAAGUGCUAUGAAACUGGCAAGUAGAAUUGCUUUUCAUAGUCAUAAGUGUGUACUUUAUAUAUAUAUUUUCAUCAUGCUUAAUGUAUGGCAUCUAUAUCAAAAGAUAAGAAAAAUCAAAAUAAUCUUUAAAUUUUCAGUUUGCUGCUAUGUAUUUUUAGCUAUUGCAAUUUAGGAAGCUAUCCGAAAUUAUUUUCUGAAAAGCUAAAUGUCCUGAUCCAUUGCGCAAGGAAGGUAAAUGUUUGCAAUUGGAAUGUUGGGCAAAUAGAUAUUAAUUAUGAAUAUCUUUUUGAUACCUAUAAAAUAUCUAGUUUGCUAUGAUAUACACAUGUCUUGAGAUUUUCUGCAAUUGGAAUGUUGGGCAAACUGAUAGUAAUUAUGAAUAUCUUUUUGAUACCUAUAAAAUGUCUAGUUUGCUAUGAUAUGCACAUGUCUUGAGAUUUUCUUUCGAAAUCUAAAACACACAGCAAAAUAUAAUUUUCCUUCUACAUUUUUAUUUCAAUAUUGUAAUAUAUUAUUUUUCGUAUUUUAAUUAAUUUAAGCCAAUAAUCAUUGAUAUAAAAAGUGUUAGUUAACAGCAUUUUGUCUAUCUACUAGAUGUUAAAUGCAAAAACUUAUUUGAUUGCUCAUAUUAUAUAUAUAUAUAUAUAUAUAUAUAUAUAUAUAUAUAUAUAUCGAUUAUGUAAUUUUAUUUUUUGAUUUUUAAUAUUAUUAAUAUGAUAUAUCUAUGGGAAACACGACCCCGAAUCCUUGAGUUUGGACAUAAAUUGUCAAACGGAAAGAAACAUAAUUUAUUCGAUGAUGUGCAUCAUAUGAGCAUCAUUUAUUAAACUCAUAGGUGAUUGAUUAUACAUUCUUAUAUAGGGUGCAUUUAGUAUCCUGUAAAUCAAUUAAUUGAAAAAUAUUUUUCCAAAAUUGAUCGUUUGUAUCACUUAUAAAAAUAAAAAUGGUAAUGUUAAGUUAGCAAAAUAUUUAUGCAUAGAUUGUGGAUAGAAACAAAAAUAUUUUCCAUUGCCUAAUUUUUUUCAGAAUCAAACAAUUAUUUUUAGGAUAAUUCUUUUCCAAAUAAUUGACUUCCAGUGAAAUAAAUGCAUCUUUAUUUAUUUUAAAAACUCUCCCCUGUUGGAAAUAACUCCCCUAAUUACAGUACUGGAAUUUAUUUGCAUGUUUUGGAAUGAUGAACUCAGAAGAAAUUGAGCAUAAUGGAGGGAAAAAAAAAUGAACCUCUCGUGUAAACUGCAAGAAGUUGCUUGAGUGCGACAAGUCUCAUCAUCUUAGCAUAGGAUUCUUGGAAGUGAAAACUGUGCCUUGGGUUCUUUAUCUCUAAAGUUGCGUAUUAUUUGCGCUUUUGAAAAGCACUCUUGGAAACUUUAUUUAAAGCAAAGUAAAGAUAGAGGAGCAAGUCUCCGCUGCAUUGAUGCAUGCAAGAUCAAUUCAUAUGCACUGUCAAAUGAAGUGGGUCCUACAUAGAGUUUUUUUUUUUUUUUUGGUAAGACCUAUAUAGAGUUCAUCUUCUCUUAUGGUGCAUGCGAAUUGGCUUCACAUGUACCGAGUGUACCCAAGAAUUUGUUCCGAUAAAGAAGAUUGUUAUUGAUAUGCAUCAUUAGGUAAACCAUUUGAGGAAAGUGUUGUUAAAUUGGCAAAUAUAACUGCUUUUCAUAGUCAUAAGUGUGUACUUUAUAUAUAUUUUUUUCAUCGUACUUAAUGUAUGGCAUCUAUAUCAAAAGACAAGAAAAAUCGAAAUCAAUCUUUGGUUUUUCAAUUUGAUGCUAUGUAUUUUUAGCUAUUGCAAUUUAGGAAGCUAUUACAUUGCAUGCAAUUGUCUGAAAUUAUUUUCUAAAAUGCCAACAAUUGGAAUGUUGGGCAAAUAGAUAGUAAUUAUGAAUAUCUUUUUUAUACCUAUAAAAUGUCUAGUUUGCUAUGAUAUGCACAUGUCUUGAGAUUUUCUUUCGAAAUCUAAAACACACAACAAAAUAUAAUUUUCCUUCUACAUUUUUAUUUCAAUAUUGUAAUAUAUUAAUUUUCGUAUUUGAAUUAAUUUAAGCGAAUAAUCACUAAUAUAAAAAGUGUUAGUUAACAGUAUUUUGUCUAUCUACUUAUACGGAUGGAUGUUGAGAAUUAACUGAGUGACACUUUUUAUCCACCACAUGCGAUUUCGUAAUAUUCAAAAUAGUUGUAAGUCUAAUAUGAAGGCGGAUUUAAAUCGAUCUAAGAUAAAUAUGCCAAAAAGGCAAUUAGGAAAACAAAUCAAAAAUAUUUCUUUGAUUUUGGCUCGACCACAAGGUGAUCAAAUUUCCAAACAUCAAAUUGUUCAAGAUGGAUUGAGGGCGAAAGUGUGUAAAAGGCGUGCCAGCUCCCAAGCGCCAACUGUGACAUAGAAAAUGUUACUUCAAUCUAAAUGACAAAAUUAAAGUGCUUGAAAUGUAAAAUGUGGAUAUAGAAAUUGAAGAAAAUCGAAAGGAAAGUGUUGGAAUCAAAGGAAAUUAAAGGAUAAUUUGGGUGAUGAAUGCGGAUAUUAAAAUUGAACUGCAAACACAUGAAACGAAAUUACUAAGAAAUAAACUUCCCUAAAAUUGAAAUAUCCUCACAGUUGUCACGACCCUCCCAAGCAGGCCCCAAGGGGGUUUAGACGGAUUACAAAGUGGACGCAAACGGUCCUUUUUCACAAGGUGAUGCUUGCGCUUCUCUCGGACUCUUCCAAGUCCUAACGAUCAUGAAGUUGGUUUACACUCGCGUAAUUAUGCAACUUUGUUUUCUCUUUAGAAAUCGCUAUCAAUCUAUUAUGGGUCAAUUAGAUGUCAAGUAAGAUAAGAUAGUUCACCUUAUUUUCUACGAACUAGAUAUUCAAGACAUGGUAACUUGAUCACACUAGAUAUUUAUCUAACACCCAAUUUGGUACAUAUUCUCUUAUGUAGAAAACACAUUUCAUGCAAUCUUUCCAACUAUUAGAUUUUCGUUGAAACAUAUAAAUCUAAGUUAUCAUGCAAGGUUGGUCAAAACCGAAAUUUAAUUAAACUGGCAAUCAACUAAAUAAAGUGCAGGAACAGGAAAUAACCGAAGUCGUAUCAAGUAAAAUAGAACAUCGCCUUGUUAUUAAAAGCAACAACGCAGGACCCCGUGAACUGGGACAAGAAAAAUAAUGAGCGCCCUUAAAAUGUGAAUGCGAAGACAGGAACGUGUAGAAUAUGCUUUCUUAAAGUGCCAACAUAUCAUAUUUUUAGGAUAAUGCAUUUACCAAAUCAAAGUUAUCUUAAAAAAAGAAGUAAACUUUAUCUGAUCAGACAAAGGUAUGUGUGAAAUUCUAAUCGAUCAUGAAUAUAAAAUGCUAAAUAUAUGACUAAGGUAUCAUAAUGACAUGCACAUGGCAAAAGUGAUACAAACAAAAGGAAAAAAAAAAAGAAGAACGCAAGGUAAACAGUGAAAAUAAAAAGAAAUAAAACGACCCCGAUUUCGCUGAGUUCUCUACACCAAAUGGACCCCCCAAAGACCUCGUAAGAUGAGAGUGGUCAGGGGAAGCGGACUCAAUUUCACCCACGUAGGGGCAAGGGAGAGGGAAUAAAAAAAAUUUGAGUGAGAGUUUGGGAAAAUCAACAGCGACGGUGAGCAACUACUCGAUNNNNNNNNNNNNNNNNNNNNNNNNNNNNNNNNNNNNNNNNNNNNNNNNNNNNNNNNNNNNNNNNNNNNNNNNNNNNNNNNNNNNNNNNNNNNNNNNNNNNAUCCAUACAAUUUAAGUAUCCGACGACCAAGUUUGAACCAAAAUGAGAGCUGCGGGAUUCUGCUGCAACAGGGUCUUGACCAUCACCACGGCCGUGGUGGCUGGUCUAGAAAAUUAGCGCGUGGCAGAUGAGAGUUAGAAGUGCUGUAGAUGCACUGGGCAGUAAACGCCCCGGGAGAUGAGUCAACUCACGGCCUGGUUAGAGAUGCAGACGACAACACGACCUCGUCGUGGCGGUAGCGCAUCUGGCCAUCGGCGAGUAAAUUAUUCUUUUUGACCGAGCCUGAAGUUCCAGCCCCACACCCGUGUCUUUUCCAGGCCCCAUGCCCGUCCCCUGUUUCUUCUCUGUGUUUUCUUUCAUUCUACACGCCAAUGUUUCCCCCGCGUUGAUUGCCCCCUUUUUUCUGCCUUUUCCUCCUCCACUCGGCUUACUUUUUACCACAAAUCUCUACGGAAUCUCUCGUUCAUCCCAUGUCUUGCCAAAAGCAGUUUUGCAGCCAAUGAGAUAAAAAGUCCCAAAAAAACAAAAGUUGAAACUCCGGUCCUUGUCUCUCUUGGUGGCCGCGAUGCCUGCAAAUAAUAAUGAAGCAUGUACCUUUAUAUUUUCCAAUAAAUUAUUCUUCUAUUUGUGCAUUCCAUGCCUCGAACUUGCCCAUUUCCUUUUUACAGUUUUCCUUGACCAAGCCCUUUUCUCUCGCAUUCGGCUGUCAAUUCAGCUAAGGUUCGAUAUCUCCAUUCACUUCUCCAGUUCCUUUUCAUUAUUCCGCCGAUUUUUUCCCGGUAUAGCUCGCGCAUUCGGCUGGUUCACAAAAAAAUCGCGAACUUGCCUAAGUAGAGGCUCAGCUCGGACAUGCUAUUCUCAAACAAAAAUAUCUCUAAUUUUUAAAUACGGAAAAAUACAGUAAAGAAUGAAAGUGCCGUACCAUGUACCAUGCUAUUUUUGUUUAGAGGUCAGAUUCUGUCAUUGUAGGUGAAUUCAAUCUCUAACUCUUAUGAAAUGAAUGAAAAGUCUUUGAGGAAAAAUUUAGUUGUCAACAAAAGUUACAGAUACAUUGAUGCUUAAAUGGGAACAUAGAAAUGAAAGUUAUAAUAGUAUUCACAAUGUCCAUGAAGAACACUAUACUUUAAAACGAAGAUUGAAACCGAACGAAAGACGUUUGGUUCAAAAGGAAAAAUGCUUGGGAGGAAAUUUGGCAGACCUUUGGCAUAAGCUUGAGCAUCUCCUCUUUCUAUGUGUUCUUUCUAUUUAUACUCCUGGGAUUUUCUUCCACAGUUAUUGAAAUUCAUACGUGAUCCCCCUCUCAACCGCGCCACCUUCCAUGAUUUUAGUAAUUCCUAAGUCAAUCAUGUGUCCUACAAUGACUGUCCCUUGAUUCAUGAUUUGAUCUAAUUCUUUUAACCACUCCAGCUCUUAAACAGGUUGUGGAACCAUUUCCUUACUCUGAUUGACAUGGUCACACAACUUUCAGGUGAAGUUCAACUAGAUAAGCUCCAUAUCAAAGUUGGGUUUUGUAUAACUUGACUCCUUAAACUUCGUUCUGUUCCCCUAAUAAUUGAAUCGCUCCUCAACAUCUGGGCCAUAAAUGUUCGCCACCAACAGGAGUUAAAGAAUAAUUAAGAGUGCCAACGAGAGUAGUAUGAUACAAAUUACCAUUUUCAUGUCUCAUUUUGCUAUUACUUUAUACUGCAUUUCAUGACAUACUUCCACCAAAGAAAUUAUUUUAUCAUUUUCAUGUCAUGCAUCACGUGAUUGAUAAAGCUACUUUGAUCGUACAGUGAGUAGACCAACAAAGACCAAGUUAGUCUUGGUCGUCUUCACUCUUUUUUGCUGGUGUGGGGUGACCCAUUCACUUGGCCAAUUCAUAUUGAAAACCCCAGCUCUGUGCUUAGUUAAAGCCACACAACUAAACUUUUUUUCUUUUGAGAGAGAAAGAUUUGGAAGAAUCCUCCUAGCGAUGGCAAACCUAGAGGCCGGAACAAGCAGUGAUGCUACACGAGCAUUGGGAGGUGAGUACCAGGUGUUCCUGAGUUUCAGAGGACCAGAUACUCGUUAUGGUUUCACCGACUUUCUCUACCACGGCUUGGUAGAUGCCGGCAUCCGCGUAUUUAGGGAUGAAGAUGAACUCCGUGUCGGCGAAGUGAUUGGUGGGAACCUUCUACGUGCUAUCAACAACUCCAUGCUCUACAUACCCAUUUUCUCCCGGACUUAUGCUUCCAGUAAAUGGUGCCUCCGUGAACUCGCAUGCAUAGUAGACAAUGUGCUUAACUCAGAGGGUAAAAAAAGUGUCCUUCCCAUUUUUCUCGACGUGGAACCUGAAGAUGUUAAACUUAAGACUUCAUUAUAUAGUACGGCUUUGCUGGAACACACGAACAAGUUUCCUGAUGAAGUCAAGGACUGGAGGAAGGCCCUUGAAGAAGUAGAUGAUAUAAAGGGUUGGAACGUGAAGAAGGACCAAAGGUAAAAGUCUUUUAGGAUCCCUACCUAUUUCUUCUCUUUUUUGUUUAAGGGAUCCAACGUUGCCGAGUCAAAUAAUUUCUUUCAUUUUUUAACGGAAAAUAUUGAAAACUGCAAGCAAUCGCCGCUCUCCUUCAACUUUACAUCCUCUGCUUUUAACGUCUUCCUUUAAAUUUUCUACUACGAUAUCAAUCACUUCAAUUUGAUCUGCAUCCUCACUACUCAAAAUACACAGUUUCCAUCUUCGGAAAAAAUUUCAACCAAAAAAAAUAUUUUUCAUCCUCAAGAAACACAAAUUACGCAAGGAAACUAAUAUUCGGUGAAUAAAAAUCAUGUCUAAAUAUUUAAUAGGAGCGGGAGCAUCUGGAGAACAUAAAGAAUGACAGGGCUGUCAUCUUGAGGCCUUGAGCUUUACAGAGCUCCUGGAAGGUCCAAAUCGAGGCCGAACAACCUCAAUCUGGCCUGGCCAGAGUGCGGAGGCCUCCGAAUGAGAGGCAGAGGGAAGGGACACAUAGUGUAGGAGGAGCUGGAACUUCGUACCGGUACAAGCACCGGACAAGUAGAGUGAUGAGGGUCUUUUUAAUAAGAAAACAGCAAUUGCAUUAAUAAGCCAAGGCGACUGAUGCAAUUUGAAAUAAUAAAUAUAAAAAUUAAUAUCUCAAUUAUGAAAUGUGGAGAUGCAAGUUGAUUUGCGUGGAAAAUGGUUUUCGCAAUUUCUCAUUAUUUUCCUUUUCACCUUUCUUCACAGUUAUCUUAGGCAAACUAAAAAACCUUGAUAUAGUAAUCACCCAUCUAAUCUAAUCAUAAGUAAUAAAGGUGGAAAUGAAUAUUGGGCCACAUUGGUCGAACAAUAAGCUAUGGAUAAGUUGGGGCGCCAAGUAGCAGUCACGUGGCCCCGCAUGGAAUUUGUAUCUUGUUUUGGAGAUCACCACAUGGCAUUUAUACUAACAACUUACUAUGUUUAUCACAAUCAUCAAUAACAACACAUAAUUUGAAGGUCAAUUGAUAUAUGUAAAUGUAACAUACGGUGAAUUAACACCUACUAUGCAUUAUGAUAGUAUGUGGGUGCCCAACAUGCCGCUUGAGAAUCUUGGGUUUCUAACCAAAAGCUAAGAGUUAUUGGAAAGCAAAUUGACAGGGCCUCUCCAUUGUGUUUCUAUAUUGACAAGGAAGUCCACCUUAAAAGAGUAAAUUCCGAAACCAUGACUUAUCUUACUAACUCUAUGGACCAGGGAAGGUACAAGCCAAAACCUAGUUAGGUGGACCAAGCAUAGGAAUGUUUCCACCUAAUGGUGUGGAGAACCAAACCCGUGUUUUGCACUUAAUCCACGCACAUUUCUUCACUCCUUAACCAGCAAGUUAACCCCAUGGGAGUCAGGUCUCAUGAUUUUCAAUUUUGAACAAAUCACAAUGUGACACAUCUCUUUAAACGCCAGUAUACUUGACAUGAUCAGAUCCGUAGAAGACUUACAAUGGCUAUACUUCUAGCCCUGGGAAAUAGUUCUAGAUUUUGGGAUUAUAUUUUUCUUCAUCAAACUGCAGUUUUCAAUGGAUGACAUUGCAUUUUUAACGUUAUCUUUAUUAAAAAAUUCUCCCAAUACAAAUGCUGGAAUUUUUCUAGGCUUAGUUAUAAAUGCCCAAAUAUGCUGGGUAUAGUAGUCACAUGGUAAAUUUGGCCAUCAUGUAAACUAACACUAUGCCCUUAGAAAUUUGUAUGAUCAUAUAUGAAAAACAUACCACUUGAAUUCCACUAAAUUAGCCUAUACAUAUUAUCCAGUGUAUUUAAACCUUGUUCAUUAUGUACUUCAAUCUUUUCGAGUUAAGAUUUUGACAAUUCCACAUGUGAUGGAAGGUUAUGAAAUUAAUCUAGUAAACUAACGAUUACCUUUGUACAUGGCAGUCAAGCAGCGAUUGUUAAAUUGGUUAUUGAAAAGGUUUUGGAGAAGCUGCAAAUAAAACAAAAAUCAGUGACUGAACAUUUACUUGGACUUGAUGGUCAAGUAAAAGAUUUGACAAAGUUAUUAGAUGUCAACAAUCAUGAUGUGCGGCUCAUUGGAAUUUACGGAAUGGGUGGUAUUGGUAAAACAACUAUUGCCAAGGUCAUCUUCAAUCAACUAUCUUCCCAAUUUGGAAAGUGUUGUAGCUUCCUUGAAGAUGUUCGAGAAAUCUCGUCAACUAAGGAGGGCAUAGUCCAGUUGCAGAAUAAAUUACUAAAUGAUGUUGCUGGUUCUUUAUCUGCAAAUGAAGUCAAGGAUAGUGAACAAGGAAUGAAGAGGAUUGGAGAGAUACUCAACACUAAGAAGGUCCUUCUAGUUUUGGAUGAUGUUGAUAAUAAGGAGCACAUUAAGAAACUAACAGGAAAAUUUUCACUACAUUUGGGAUCUAGGCUAAUUAUUACAACGAGAACCACAACUAUUUUGCAAGUUGAGGGAUUCAAAGGCGAAAUUCUACCGUAUGAGAUGUUAAAGAUGGAUUAUGGUGUUGCACUUCAACUUUUUUGUCGCCUUGCCUUUGGUAGAGACCUUCCUUUGGAUGAUUAUUAUGGGCUUUCAAAUGAAAUUGUCUCAAGUAUGGGAGGGCUUCCUUUGGCAAUCGUAGUGAUAGGUUCGUUACUGAAUCGGAAAAACAAAGCAUUUUGGGAAGAGACUUUGGUUAGGUUAAGGAAUAUACCUGAGGAAGAGGUUCUAAAGAAGUUGAGGAUUAGCUAUGAUGGCCUAGACGAAUAUCAAAAACAAAUCUUUCUCGACAUAGCAUGCUUCUUUUUCAAUGAGAAAAAGACUGAUGCAAUUUACAUGUGGGCUAGUUGUCAUUUUUAUCCCGAAAGAGGAAUUGAUGUCCUUACUAGUAGGUGCUUGAUAAAGAUAUUGGCUAAUGAUAAGUUCUGGAUGCACGAUCAGCUAAUAGAUCUAGGAAGGCAAAUUGUCCGUCAAGAAAGUCCUAGUGACCUUGGAAGGCAAAGCAGGUUGUGGAUUGCAAAAGAGGCCCUCGAAAUCAUAAGAGCCGAAGAGGUAAGUAAGAAAUGUUCGAUUUUUAAAUAGAUAUGGCAUAUCCUGCUAAUUAAGGAUUCUUUUUCGUUUAGGAUCUUUAUCAUUUUUUUACUACUCAUUGGAGUUGUAAAACAUAGUGGUUGAAGUUGACAAGUUUCUUCACAUCAUUGCCAAAUUUGACUUGCAGAUUAAGGACAAGGUUCAAGCGCUUAGGGUAGAUGGUCCCAAUGGCUCCAUUGAGAUUACAAAUGAAGAGUUUGAAAGGUUGCAAAACCUAAGACUCCUCAAAUUACAUAAUGGAACUUAUACUGGGGACUUUGCAAAGUGUCGUUCAAAGUUGAGAUAUAUUUCUUGGCGGCCUCCUUUUAUAGAUUUUAGGGCAGACAAUAUGCAUUUGGAUGCUCUGGUUGUUUUUAAACUUGGCAAGAAUGUCUUCCCAGAUGAUUCCAAAGCAUGGGACUUGAUCAAGGUAAAAUACAUGUUUUAAUUCUAGUCUAUUAGUCCUAGAUUCCUAGUGUGUACAAUGCAGUGGUUCUUACAUUUGCCAUUCAUUUUUUCAGAGGGCACAAAAUUUGAAAGUUCUUUCUCUUACCGAAUGUAAUUACGUAACAACAAUUCCAGACUUCUCUAAAUGCUUGGGUUUGGAAAGGUUGACUCUUGCACGUUGCUACCGGCUAAAGAGAAUUGAAAGUUUCAUUGGAGAUCUACAGUUGUUGAUUCAUUUAGAGAUUAAAUGGUGUGGGCAUCUUAUUGAUUUGCCUGAAGAAGUGGGGGCUCUAGUGAAGCUUAAGCACUUCUCAUUGCAGGGAUGUGCUAAAUUGAGACAACUUCCAAGUUUACUUGGGAAUUUAACCUCAUUGGUAGAGUUAGACUUAUCUCAUACGGGCAUUGUCAAACUUCCAAACUCCAUUGGAGGACUAGUGAAACUUGAGCUUCUUCUUCUAAGUGACAUGCCAAUGAGGAGACUUCCUAGCUCCAUUGGAAAGUUAAAAUCGUUAUGCAUAUUGCGUUUUUCAAGAAUAAUUACUCAUUUUAAGAGUGAUGAUGUCUGGCAGUUACCUAGUGACAUCAGCAUGUUGGAAAAUCUUGAAGAGCUAGAUCUCUCUCAUCGUAAUGAGUUGAAAGGUGAAAUUCCUUAUGGAAUUGGACAACUAUCAUCUUUGAGAAUCCUAAAUUUAGAAUACACCAGAAUCUGCGGAAUUCCAAGGACAAUUAACAAUCUUCAUCACCUUCAAAUGCUAAACUUAUCAAGUUGUCAUGAUAUUUAUAGGUUGCCGGAACUUCCAACAAGUUUGACCUGUCUAUGUCUUGAAUCUAAAUCCUUGCUCUCAGUCCCUAAUUUGUCUAAUCUUACUAAUUUGGUUGAACUACUACUGAGUGAUGGCUCCAACGGUAUAGGGAGAUCAAACCUAAUCACAGGAUACAACUUAAGGCGGAUUGGGAGGUUAUCUAGACUGAAAAAAUUAGAUUUACAACUGCUAAACGUCCCUGUACCUCAAGAGUUGGCUUCUCUUUCUCAUCUGGAAGUGCUCAAUUUGUGUUGCCUAGACCUAGAAACCCUGAUGCAGCUUCCGUCCUCUCUGAGGCUCUUAAAUUUAGAAAACUUUAGCAUCAAGGGAACGGAGCUACUUUCCUCUUGCUUGAGAUUGAGAAAUUUGUCGACUUUACAAUUCGAGAAUUGUAAAGUGGAAGACAUUCCACUUGAUGGACUUCCCCAACUGAGGAACUUACACGUUAGCCGUUGUAAACUGUUUCAGAGAUUAUCCAUUCCUUCGGAAUUAACAAAGCUACAGAAUGCUGUGGUGUUAUCUUGUCCAGAGCUAGUUGAGAUACAAGUUGUGGGUCUUUUGAAAUCAUUGAAAUUCUUCUACGUUGAUGAGUGCAAAUCCUUGAGAAGAAUAGGUGGGUUAUCAUACUUGAAGAACUUGGAGCAUUUAAGAAUCGCAAGUUGCCAUGUACUUACUGAUCUAGAGGGCCUAAACAAGCUAGAAUCUUUGAAAUAUUUGGAUGUCACAAAGUGCACAUCAUUGAUAAGGUUGAUUCAUGCUUCUUGCACAAAUAUACCAGAUGAUUGCCUCAUAGAAAUUCGAUGGUGUGGAGACUUCAUCAAUUGCACUUGGACCUACCCACGUGAAAUCUCUUUGAAGCGUUACAGGGAGAAGAUUUUUUUGGAUACAUCAAACAAGGUGCGAUGUCUUCUUUAUCAAUAUACUUCAGACGCGUGUGUAUGUGCGGGUUUGGAAAUUGAUUUGUUCUCAUUUUUGUAUAAUGCUGUAAUUCGGUAAAACUAUACAAAUUGUAAAAAGUUAAAUAUUUUUCUGAAUUUUACAUUAACAAAAAUAUUUUUCUUUAAUUGAAGGAGGAAAAUUUAUCAAAGAUGAUUCUUAACUAAUUUCAAAUACGUUAGUGUUCGUUCUUUUUUUAUUUGAAAUGUUGUUUUGUAUAAAAAAAUAUGCAAAUAAAAGUAUUAUAAAUCGUAGUUUUUGAAUCUAUUUCUCAUUAUAUAAUUGAAUGUUGGGUAUUAUGUAAUACGAUAUAUGUUUAUUUUGAUAUCAUGAUAUUUAGCAAAAAUUGCCCUCUUGGACUUCAACACCAUCGCUCAAUAGCCCCCAAACUUUGAAAAGUUAAAAGACUAACCCCCCACCAAUGCUCACCCAAAAGACUAUGAUUCAUGUUACAUCCACUAGUUUUACCUUAGUGUUUAAGACUAAGUUAAAAGAGUAUGAUUCUGUAUAACACUUAAGUGUUACCUAAAAUGGUAACUCAUUUUUCCUAACCGAACUUUCUUAAAUAAUUUUGUCAACCAUGUAUCAUUCUCUACUUUCUUAAAUCGAUGAACCGUAGAGUAGAUGUUACUCUAUCAAAAUGAGUUAGUCCAUUUUCAGUUAACAUUUCACGGUCAUACAAAUAGAAAAAGUAAUGGCUGAAACAAAAUCAAAAGUUUGGGAAGUAAUGUAUAACUUUUUAAAAGUGUUUGCAUGCUCUUGGGCAACACUACCAAAGUUUAGCACGGUAAGAUGAUAUUUUCAAAGUGUGAGCUUUUGUGCAAGGGAGCUAAAGUUCAAGGGGAUUUUGAGCAAUUACCUUAGUGUUUAAGAUAAGGCCUACCAUAAGAGUUAGUAGUCCAAAUAUUAAUUAGUCAAUUUAAGGACUUUGUUUAAUUCCGAACUUCCAUCAAAUAUGUUUACCCAUUACUUUCGGUAGUGGGCAGUGUAAUAUCUUCUAUAAAACACUCCAAAAUCUUCAAGAGCUAGAAAUAGUUACUUAAAUACUUUCUUUAAAAAAAUUCUUGAUGAACAAUAAAAAUGCAUGUGCCUAUGUUAAAUACACAUUAUAGCGUUAUGUUAGCAUCUAAAUAUAAUAAUACGUACAAUAAACAUGAGUGAAAUAUGAAUAUGUAGUCUUGUGCUAGUAAAUGAAAGAUAAAAUUUAAAAGAAAGCCUUAUAUAUUAGAGGAAGCUUUGCUUCAUUUUUUGGUGUUGGAUACUUUCGUUUCCCAAUGUACUUUUCCCCCCUGUUUUGAGGUUCCCAUUUUAUAUUUUGCUUUAAUUACUUAUGUUGCAUAAUUUUUUCUAUUUUAGUCAUUUAUCUCUACUUGCCAUUCGGGUGUUGGAUAGUUUUGGUUCUUUAAUGUUGUCAAUAACUCAUUUAAUUAUUCUUUUAAUAUUAAUUUAAGAAUAGCUUUCAUAGAUAAGAUAUUAGAUAGUAAAUUACAGAUUAUAGAUUUCAAAAACAUCAUAUAAUCUCUUUAUCUUAUAAUCUUUUAUUUGCAAUAUGCAUAAUUAAUGAACAAAUUAAUGACAUACGGUUAUUGCAUUAGUGAGCUAUGAAGAAAUUAAUUUCAAAUGAUAUCAUCAUAGCCUACAAAAGAAAAAAGGAACUCAUUAGAUUUUGCCACGUCACAUGGGAAAAUGAAUAAUGAAUGAGAGGCAAUUAAAUUGUGGUAUAAAUAUUUGAUAUUAUGAUUAUCCAUCUCUUAUGAAUUUAUUGUUGACCGGCUAAAUAAAAAUAAAUGUAAGGGUCAAUACUAGAAAAAACUCCAAAUGAAUACACCCGCGCCACAUUUACCUUAAAAUAAUUUACAUGUCAUAAAAACUUAUACACUUGUAUCACAUUUAACACAAACUAAUUUUUAUGUCACAAAAAUCUCAAACUGGUAUCCUCAUGUCACAUUGAUCCCAAACUAGUAUAUUCAUAUCAUAUUUACUCUAAGCCAAUGCACCUAUACAACAUUUACCCCCCUAAAAAUCCCAAAUUUACAAUAAUUUAGAUCAAUUUUGGGUAAAUGUGGCACAAGUACUCUAGUUUGAAAUUUUUUGUGACACAAAAAUUAGUUUGAAGUCCAUGUUGCAUGGACGUACUAGUUUAAAAGCUUUUGUGACACAAAAAUUAGUUUAAAAUUAGUUUGGAGUAAAUGUAUUAGUUUGGAAUUUUUAAUGGUAUUAGCCAUAAAUAUAAUGUUUGGUUUUCCUCAUUUUCUAAUAAUUUGUUAGAAUGUUUAUGCAAUAGCUGUAUUACAUAUUUAUUUGUUGUUUUGCUAGUGCAUGCAAAUAUAGUGGGAUUGACUAGUUUUCCAUUGUUGACUACUGAUGAGCUUGACUAGUUGACUCUACAUUUUCAGUACUAUAGCAGAUUGUCACCUCGCUGGAUUCAAAUCUUUUCAAAGAGCAUGACUAUUUCAGAGUAAAAUAAAGCAUGUAUUGCUUGGAAAAAUUGUCCUAUGUUAUAACACAAUAUAACUUUAUAAGAGCUAACAUAUUUGACUAAAAAGUGCAACUUAUAAUGAAAAGAGACAGAAAUUGAUUUUGAAGCAUAUUACAUUAGAUUAAGAAAGAGUACAACAACAUCCAGACUUUCCUUAUUGGAAACAACGUCUCAAUGGUUAUGAAUUUUUCAUUCAAAAAGCGGAAAAAUAAACUCUUUUUUAGUUCCAAAAUGCAAGUCAAUGUAAUUGAAAUAAGCAAUUACCAUUAAAAAAUAGUAGUACAUGAAUUAUGAUAAUAAAGUGAAAACCAAAUGAAGAAUUGAAGUUCACUGAAGUAAUAACAUAAAGUAUAGAAAGUGAAACAGAAUAGAUGUGAAAAAUUAGAAUAGUAAGACUCUUUUUACCUUUUUUUUUUUUUGCUUUACUUUGUACGGUAUAGAAUAAUUAGUGCAAGUGAUGAUAAAUUUUGAAGAAAUAAAAUUAGUGAAUCUAUCUAAUAAUUGAACCAUCGAGGUUAUAGUGGAAGAAAGCAUUUCGAGCUAAGAGCACCUUUAUUCCUAUCUAGCUACCCCACUAAUACUUUUUUUUCCCCUAAAAAAAGGAAUCUUUAAUCAAAUUGUGAUCCUAGGUAGAUAAUUAUCUAACUCAUUUGAUGUUUAAUUUAAAUUUACAUCACAUAUUUAUUACAAGUUCAUACUUAGUUAAUAAAAGAUAAUCCAAAUAAGUGUAACUGAUGUCCUACUGGGCAUCCGCGUAUUUAACCCUAGAUUUGUCUCCACCAAAUGAAUGAUGUCUAUGCCUGGGUAAACAUGCAAAAAGAUUUAAUGUAUAUUUAAUACAUAUGUUGUUUGUCUCUCACAUUAACCCUGUUGGAUCACAGAUGGAACAUCCCUUCACAAUCGUGUUCCAACUUUUUCACAAGACCGGUCGUUCAGUUGCUAUGCCAUCUAAUGAAAAGGACAAUGUCACCCCUGAUUCAGUGACAUAUAAAGGACUGAUUACAGACGUGAAAGGUUUCGGCUAUCGUGUGAAGAGAAUGUGGUACCGUCAAGAUGACAACUGGCGUGUGGAGAUCAAGAGUGAUAACCAAGUGAAGGAAAUGGUACAAUUAGCAUCUAAAAGAGGAUUCAUUCAAUUGGACAUCACGGUAGGGAUUGGCAAUGAGUGGGUGGAACGGAGUUACAGCCUGAGCAUAAUUGACGAGUUGGAAAGAAUGUGGGCUCACGAGAGUGGGGUUGAGUGGGACGAUUUAGAUCCUGAUGAACUGUUAAGAGAGGCAAGGAGAAUGAGGACUCAUAAGGAUGGGGCUGAGUUGGACGAAGAAGGAACAUUAUCGGUGUUGUGAUCUGGUGCGACGGAAGUGGAUUGUAACUUUGCAACUAAGUUCGGAGCUAUAGAAAUCGACCGAGAAAUUUAACGAGGAACAAUAGAAGAACACAAGAAAUUUACGCAAUUUGAUUUGAAUGUUGUAACAUACGUUCAUGGGAGAGUUGGAAAAUAAUCCAUUAAUGAAUUGGGAAAUUACCGUAUUACAAAAACUCACGUACUUGAGUGUUUCUCAGCUUUUGUAUAUAUCUAAUACACAGUAUUUAACAUCUCAACUCGAUUGACUCACUCUAUGCACAAAUCCUUGAGCCCUCAGCUCUCGUCAUUUGAGCUCUCUCUUUUUCUCCGGCUCGCGUCAUCUUCAGACGUCCUCUCCUUUUACGGGAAGAAGGGAAGAGAAACAAGACAAAUGGCACCCAUCUUUAGAAGCCAUGAGCUUCUAUCCAAUUAACGAUGACAUGUGUGAAUGGCGAUCAUUAAUCACUAAAUACACUGACGUAAGAAAAAAGAGAGCAUAGCUUUUAUCUUUUCUCUUUCUUUAUUCAUUAGCAAAAGGACAAAGGAAGCCCACAAAAGGUGACCGAAAGAGAAAAAAACAUAAGGCGCCUACAAGGCUUUAAAGCAGCAAGCCACCCCACCAAUUUCCAUGAGAAAAAUAUUGGUAUCGUAACAGUUUCACGUCAUUUUUACUUUGAACCAUUCAGGAUGUGACAUUUGUUCGUGUCAGGUCCACUACGUCCCACUUCAGAGCGGACGGAGAGCAGGGCAUUCUCUCUCCUCUUUACCUUCUCUCUCUUCCUCCUCUUCCGACGCUCAAUGCUCGCUCUGCACUCUAUCCCAACACACUGAACCUUCCCGUCUACCGCCUCCUCCUUCGGCCGUCACUGCCUCCCGACUAGGGGUGAGCACGGUUCCCGGGUAGAACCGGGAACCGGAGAACCGAACCGAGGGUUCCGGUUCGGUUCCCGGUUCUAGGAAGACAGGUUCCGUUUCCUGGUUCCAUUUUCUUAGGAACCAGGACCCCAAGUAAUAAGCGUAGAAACCCUAAUUUUUUCUUUCAUUUUCAGCCUUCUUCACUUUCCCUUUUCUUUACAUUUCCUCUCUGCAACUCUCCAUGCCCCCGACAACCCCACGCUGCUCAUCGCCCUCCAUGUCCUCCCUGCUCGCCGCCCUCGAAGCUACCCUCACGACCCACGAUGUCGCCGUUGACGCUGCCGCCGCUCCGUUUGACAACGCUGAAGACUCUUGCCGUCGCGUGUGCCGCCUCUCAAGUCGAGCUCGCUCAACUCAGCCACUGAUUUGAACCGAGUUCAGUUCAUCUGAAUCACUCUCUUUCUCUCUCGCCGUCUCCGAUUUUGCAGAAAGUCGCCGCCGGAGAAGCGAAUCGGAGGAUGGUCUCUCUCUAGGAGCAUAAGGCGUCAUGCGUCCUAAACCUAGGUUCGUUUGCUCUGUCAUCUUCCAUCCUGUCUGUGCUCGUAUCUCUUCAAUUGAUUGAGGCUGGUGGUGGUGGGGCUGGUGGUGAUGGUGAUGGUUCAGAGAGAGUGAAGAAGUGGAGAGACGCACUUCGCCAAGCGGCUAAUUUGUCCGGAUGGCAUUUAGGCAACGGGUAAUUGUCUAAUCACUCUUAGCUAAGUGACUGGAUUCUCUUGAUUGCUGUUUGUUUUGUAGAGAAUUUCUGUUAGAUUAAAAUCAGAUUAUAACUCGCUAGAAAUGGUAAAGAUGAAACUUUGUUGCCUAACUUUAGCAAAUUGUUUGAGAAAUGGGAUUUCAAUUGAGUCUCCUUAGAAGAAGGAAGCAGAACUACAGGUUUGGAAUUGGAAUUCCAACUUUCAGAGUCUGAUUCUUCCGAUAUAUAAAGCGGAGAACACACCUUGAAGAAAAUGGAGAACACACCUUGAAGAAAACCAGGCAUAAGUAGCAUUGCAUAAAGCCCAAGGGUUGGCUUCUUUUUUUCUUUUUUGAGUCUUGCAUCGUCUUGUUCCUUAUUUGGCUUUUGUUAAUGGAGAUGCUAGAAUUAUCUGGAAUUCUCUGGUAUUGGUCUUUCGAAUUAGACCACAGAACUAGGAACAAGAAUUUGCUAAGACUUGCAUGUUGCGCUUGAAGAGGACAUUUGAUUUUGUGAAAAGUUUGAUAGCCAGAAUGCAUUAUCUUAGUUUCUCUGUGUUGUAAUGAUUUAUGGUUGGUCUCAAGCUGAUAUUCCCAUCUCCAAUUUAUAGGCUUUGUUUGGUGAAUGCUGAACAUUUUAUCAUGGGUAUGGGACCCUUAUGGUCACCCUUAUGAGGGUAGUAACUGCUGGUCAUGCCACUAUCGCUUUCUCUCUCCACGUCAUGACUUUGUUUGUUGCAUAGUUUAUUUUGAAAAUGAAAUCCAAAAAGAAAAAAGAAAAAGAAAAGAACCUGUUGGAACCUGGAACCGACCUCGGAACCUGUGACAGGGUAGGUUCCAGGUUCUUGGUUCUGACGGGUAGGUUCCAGGUUCCAAAAAAUGAGGAACCUGUACCCGAGGGUAGGUUCCAGGUUCUAGACGGAACCGAACCGGAACCGGGAAUCGCUCACCCCUACUCCCGACGAUGCCUUUCUCUCUCCACUCGACGGCCUCAUCCUCAGGGCUGCAUUCUCUCGGCGCACUCCCGCGACAUCUUUCUUCCCAAACUGAGCUCUCUCCCGAUGACCAAUUUCGCUCGCCUCUCUCCGUCCCUGACUCGACCGAGAAGCAAUCGCUCUGGCCUCUCGUCUAAUCUUCCGUCGACGACUUGCUUUCCGCUCGGCUUGAAGAGGUCCCUUGAGAAGCCCUAAAUCCGUGACCGCAAGUCAGGUUCGAUUUCCUAAAGGUUACUCUUAGUUGUAUGGAUAAUAUGCCCGAUUCCGAUAGAUCACUCCUUGCUCUAAGAGCCAGUCUUCUGAUAACCAUUCCAUUUGUCCACACAUAAAAUAUCAAUCUAGUGUUUCUUCAUUUUUUUCCUCUUCAAACGCGACAAUUUUUUCGGGAACUCACUGCCUAGAAACAUAUCGCAUUCUGUUUCGUGACAAAAGGUUUUAAUUAAAGAAGUUAAAUUAAGCUUGUGCUCAUUCACAUAUUCGACUUGAUAUCUUUCGCACUUAAUAACAUGACAGAUGCUAGUCUGAGACCAAAAAAAUCCUUUCAGGUUUCAAACCAUCAUAUCAGACAUGUCGCUCAAGCAACUAUGCUCAUUUUUCAGAUGAGUAAAUGUUCAACACAUUACUAAAAAUUGUCUUAGUAGAGUAGAUCUCCAUUAUAGGGAAGAACUUGCGCAUUAGCGGGUUCUGAUUUGGACGAAUUCUGGCAAAUAAUGGGGAAGUCAUUGAACUGGUUAAUAAGCUCCUACCUGGAGCUAGUACAUUUAUUGUGCCAUUCAUACAUACAAGCCAGCAUCAAACACAUUAUUGUCUAGUUGUUACUGUUACUACGAAGUUUCUGAGAAAAUAGAUGGCUUGCUAAUUCUAUAUGCUAUUUUUGUUUCCAGAGAAUUAGACUGGGCCUUUUUGCUUUUAAAUAAAGACUUUAGUAUUUUAUGUAUGAAUUGGAACCAACUAAGAUGCUUAUUCUUGGACUAGGGAAUACGUCACACACUGUAACCUGUGAAUACUUCACUACCUUAGGAAACAGACAAACCUUAGAAGUUCAACCGAAGGCUAGGGGGAAUUGACAUAAGGCAAGAACUUAUUAAGUUCUAUGAAGAAAAUUACUCUGCCAACCUCAUGCGUUUGGUUGUAUACGGCAAAGGUACUGCUUGCAUAUAUACAACACAGCUUUAGAAUUGCUACAUUCUCUUCUUUCGGUGGUGCAAUUUUGUAAAAUUUCAUGGAUCUCCACAGGAUCUCUUGAUAAAAUCCAUGAUCUAGUAGUCCAAAAGUUCAACGCUAUUUCCAACAACAAGAGGAGCUUUUUGCAUAUUUCUGGUCAUCUCUGUUUAUGGGAACAUUUACAGGUCCAUUUCUGCAGUCCGCUCCCAUUUUUUGUUGGAAGACAUGCACAUUCCUCAUUUCCUGUUUGGUAAAAAUUUCUAUCCAGAAGAAAGUUAAAGAAGCUCCUACUUGUUGUCCAGGUUCUUGUUAUAGCCAUUCCAAUAUGUGACGACCACACGCUACAAGUUCAGUGCCCAGUGCCUCACAGCAUUCACCAUUACAAAGAAGUCCCAUGCAGCUACCUCACCCAUCUUAUAGGCCAUGAAGGAGAAUAAUCUCUGUUUCAUGCCUUAAAAAGAUUAGGUCUGUUUCUCAUGUCAUUUACAUUGCUUAUCUUAUACCAAUCCUCAGGAGGAUUCAUCUUAAUGGUAAUGUUCCUUUCUGCUAGGAUAACCUUCUUGAUUGAGUUAUUUUCUGGUAAUUGCAACUUAAAUAUAUGCAUCUCAUUUCCAUGUAGGAGAUUUUUUUUUUCCCAUGUAUAUGCAGCUCCUCUAUAUUAUGGUUUCUUGCUCCCAGGAUGCUUGAAAUGUCAACUGAAGCAGAAUAGAGUCGUGCUCUAUGCUUUUUCAAUGGGAAGGAAAAGGGUCAUGCUCCAUGCAUCUCUUUUUUCUGCCAGUAUGAGGAGCAUAAGAGUUCAAUUGACCAAAAGAUAUUCUUCAUUUUACCCUCCAUAGAGCAUACGGUGUAUAAACUUUACGAUCUGUUUGAGUGAACAUUGUUUUUUACUUAUACUUUUUCUUUUUCUUGUCGCCUUUGAAAUUUGGCUUUAAAUUAGUGUCAAAUGCCUGAAACCUUUUCAAAACAUGCAAAAAUUGACAUAUAAAAUAACUCUCUUUCAAAAUUUUGGGGGAAAGAAAAUAUCUGUCCUUUCUAAACUAAAUAAUUAGGUUGGGUUACGCAAAUUUAUGAUCCUCUGGGGUUGAGGGGCAUAAAAGCAUCUGGACCCAAAUUGUCUGCUUAUCGUAGUCAUUGUAAGAAGAAAUUAACUCGUGAAAAUAAAAUAUCCAAUUAGAAUUGCUGGAGCCAACAUAUUGCUUUGGCUUAAUUGUUUUCAGCUACUUUGAUCAAGUCUCUUUUCUGAAGGGUUUAUGAUCAGUUCUGAUGCAAAUGACUUUGUAGGAUGGGCCACUAGUUUGUCUGCUUAUGAAAGUGUUAUGGAUUCAAAUAACUCUUUCUUUAAUGUUGUCAUUGAGAUGAUUGAUACUGGUCACGGUAUGUUGUUCUGUUCUGGCUAUUGGGCGUUUCUCUGUUUUUCUUUCAGGUCAUUUGCCAAAAAACCAUUCUCACAAACUUAGGGCUUUGCUUAUUCCCUUUGACAAAAAGUCGGUCGUGUAAGAAAGCCCAGAUUAUGAGGCUUGAAAUUCUAAUCAUGUAUUGCACCAAAAAGCAGAGCACAUGCAAGAUAUCAUGGGAUUGCUCUUUAAAUACAUUGACAUUUUACACCAUCUGGUGUUUGUGAGUGGAUUUAUGACAAGGUAUGGAUCCAAAAUGCCUAUUUAGGACUAUGAGUUGCAAAUAUGAUAAGUGCAGAAGCAGCCCAACCCAAGAACUUUCCAAACCAGAAUUAAACUAAUUCAGCCCAAGCGUCAUCUCUUAUCCUAGGCCCACUACGCCUAGUCCCAAUAAGCCGAACAAAAGCCAAUUCAUUAAAUCCACACAAACCUCCCCAACCCCACCUCAUUCCCAGAGACGAGCAGCCUUGAGCUGGUUCGUCCCCGGCCGCGCCCCGGCCGCUAUACUGGCGCCGCCGCUCCGUCGAUCGCUCACGCCAACCCGCGAGACCAACUCGCCACCCUCCCUUUGCGAUUAGCCACGAAAGCCGUUGAUCCCCUGAGAACUAGUCGCGGGCCAUCAAUGGAUAAGCGCUAGCGAAGCAACGCGCAUGGGAGUAUGCCAAAGAAACAGCCAUGACAGCCCCGAUCAACGAGAUAAGGUCUCGCCCAGGACAAACUCCGUAACUGAAGAUCAAAGUAAUGCUACGUGAGCUUCGGGUAAGGCAAAAACAGUGGCUAUUGUUACGGAAACGUCUCGAGGACAUUUUAUCGAACACUUAAUAUACGCAAACUGAGGGGCGAGGAGCGAGGACGACCGAGCCUGAGCUCUAGCCGGGAUUCCGAAUGAACUACAUACCAGUCCCCCAAAACCGCAGCGCGCACACAAAUGAAGCCAGAACUAACGGGAACCGGACGACGUCAGCCCGGUCCGGCGAGCCCGAAACAGAGCACGAAAAGGGGUACGAGCGUUCGGAUGAAGGAGCCCUAUCCGUCUCGGCGGCAUCGGACGGUGGGCGAGCUCGAUAGAUCGGGCUACGCUCGUUCGCCUCGCACGUCUCCGAGCCGGGAUCCUCGGGAAAUCGACGCCCGAAAGAAAGGCGAACGAAACCGAACCAAAACCUACCGUGAGCUCGGCUCGGGGAGAGGGAUAACGUCGGUGGGUCGCCGGCCGGGUUUCGAGUGUGUUUGUCGACGGAGAGCCCUCGCUCACUCUCAGACUCUCGCUCGGCUCUCUCCGGUCACGGCCUCCCUCUCGCUCGGAUCUCUCCUCCCUGCCUCCCCCCCUUCCGUUUCCCUUUCUUCUUCUUAUUGAAGGGCCAAAAUGGAAGACGAGUUCUCAGGAGCACGUUAUACGCCCAGGAUACAUUCAGACAAAUUUAGGCGUCGGCUGAUUCAUUUAGAAAGUCGACUGACUUUGUUUUUAUUUCCUCAGCGUUUCUUAAUCAAAAAUACUAUUUGAAUAAACCGAGACAUAAACGUUCAUUAAACGUAGAUAUUACAGACAAUGUUAGAAAUUUUCAGGUGCUAUUUAUUCGUUUGUUCCGCUAGGCAUACCUUUCACCUGUAGGUAUGUAGCUGAAACGUGUGGACUCGUCAAAACUAACAACGACAACAAAUAAUUCCAGAAAACAAAAAUGAUACAUCGGUUCCCAGUAGUAUUUCGAAGUAAACUUGCCCUUCUUUUUCAAAUACGAGACAAUGCCAUUGAUGUAUAUUGGACCUUAGCAAAUUUUAUUAAUAAAAGAAGAAUGAAGUUUUAAAUGGAAGAGGUAUGCAUUCGUUGGACACCAAAUUUUCCUCAAAUAAUAUAAAUUAAUGAUAUACAGAUACAUGUUGAUUGUGAAUAACAAAAAAACUUCUCUUUUCAAAAUAAUGAAUUCCGUUAGUGGUUGAAAUGUGGCUUGAAAUUUGACUUUGUUUUGAUUUGGAUGUGAAUCGGGAUUAAAGUCUGAGACAUCUUAAGCAAGCCAAAAGGUUUAGAAUGCGUGAUGAUACAUUUUUGAUGUCCUAAAUCAAGUGGUGGACAUCCAAAUUAAAUGGUGAGGCAAGACAAGACUACUAUGGAUAUGAAUUGCGGAUUUUGGAUGUCUAGAGGCAAGAUUGGACAAUUGGCCAGACUCAUUAGAUGUUAGUGUGAUGUCUCGAAUUUCUGUCUAGCUAUAUUAGCAAGCCAUGUAGGAAUUUAAUUUUUCAAUAACCAAAUUUAGUGAGCGAAUUAGGGACGAAGAAAUUAGCAUAUGCCUUGUACGGUUUAUGUAUGCGCCCAAAGUUGCACCUUAGGACAUAGUUUGUCUUUUAAUACACCUAUAUAUUAUAUAUAUGUGGCCGGCCUUAUUAUUAUUUUUGCAUGGGAUAUAUAAUUUCUAUAAUUUCCCUAAAUUAUGUUGCCGCCCUAUAGCCCAACAUCUCCCUCUCAUUCGCUUCCAUUUUCCUCUAAGGAUUUAAGGUCUAGAGAUCAAGAGAAGCAAAGAUAAGGAGAAGUGGCUUUCUUCUACUCUUCUUGAUCUUUUUUAGGCUCGGUUUUUGCUAGAAUAUGAGCUAUUUUGUGUUACUUCUUGCUUGCAUGUCCUUAUUAGCUCGAGUAGAUGUAGAGAAUGUGAUAUAAUAGCUUAGAUAUGAUGUGAUUUGAGAUUUUAUGAAAGCGAAGCAUUGCAUGUCAUUUUCAAGGCCUAUAUAGUCUUGCAUGUGAGUUUCGUGUGUUCGUUUGACCCUCACGUAUGAAGUGGUUGAUUAUAAUUGAAGAUGGAUAUUGCAUGUGCCUUAGGACUUCUGGUUUUGGUGUGUUUUGAGCAAAUGGACUCAUAUGGUGCAAGUUUUACAUGAGUUCGUUACUGUCGUCUGGAUUUCCAGAAUUGAAAUUACUGGACCUUAUCUGUUUUUUAAUUUUGUGAAGCUUGUUGUGGUUCGAAUUUGAUGAGAAUUUCUCAUGAAAGGUGUGCAAGUAUCUUGAUGUAUAACAUACUUUAAUUUUAGAUUUUUUUGAGGUGAUAUGGUUGGUGCGAAAGCCUAGUUAUUUACCAUGUCUGAUCUGCCCAAUGCAGUAGAAAUAGUAAGCUGAUUGUCUUUCUAAAUUUUCGUAAAAUUUUUCCUUUCGAUUUUGGACUUGUUUCCUUCAUAAAAGUUGUAGAGGACAUUUUGAUUUAUACCUGCAGUAUGAGAACCGUGGAUGCUUGGUUAGUGAGCUAGAGAUCAUUGUGUGAGCUGCCUACACGGACUGGUUGAGUAGUGAAACGGGGAUGGACCCAAUGAUACUGUGCAUGAUAAAUGUGAAGUAUGACGCCCCCAUUGCAUAGUAGUGUGACCCAUGCGAUUGUAUAUGACAUGUGUUGCAUUAAUUGCUCACUAGUACUACUUGUGUGACUGGAAAUGGUCUGUAGUAUGUUGUGUGCUCAUACUUGUGUGCUUACUUACUUGAAUAUUAUCCUAGGAAUCGAGUGUCAAUUAGAUCGAGUGAUUUAUGAGCUUGUUGUUUCUCUUGCUAAGCAUCAACUCACUCCUGUUGUUAUUUUUCAAAUUGAUAGCUAUGUCAGUCGCUCCUCGCAUCUCCCAUCUCUCGUUAUGGAGCGCCUGUUGCAUUAGAGGGCAAGCACCACAAGUUCAUGGAAUCGGAUUUUCCGGGCACAAUGCUUGUUCGAUACACGACUGUCUCGCUAGUGGACAGAGGAUAGCUUGAUCUAAUUUCCUACUGCUUUGUUGCUAUAUUCGUGCUAGUGGACGGACACCUGUUAUGACCGAUUCCAUCCCCUAAUGCUCCUGGUGCAAGUGGUGAUGGGAGGGAUGUGGAGGAUUAGGAGCUGGAGUAGGAUGGAGUGUGGAGGAAUCAUGCUUGUAUUUUGACACAAUCAUAACUUUUUGGCGUGAGAGCUAAUGUAAUCGGGACGGUUGGAUGGAGAGACGUAUGUACGAACGAGGAGCUUGCUAUAGCAGGUUUGUCGGAACACGAAGUCAACACCUAAUAUAAUAAUAAAUCGCCAGAAGUGUGCUGCAGCGCCACACUUAAACCGCCAAAGAAGAGAAUUCUCGAAGAGGCCAGGAGCAUGAAGAAAGCAAAGAAAGAAUUCUCCACUCCAUGCGUGAGAAUUCUGGAGAAAGUAUGCAAGAAAAAGGGCUCACAAUUUUAUAAUAUUAUAUUGUGAGUAGUUGCAACGAAUUCUCUCUUUAGUGGAGAGCAAAUCGGCUGGGGAAGCUGAUAAAAAAGAUUGGGCACAUAUUAAAAUACUAUUAUAAUUGUUGCUGGAGUCUUCAAGAGCAGGAAGGAAGGUGAAAAUUGCGGCUGGUAAUUUUGUUCACACUGAAGACUGCAAUGAGAAGAAAAGUUCAACUUCGCCUCUUUCUGUUGAAGUCAAAGGCGGUAGAAUUCAGGCGGUGGAGUCAGGCGGUGGAAGAUGAUUAUAAAUAUGGCAGUACGUGAAGCGUUUGAGCUCAGGCCGGAAGGCCUCACAUAGAGGCAUCGCAGCCUCAGGUCAACAGGCCAGGGAGAGGGCCUCACGCCACACGCAGGCAGAGAACUUCAGGCCAGCAAGGAAGCCACACGUAUGUGAGCUUCAAGGAAAGCCUCCAGCAGUGAGAGCUUCGGAACAGGGAGUUACCAGGUGCAACGGUGAACUUCAAGUGAGAGGCACUGCAACCUCAGUAGCUCUGUGAGCGAGUUAUCCCUUCGUGAUCGAGAAGGGAAGAAAAUAGAAUAGCUGAGUGUAUGCUUGUAUUAGUUUAUUUGAGUGUGUACUUGUAUCAGCUAGUUUGAUUUGAGUAUUUUAACGCUUCCGCAUAUUUUAUAAGCUGCGCACUCUGCAAUUAAUAUUAGUGUCAAGCAAAGGAUCGCAUAUUCUACAAGGUUUUAGGGAAACAGGCAUUUUUUUUUUUUUUAAAUUUCUCCCAGCUUAGGUUUUUCCUUUUGAUGUAUAAUCCACCACCUUAUGUAUAUAUAAGUAUGGUAAAUAAUGGAAGCAUGAUUUCCUUUACUAUUGGUGUUUUUAGAGGCACGUGUAUAGUUCAUGUUAUAAAUGCUAACCUUUAGAAAAGAUUUUCACUUGCGUGAUAACUUAAAGUAAACAAAGAACAAGGUUUAGUAAGUGGCGGACUGAGAUGCCACAGUUCGCCCAUGGACACAAUGAGCAGGAGUGAGCAACUUUGAAUGUCUGACCAAGCUAUGGCUAGAUAUCUAAACUGGACUGAAUUUUCCCGAGAAGAUUUUAGAUGGCUGAAAGCGAUAUUUAUACUAAAUGCGGGUUUUGACCUAAUUUUGUUCUAAUAUCAAGCCUGACUUCAGAGAGAGCUCAGGGAAUCGUCAAGGAAUGUGAGUGAGUAAACCCUUCGUAUCUCUUUGAUUUGACCAUGUGAGACUUUUUUAAUAUAAUUGGGAACUGGAAUACAUUUGAGAGUUAUAUGUUUCGAAUGAAUGUAAUUUCCUCUUGUUGAUAAUAGUAAAACAUCUUGUCGAUCUCUCUUUAUGGAGUAGGCACAUUAGGUCAAACAAUAUAAAUCCUAUGUGUCAAAUUUAUUUUCUACGAUGGUUUCUUGCUUAAUUGUGCUUGUUUCACGCUUCCACCAUAUUUGAGUAAUAAACUCGUAUCAGAGUUUUGUGUUGUUGAUGACAAGCAAUGCUUGUCAUUUCGCUAAUUAGAAAAAGGCUAAAAACAGCUCAUUUAAAUCAAAUUUAGAAAACUUAGAAAAAUGACAAUCAUUGUAUGAACAAAAUCUCAUCGAAACCGACUUCUUCAGCAAGUGUAUCGUGCAAAUAUUAGGCAUCUUGUUCACUCUUGAAUGCCAAUCCAACUGUCGGUACGCACACCCAUGACUAGAAAUUUAAAAUGGCCAAAAUCAGCUCAUUUGAAUCAAAUUUCGAAAAUGUAUCAAUGCAAAAUAAGAGCCAAAUUGAAAACAUUCCACAUAGUUGUUAUAGAUGAUAAAAAUGAUGUAGUGUUCACUCCUAGUUUUAAUCCAACCACAGGAGGAUGUCUAGAUCUUUGGGUUUUCCACAUACCAUUAUAUAAGUUAUUUAAAUAAUUUUCUACGUCAUUUAUACUUCCUUAUUUUAAUAUAUAUAUAUAUAUAUAUAUAUAUAAUUUAAGAUUUAUUUUCUUUUUUUUUUCUACGUAUGAUUCUUCCUGGCAAACCUCUCUUUCUUUUGUAGUCUAUUUUUCUGCAGAGCCAUUUUCUUUGGUUUUCAUUUUCUUCCAAAAGGAAAUCUUCUUUUAAGGUUUUGCGGUCUAUUUCAAAGGAAGUGCUAAUAAGUUUAUUUGGAAAUUGAAAACAUGAGCAAGGUACAUUUGCUAGGAUGAAUACGUAGAUGCUUCUUCUAGCAAUGUAGGAUCAAUCCUAUAAGUAAGACAUACCACUUGUUCUUCUGUUUUUCUAAUUCCAUUGCAAACUAUUCAUUAAUCUCUUUUUUUCAGGGAUAAGUGAGUGUGAUGAUCAAGAAGGUGCUUCAUAUGAAAUUCUUGUCCGAAUUAUUUCUUUAUUUAACUCUCCUAUGUUCAAUUUCAUCGAUCUAGUUUUGUUAAACAUAAUUUCUAUUUCUCAACCUUUACAUUUUCUAGAAAAAAAAAUACCAUAUAAAAUUUUAAAAUAUGUUCAUCGUAUCUCCAACACCCUUACACUUCUUUUUGGAUCUUUAAAAAUGCCAAAUUUAUACUCACUUGACACAUGUACUCUCCGUCAUAAUUCUAUCAAAGAUCAUCCUAAAAAAUCCUACUGCUUACGUAGACGGUAGAAUACAAGAGAAGUUGCUGUGGCGCCGUGAAAACAACGACGUUGGCAUGGUGGUUGACGUGGACUACAAGGGUGCCAUUUUGCGCUCUCUCGGUUGCUGAAGUCAAUUUGGGGCAAAUAUCUAGGGGUUCAUGGUUUGUGUUUAGCUCGGAUAUAUCCAAAUCGAGCUUCGAUUCAACUUGGGCGACUGAUUAUGAGUUCACAUUGUUCCAAAUCCGUGGUUGUUUGUCUGGUGUUUUUCUGAUUCAAGGUUUGCCUCAUUUUCUUGCUCUUUAGUUAUGUCAUUACCAGAGUUUGUGCAUUUUUGCCUCGUCAAGAUUCCCGUGAAGAGUUUUUGGCUUCAUGUCUAGUACUUUGUAACCCCUCAAAAUUGUGUUUCUUACUCCUGCAACAUGAGGUUCUUUAUUUUACGUGCUCAUCGGAAGAAAUGGAUUAUAUAUUAUAUUACUCAAUUUUAUCAACUCUUUAAUUUUCUCAUAUCUGUUGUGCAUCUACAUCUUGCCAGUAUUCUAUAAUUUGAUCAGGAUAAGAUACUACUAAGAUUUGAUAAUUCAAUGCAAAUGUAGUAGUUGAAUGUACUGCUGGGAACCUGGGACUGAGAUACUGCUAGUGUGAACUUGGUGCUCUCAUCGAUGUUUAGAGCUUUGAAAGGCUGCUCUACUUAGAUUUAAUUGGCUUAUUGGAUUUGUUCACCGGAAUCAUUUUGCUGAGCGCAUUGUUCUUGUUGCGCUGCAUGUGCUUUUGAAUGCCAGGGCAAGAAGAUAACAAUGACCCCUAAGCUAUAGAGAAGUAGAUGUCUGUCUUGGCUUUCUCUUUAGUUAUUCGAGCUAGCUACGAGUCACUUUGUUAUUUCCAUAAUUUUCUGUUGCAUUAUGGAAUGGUUAAGUUUCGAGAUUCUAAUGAUCAUAUGUUGGCUAGUAGAAGGAGGUUCUAUCAUUGGAGGUGAUGGUUUGUCAAUUUUCUACAACAAAUUAGGGAUUGAUGAGUUAGUACAUUGUCAUUUGAAAUGGUUGCUUGUAAUGGCCAAUUGAGUAUAGGACCAGUUCACUAUCAUAUGUUGUUCACUAUGGGUGGCUAGCUUAACAUUAUGUGCUGUGUAUUGGCCAGUAUAGUGUUAGACAAGGAUAUGGUUGCUUUGCUAUAUGCCGUGCAUUAUUGAAUUUAAUUUGUUGUAAUGUGUUUGAAGGCCUCUGUUUCACAUAAUUUCCAGUGUUUCCAUUAAAUCAACCUAUUUUGCUAUAUGUUGUGUUGUGCUUUGUUUAAUUUGAAGUUCCUGUCCAAAAGCAUGCACUUUUGGAAUUUGAAUUGCUUGCUUCUAUCGGGCAAGUUGAUGAUUGUGGUUUUUUUCAAAUGGAUUGUUCCGAAAUCUUCAUUACAUGGCAGAGAAGUGAUUUUGGAUUGAUCAAUGAGAAGAAAGUGCUGGCAAAUAGUAUUGGAAGUGUGGAAUUUAGUUGAAAGUAUCUUAGGAGAAAUUCCACUUUCUCAAAAUGCAGCUAGAAAGGAGUAGGCGACAGAACAACAAGAUACAAGUGGAAUUGUCUCCACUUGAAGGGAAUGUAAAGAUCUAUUUCGGAAGGAAAAGGAAAGGAAAAUAAUCUAUUUGAGAGGCAUAGUCGUAUUGAAAGGAUUGAUGUGCCCAACCCUAAUGUUGAAGUUGGACCCCAAAAAAAUAAAAAUAAAUAAACAACAUUCAUUUAGAUUGACAAUAAUGUUGGAUUGGGGAUGGUUGUGUUGUUUGUAUAUCUUUUUUGCUUCUUGGUAGCAUAAGCGGAGGGUAGAUGCGAGGCAAGACCAAUGUUAUGAUGCAAAAAAAGUGAAACAGUGUUAAACUGUAUCAGCAAAAUCCAAGUUCAACUGUGUUCAAUGUAUUAACAAAUCUAUGUUCAACCGUGUUAUCUAUAGAGAAAGGUGUCGUGUUCCCUAUACUGCAUAUUUAUUUCAGAUUCCUAUAGUGAUACUGUCAUAUUAUCAUGUUGCACAGAUUGAAAAGGUAAAGGAUUUAGGUCCUUAAAUUUUUAAUAACUAUGGUCAUCCUAAUUGGAAGGGAACGGAUUUGCUUGGAGAUGAAGAAAAUAAGAAAUAGAGCCACCACGCACCCACAAAAAAAACAACUAUCGCCAAUUAUUUGCUUCCAAUGAGGUCUAAAAACCUCUCUUCACUUAGAACUUGGAUGAUUACAAUAGGAAAAACCAAGUGGACAAGUUGGUAUAUGGUUUGGAAAAUAGGAAAAAGAGGAAAUUACAACCAACUCAAAAGAUUACAAUAGAAAAACACCAACUGCACAUUAGCUACCAAGAUGCUGUAUGGUUCAAACAAUAGAAAAAAGAGAAAAUUUACAACCAACUCAAAUGAUCACAACACAUCCAUCACAAAACAGCCAUCACAACCAUAUGUCGUUGUUCCAUUAGUCGUUGUAGUGGCUGCUGUACCAAGUCCUUCCUUCCUAUCUUUGUGCUUCAAAGAGAUUAAAAGAAGAUCAGCAUACUCCAUCUUGGAAUCAUCAGUAAGAGCAUUUCACAAGAAUCAGUACUCCAAAAUACUUGCAAACCAAUAUCAUGUUAGAACUGAAUAACUUUACAAAGUGAAUUCCUCAGAAAAAGCUUCACCAGAUAAUUGUGAUUUUAAAAGAAGUAUCCAGGAAUUCUCACAGUCCAAAAGCAUGUGUUUUUUUUUUUUUAUAACUUUUAAGUUUUUAAUCGGACCACCUAGUAAUUUGCAAUUCUAUCCAAAAUUAGUUGGAAGGACUAUAUUGAUAAACUGUUAAAAGUAUUAUGACUAAUUUUUGCUAGAUCAAAAAGUUUAUAAUUGAAUUGAGACCCAUAUAAUAGGUUUUUUUUUUUUUGAUCAUUAUCCCAUUAUAAAGUCAAAGCCUCCAAAAAACCGUUCACGGAAGUUGAGGGGUUUUUUCCCCCUCUAUUUUCGUUUUUUUUUGGGGGGGGGGGGGGGGAAUGGAAGUUAGAGUUGUCAAGAGCUCCUUAUAUGGGAUUGGAUUGGAUUCCAAUCUUGGGCUUGCAUAGUGCAAGAUGCGUAGGCCCCAAUAGUAUGUUGAAGCACGUCACAUUCAAAUAACUCUUUCAAUAUAACUAAUUUGAUUCUAAAUCUUUUGACAAUUUGUUAAGGUAGUCCAUCUAGCAAACUUUUGCCGAAAAUAACUCUUGGGCUUGGUCAUCAAGCAUCUUACACGACAGAGCCAACACUUGAUUGACAUUGAUGUGAACAAUUUGUGCAAUUUUUUAAUAUUAUAUCUAUUUUUUUUCCUUUUUUUUCCAUAUAUCUUCUUUUAUUUCUUCUAUUUUUUAGAUGAGGUCGUGAACAUCCAGUGAAGGCGUCAUUGCCUUUGCCCAAGCCCUUGCCAAGAUCCAAGUGACUUCAUUUAGGGUUGGUUGGCAAGCUUGCCCACGCAAAGUUAGAGGAAAGAUGAAAGAAAAGAAUAAAACAUUUCAAAAGAAGUUCAAAAAAUUGCAAAACUUUACCAUGUUAGUGCCAAUCAUCUUACGUAUUGACUUUGUCACGUAGGAUGAAUGGCGUUGACUAGACCAUCAUGUUAACAAUUUUUUAUAAAAAAUUGUUGAAAUGACUAAAUUGGCAAAUUGUCAAAAAGUAUAUGACUAAAUUAGGCAUAAUAUUUUGAUAAAAAAAAAUUGGCAUAAUUGUCUACCAUAAGAUAGUUUCAAGAUUUUUUUUGGACAAUUAUUUCGAGAAAAAUUUGGCACAGUUUUGGCACAAUUUUUUUUUUUUUUUUUGUGGGUAUUUUGGCACAUUUUGACUGUUCCUCUUUCUCUAUGUCAUUUCUAUAUAUACUCGGUAAUUCCAUUAACCAUCAUUGCAACCCAUGCGGGAUCCCCACUCUAAUUGCUCCACAUUUCCAUGAUUUCCUCUACUUCCACAAUUUAAGUUACUCCUAAGGUAAUCGCGUGUUAUGCAAUAAUUGUCCCUUCAUUCAAAAUUUAAUCUAUUAUGUAAUUGUUCCAAUAUUUAACUCAAACAAGGCAAGGUACAAUUUCCUCACGAUAAUCAAAAUGGCCAACAAAACACCUCAAAUCAAAGUUGGGCCUAGUAUAACUGGACUCCUUAUACUUCAUUGAUAGUUGAAAUCUCUCAAUAUUUGGGCCAUAAAGUUCACCACCAACUGGAGCUAAAGAAUAAUGUUGUGAAAAUCUCUAAAAAUGUAGUACUGAAAAAGCAAGAGUACCAAUGAGAGUUAUAUGAUAAGAACUAUGAUUUUCAUCUCUCAUUUUACUAGUACUUUUUCUUACUGCAUUUCAUAUCAUGCUUCCCCGAAGAAAUCAUUUCAUCAUUUUGAUGCCAUGCAUCCCAUGAUUGAUAAAGCUACUUUUGACCUUUAAAAUGACCCGGUCGACAAAGACCAAAUUAGUCUUGGUCAUCUUCACUUUUUGCUAUUAAGGGUUCACACAUUAUUAUUUCAUAAUGAAAAUUGUUAAGAAAUAGCAUUUUCAUUUCUUUGCUUUUACUAAUACUUUAUCUUACUGCAUUUCAUAUCAUGUUUCCACUGCUGAAGUUGUUUCAUGAUGUUGAUGUUGUAUAUCAUGCAUUUUGAUAGAGCUACCUUUGAUCUUAAAGUGAACCAACCAAUAAAGACCAAGAUUAGUCUUGGUUCUCUUCACUUUUUUGUUGGUGAGGGUUCACACAUUAUUCCUUAAUAUUGAAAAAUGUUGACAACUAUCAUUUUCAUUUCUCUGCUUUAGUAAUACUUUAUCGUACUGCAUUUCAUAUCAUAUUUCCUUUGAUGAAAUUGUUUCAUCAUUCUGAUGGCGUGCAUCACAUGAUUGAUGAAGUUACUUCUGAUCUUUAAAGUGAGCUGGCUGAUAAAGACCAAGUUUGUCUUGGUCGUCUUCACUUUUUUGCUGGUAAGGGUUCACACAUUAUUUGUUCAUAUUGAAAAUUUUAACAACUAUCAUUUUCAUUUGCCUGCUUUACUAACAUUUCAUCUCAUUGCAUUUCAUAUUAUAUUUCCACAGAUGCAAUCGUUUCAUCAUUUUGUUGGCAUGCAUCACAUGAUUGAUAAAGCUACUUUUGACCUGUAAAGUGAGCCAACCAACAAAGACCUAGUUAGUCUUGGUCGUCUUCACUUUUUUGCUGGCACAUUAUUGGUUCAUAUUGAAAACCUCCACUCAAUUCCAGCCCCACAGUCAUAGAUCCAUACCCAUCUUUUUCUUUAGAGAGAGAGAGAGAGAGAGAGAGAGAGAGAGAGAGAGAGAGAGAGAGAGAGACUUUUCUUCAUAGGUCUCACUCAAUCUCUAUCUAUUGUGUACAGUGGGUGCACAGUGUUGCCUCGCGCAUAAAAUAUAAGAAAAUUAGAAAUUUGCGCCCCCUAAUAUAGACAUAAUUACAAAUCCCAUUUGCCCAACUUAUUCUUUGCAUCCUAACUCUCACAUCUUACAUUUGUCUGUCAUAGUUACCACUGGCAAUACUUUCACCAAUUCAAGACAUCCGUAGAUAAGAGCAACUAAGAUAAAGUAAUAAAUAGAACGCGUGACUAAGAGAGUGCUAAUGAUCUUAUAACAGUGACAAUAUAAAUUGAUAGAGAUUAUAAGUUCGCUAGAUCAUAAAGUCAUUGUUAUCAUGCAACUAAACACUAUUUACACAUCUCUCCUCCUCAGCCGUAUAGUGUCUUGUCACUACCCUCUAGUGAUACCAAGCAACUGUCGGAUCCAUGAAAUAACCAGCACUACUGGUCGCUAGGUUGGAUUGACCGCUCAUCCCCUAUCUCCUGUCUUGGAUCUAUGUGCUUGUGGCCGUGUCUUGGAUCCAUGUGCUUGUGGCUGACAAAUCCAUUAAAAUCCUUUAUAAUACUGAGGGUUUUUUCUUUUCUUUUGAUAAAGUAUAUGAUUUUUUUCCACUGUUGAACGAAAUGUCAAUUGCUACUUCAUUUUUUUUUUUUUUUGUGAAUAAUGCCAGCUUAUAAAUUUUACAAUGGACAACACAGCAAAAUAAGAAGGGAACAAAAGUACCCUUCCCAUAUUUUUGACAAUUUUAAGCUCACGACUUGGCUAUAUAGAGUUGCAUUUCUAAAGCAUGAGAAGCAAUUUGCCUAUAAAGUUAAGGUGGGGCAAGAUGCUCUUAUCCAAAUAGGUGCAAUUAAGGGAUGGAACCUAAAUGACCAAGGACUGGCGAGAUACUCUACCAAGUCAUUCCUGAAAUCAAUAGCUUUUCUCCAUAUGAAAAGAGAAACAUUCAUUAGAGAGAGAUAAUAGUUAACAAAAAAAAUGAAAGAAAAUAUAUCAACACAAUGAAACAAAAAGAAAGUGCAUAAACCUUAAGCAUCAACAAAUUAAUAAAGGUUUGGAUGAUUUGUGGAGUGAUACAUGUGAGGUAGUCUGUUGGUUAUUGAUUUAGUAGUAGGAUUCAAACAUAAAGAAAAGAUACGUUGACAAAAUUUUUAUUUGGUCCACUGUCAGUAUAAAAAAUAAUUUACACUUCAUUGUAUAAUUAACAUGUUGAAAAGCUAUCUCGAAACACACACGUCACAUAUUGAAUGUUAAAUCCAUUAAAAAAAUUACAUUGGUAUUAAAAUAAUAAUACUCUUUAGCAAAUUAGGUAGAUGCUCAUUCAACAUUGAUAUAUAAAAAAUAUGAAUGGAAAUGAGAAUGGCGUGAACUCAAAGGUUUGAGAUACAAGCUUCGUCUUGAGCAAGAAAAGAACUUUUGUGUAUGAGAGAUCAUUCUAUACAUGAAGUAGAACGUAGUAAAAUUUAAUGUGAUUGCACGAUUUAUUCAAUUUUAAAAAGAAGAGGAAAUGCAAAAUACUUACUGGCCAUACUAUUUAAUAAAAACACCAUCUAAAUUACUAUUGAAAAUACAAAGAAAUGUGUCUAUUAGAACAUAGUAUCUUGAGAAGAGGUGUCUGCAUUUAUUUUAUUUUAAAAACAUAUUCAUCUCUACGGUGUUUGCUCCUUAUAUUUGUCAAGUUAUAUUUGGCGGUUGGUGCUAUUAGAGGGUGAGACAAAAAAGAGAACAUAUGAGAAAGAAUCUUUGUUACGAUUCUAACAAUUUAUUCAUGUUUAUCUUUAAUUGUGUUUCUUUUGCAUUUAGCAAAGAGUACUGAAAAUUGCUGUUAUUUGUGAUGAAGGUCUCUCUUGUUCGCCCCUUGUUUAUGUUGUAUGAGAUGCUCUGUCACGCAAUAGGUAACAUAUCUGAAUUCUGCAUUGUGUCAUCUGAGAGAUCAUAUAUUGGGCAGGCUUAUUCUCUUGUCGGUAUUCUUCAUGCUAGGAUGCUUCUACCUCUUAACCUGGCAGUGGCAGGAGGGCCUGUUCAUGUAAAUGCUAGGUAGUAUCACGAGAUUUUGAGACGAAGACAAGCACGUGCUAAGCUUGAAAAGAAACAUCAAAGUUAGAAAAGUGAAUUGCCUUUUUUUAUGCAUGUUGAUUUGGAAGCUCCUUCUGGACUUUGCCAGUAUAAAAAUUAAAUAUAAAGCUUUUUUUAUUAUUAUUAUUUGAAGCUAUUUUGCUCGUGUUUGUUUCCUUAGCAACAUGCUAGACUGUCAUUAAAUGCUAUUUUUAGGAAAUUCUAUUUUGUGGGAAAUAGUCUGACUGCAUACUUCAUCUUCAUUAUAGCUUUUGCAGCUAUAAUAGCAUUUAAUUCAUUGGGGAUAAACUCAAUUGUUAUCUUUUCUUUGCUCGUUCUCUGAUAUGGUGUCGUUUCUUUCUCUUGUCUUGGUUUAAUUGGAUCUAUAGCCGUAUCUUCAUGAGUCACGGCACCAGCAUGCCAUGAGAAGAGUCAGGGGAAGUGGAGGGCAGAAUCCAAGUAAUCUCAAGGCUUCGAACGAUGCAGCUGAAAGGAAGGGCAAAAACUCUGUUACGGCUCUAUCUUCCGAUUCUGCCAGUUCAUUGGCCUCUGAACCUUCAGCCCUUGACUCCUCGGAAACCUGGAAUUCAUCUAGUAAUCACAUGGCAAGAAGGUCGCAAGUAGGGGUGUCAAUAAUUUGAUUCGUUUCGAGUUUUUAGGAAAUCCAAAUUGAACCAAACCAUUAGGAUAAGCAGCUGAAUCGAACCAAAUUACAACUUGAACUGAAUAUGACCUGAACGAAAACCUAGUUUGGUUCGAUUCACUCAUUUGGUUUUCUCUUCUUCUUUUUCCAGUGGGAAAAUGCCUUUUUUUUUUCCUAAUUUACUUUUCUUGUGUUUGUUUUGUUUUUAUUUGGGUGGAGGCAAGGGACUAGACUAAUCUGGUCUAGAAAAAAUAGAAUAAAAGGACAGUUGAAGCAAUUUACAUAAUUAUGACCAAAAUCAAAGGGAAAAAAAUUGGAUGGUUAUUCAAUGUGUGUAAUAUGUAUUGUAAGAGUAAUUUGGGAGAGUUAAAGAUAAGAGGGAAGACACUUUAUCAUUUAGAUAACUCGAUUCACUUGCAAUUGCCUUUGUUGGUGGCCCCGUCAGUUCUUUUGAGUUUUGUGCUUAACAUGUAGUCGAGAUGGUGCCACAUUGAGCAAAGACAUUGCAUCUCCUUCAACUACUGCUUUGUAAAGCCACCUCUCUAUUUCACUCCAAUAUUAAUCCAAGCUUCGUAAUUGCAUUAUGCUUUCAGAAUUUGGCUCCAAGACGGCCACGAAAGUCAACUCCUUCCGAACAACAUCAACAUCCUUAACAGAACCUUUGUUUUGUUGACCACUGGAAAUUCUUUAAAUUUGUUGACCAUGCCAUUAGCCCGCAAUAUCGAUGACAUUAUUACUUCAUAUAUGGACACGAAUUAAUAUAGUUUUGAUUGGUGUAUAUCACGUAUAGGUAAAAGUUUGUGCAUUUUAGUCCACAGGUAUGUUGUUACCAAUAAAAAUAUAUAUUUAAAAGAUACAUAUGUGUUAGAUUCAUUGGACAUAUAAGCUUAUGCAUUCAAUUUAAUAUGUCCUUUAGCCUAUUGUGGUGCUCUGUCAUUGUUAAAGAUACCAAGUGUAUUUAAAAGUUAUGUCUAUGCUGAUCUAUAUAGGGUUUUUGGCUUGGUUUUUGGAUCCGAUAACGGUUGCGUGUACUUAUAAGAUGUCCAUUCUCUCCAAGGAUCAGGCUUUUGCAUGAAUUUUGAACCCAAUAGAACAUUACAGUUAAAAGAGUUAGAGUUCACAUUGGUAUCUCAGGGAAUGUAGCUCCCUAAUAUGGUCAACCAAAGAAUUUCCUUUGUGUUCGCCCACAAGUUGCAGUAAUCGAAGUUGCAUCUCCUUUGGUUUCUGCUUUGUAAAGCCUCCUCUUCAUUUUCGCUUCUUAAGCUUCGAAGGGAUCGGGCUUCAUAAUUGCGUUUUGUAGGUAGCACUUGGCUUUAAGAUAGUUGCGAAAGCGAAUUCCUUCUUCUAAAUCAAACAUUAACAUCCUUAACAAGAAGCAUCAUCCUAGUGACAUUGUAAAUUUUUCUAAAUCGUUGACCAAGUCAUAAGCCCAAAAAGAUAAUGACAAUAAUAAUAAUAAUAAUAAUAAUAAUAAUAAUAAUAAUAAUAAUAAUAAUAAUAAUAAUAAUAAUAAUAAUAAUAAUAAUAAUAAUAAUAAUAAUAAUAAUAAUAAUAAUAAUAAGGGUUUUUUUUUUUUUUUGGUAAAGGUAAAUAAUAAUAAAGCUUUGGACAAAAUACAAAAGACGGCGCCAAAGGCUUACACUCUAAGGAAGACCAAAGAGUGGAAGGGUGCCGUGAGAAAAGCCAAAGGCAAGCGGACCAAAAGGAGAAGAUCCACAGUUACAACACAAAAACCAGUACAACCACCAGACCUCCGCCAAACAUUCGAAGAACAAAGAAACGGAGUGAUGUUGAAGUUGUAGCGGAACGAGAGAAGAAGCGGGGAGACUAACGCCUGAGACGAUCUGUAAAGAUGGAGGGAUCAAGAUCCCAGCUUCUUUGGAGACGCCUUUUCUCGGAGUAUCCGGAACACUUGUGAAUGUAGUCGCUUUAUCUUUGACUAUCUUCAUAAGGUGGUUCUUCAAAGCAGGGACAACCAGUGCUUCCCCUCAGAAAAUAAUAUCAUUCCUUUUCUUCCAAAUCAAAUAACAAAGGCCACCGAAAGAAAAUCGCGCAAUCCGAUGGUAGAAAUCCUUACCGGAGAGCAACCUGAUCGCCCAAGCAAGGUUGUCCAUCCAUGGCCUCGAUUUCCAAGGUAAAUUGCAUCUCGUCUCCCAAAAAUAAGCAAGCGUGGCCGAGAUACGACAGUUGAAGAACAAGUGAUCAAUAGAGUCCGGAGUAGCAUUACAGUAUGCACAAGUACCCGAGACGAUUCUACCAGAAUGGAUUAGGAAUUCUUGGGUGGGUAAUCUGUUCUUGGUAAUCAACCACAAGUUAAAUUGAUUUCUAGGGACAAUAUCAGAGUUCCAAAUAAAGGAGUCCCAAGAAACUUUUUCCUUCUUUGUUCUAAUGAAAUCCCAUGCAGAGGCAAUAGAAAAGGAUCCGAAUGAGUGCUGAUUCCAAGUGAAACAAUCCGGUGCAUUAGUCUGAUCCGGGACAGAGAAACCACAGCUCUGAAGUGAACUCUUAAAUGCAUGACCGAGGGGGGAGAAUAAAUCUGCAACAACAGCAUGCUUAAGGAGACCCAACAAUUCAAUGAUGGAUGUCGGAAAUAAAAGAUCAAGGGGGCCAUCAGCGAGCCAUUGAUCAUGCCAUAAAGAAACCGAAAAUCCAUUACCAAUCUUCCAAGCGAAGCAAGACCUAAACUCUGUUCUUAAUUGCAAUAUUUUUUUCCAGGCCCAAGAACACGUAGAAGGUUUUGAGGCGAUCCAGAAAUUUUCCUUUUUUAAGAAAUUAGAAUGGAUCCAUCGACACCACAACGAUUCUUUAUCGGUGAAAAGGAUCCAUAUGUACUUAAGCAUGGCUGCUCUAUUGCAGUCUUUCAAAUUCCUUAUGCCGAGCCCACCUUCAUUUUUUGGGAGACAUAUGUCAUCCCACGCAACCUUAGCCCCACCUUUACCAAGUGCGGAUCCUUUCCAUAAGAAUUGUCUCAAAAUUGUUUCAAUACUAACCAGAACCGACGCCGGUAAGGUAAACACACUCGACCAAUAUGAUUGAAUAGAAUGGAGGACUAACCUGAUGAGCUGCAGUCUUCCAGCAUAUGAUAGAAAUCUUUGAGUCCAAGAUUGAGCCCUAGCAGUGAUCCGAUCAAUUAGAGCAAUACAGUGAACUUUUCGAAGUCUAGAAGAGAUGAUGGGAACCCCGAGGUAUCGCACAGGCAAGGUACCUUCUUGGAAUCCAAAGGCCAUUUGAAUAUAAUUGCGAAGAGACAGAGGUCCUCCAGACAUAAAGAUUUCGCUCUUGUUUCUAUUCGGGAUCAAGCCACUCCAUGAAGAGAAUAUAUCAAGGCCCUUUUUCAUUAAGGUGAUAGACGCCCAGUCAGCCCGGCAGAAAAGGAAAACGUCAUCCGCGAAAAAAAGAUGAGUCAGCCGAGUUGCCUUGCACCUCCAAUAGGGAUUGAAUUCCUUAAGAGAAGUCUGGGAGACUAGAAUUCCAGAGAAUACCUCCAUCACAAGUGUGAACAUAUAAGGGGACAUAGGAUCUCCUUGUCGUAGUCCUCUCCCUCCGGCAAAGAAUCCAUGAAGCUCUCCAUUGAUUGAAAUGGAAUAUUUGGGAAUCCGAACACAAGCCAUAAUCAAUCGAACAAAAACAUCAGGGAAGCCAAAUGCCGUGAGUGUCGAUUGAAGAAAAUCCUAGUCGAUAGUAUCAUAAGUCUUCUGGAAAUCCACUUUUAUCACACAUUUGGGGAGGUAAGGUUCCAAAUGAAACCCAGCAAAUAAUUCUUGAGCCAAAAGAAUAUUAUCUCUAAUCCUCCUCCCUUUGACAAAGGCGUUUUGAGAGUAGUCAACUAAGUUCCCAAGGACAACAGCUAAGCGAUUGGCUAAUAUCUUUGUAAUGAUUUUAUAAAUGAUGUUGCAACAUGCAAUAGGGCGAAAAUCCGAGACAUCGCAAGCAUUAGGGACCUUUGGAACUAAAGUGAGGAUGGUAUUAUUCACCUCUCUGAGCAGACAGCCUAAUGUAAAGAAUUCCUGAACUGCCUCUGUUACGAGCGGGCCAACAGUAUCCCCGCAUCUCUUGAAGAAUUCGGCAGUGAAUCCAUCAGGACCCUGGAGCUUUCCCCUUCGCUAAAGAGAAGACUGUUUCUCGAACUUCAGGGACUAGCACUGGUCUGGUUAGGUCACCGGCUUGGUCCACCGACAGGGGAUUGCGAAUGAACUUUCUUAACUCCUGCAGGGAAGGCUUGGAUACUCCAGGGUGAGAAGAAAGCAGAUCAGCAAAAAACGUUACAAAAACUUGGGGAACCACCUUAGGGUCAUCGAUAAAAGCACCCGAGGAGUCCUUCACCGUAAGGAUUCUGUUUGUAAGUUGUCUUUUCUUGACAGAAUAAUGAAAAAACUUUGUAUUUUGGUCCCCUUCCUUGAGCCAUCGGAUUCUCGAUUUUUGCCUAUAGAAGGAUUCUUCAUCUCUUCUCAAGUUAACAAAGAGCUUACGGCAAAUCUGCUCUGUAUGGCGAGGUCAAAAUCAUUAGGGUUGAGAUGAAGAUCAAGCUGAGCAGAGUGAAGAGCUUCCCUUGCUUCCUCUGUUCUUGCUGAAAUGUUUGAAUAUGUAUCUCUAUUUAAAAGUUUAAGCCGGCUCUUCAGAGUUUUGAGUUUAGAAACAAGCCUAAACAUAGCAAAUCCUCGAACUGGAAUAUCCCAUACCUGCUGCACAAUAAGGAAGAAGUCAGGGUGCUGUGCCCAGAAAUCAAAAUACUUGAAAGGCCCCCUCCUACGAAUCGGGUCAAUGACUCUGACUACCAUUGGGGAGUGGUCGGAGAUACCCAGGUUUAGGAAAGAGGCCUCGGAACAAGAUAAUUCCAUAUUCCAAGAGGUAUUAACCAAAACACGAUCUAUUUUCCGCAUUUUCCUACUUGCACCCGCAGAGGUGGACCAGGUAAACCUAAGGCCAAUGUACCUGAGGUCGUCCAACUCAGUUUGAGCUAGGCAGUUUGCAAACUCAUCAAAGUAUGGAAUCCAAGUAUCAAAACUACCAAAACGGUCAGAUGGAUCCUUGAUAGCGUUGAAAUCUCCUGCAACCAACCAGGGCGUGUCUUGCAUGAGGGCAUUUAUCCGAAUAAGAUCUUCCCAGAGUGGGCGACGGCGAAUAAAGGAGUGUUCACCAUAUAUAAUAGAAACGCAGCACGUCUUUGUAGACGAGAUAAUCCUCACACGGCCAUGCACAGCUUGAGCACUAACCGAGAUGGGAUCAUAAUUUAUAUAGUGUGGGUUCCAACCAACCCAUAUUCUUCCAUGAGGGGAAUGUUCAUAAUUCGUGAUCCAUUUCCAGCCAUUCAGCAAAAAGGAGGAUAGGGAAUCAGAAGUAUCCUCAGGGACUUUGGUCUCAAUGAGCCCAAUCAAGCACAGAUUAUGAGAAGUGACAAGCUUCCGCACUUCAGCCCAAGUAACGGAAUUCAUAAGGCCUCUAACGUUCCAGGCAGCUAUAUACAUAAUUACAAAAGAAGGGGAAGAGGGUUACCUCUUUCUAGAACCCUUAUUCCUACCCACCGUCAGAGGAGGAUCCGUAAUAGGAGGAGGGUCCGGGCAUAGCAGCAGCAGCUCAUCCUGCAUUGUCACAGCUGGGGUAGUAGAGCGAGGGUCUUUCGGUGGGAGAGAGUCUACCGAAAGCAGGUCUUCAUCUUCUGUCUCUUCCUGGAAGCUGGGAUUGACAAUCUCAUCUGAAUAAUGAGGUACUAACAAAUGAGGAGCAAUUGCUUUCCCUUUAGCCGAUAUAGAGGGGCCGUGACCAGCUUUAGAGGGUGCUGCACCCGCACCAGCAGACUUCCGAGAUGCUGGUGCAACUCUCACUCUCCUUAAAACAAAGUCUUUUAGCUUCAACGAUUGGCCUCCUUCACCAAAAGGAGCUGAGCUGGAGGAGCAGCCCUUUUUUGUGAAAGGNNNNNNNNNNNNNNNNNNNNNNNNNNNNNNNNNNNNNNNNNNNNNNNNNNNNNNNNNNNNNNNNNNNNNNNNNNNNNNNNNNNNNNNNNNNNNNNNNNNNNNNNNNNNNNNNNNNNNNNNNNNNNNNNNNNNNNNNNNNNNNNNNNNNNNNNNNNNNNNNNNNNNNNNNNNNNNNNNNNNNNNNNNNNNNNNNNNNNNNNNNNNNNNNNNNNNNNNNNNNNNNNNNNNNNNNNNNNNNNNNNNNNNNNNNNNNNNNNNNNNNNNNNNNNNNNNNNNNNNNNNNNNNNNNNNNNNNNNNNNNNNNNNNNNNNNNNNNNNNNNNNNNNNNNNNNNNNNNNNNNNNNNNNNNNNNNNNNNNNNNNNNNNNNNNNNNNNNNNNNNNNNNNNNNNNNNNNNNNNNNNNNNNNNNNNNNNNNNNNNNNNNNNNNNNNNNNNNNNNNNNNNNNNNNNNNNNNNNNNNNNNNNNNNNNNNNNNNNNNNNNNNNNNNNNNNNNNNNNNNNNNNNNNNNNNNNNNNNNNNNNNNNNNNNNNNNNNNNNNNNNNNNNNNNNNNNNNNNNNNNNNNNNNNNNNNNNNNNNNNNNNNNNNNNNNNNNNNNNNNNNNNNNNNNNNNNNNNNNNNNNNNNNNNNNNNNNNNNNNNNNNNNNNNNNNNNNNNNNNNNNNNNNNNNNNNNNNNNNNNNNNNNNNNNNNNNNNNNNNNNNNNNNNNNNNNNNNNNNNNNNNNNNNNNNNNNNNNNNNNNNNNNNNNNNNNNNNNNNNNNNNNNNNNNNNNNNNNNNNNNNNNNNNNNNNNNNNNNNNNNNNNNNNNNNNNNNNNNNNNNNNNNNNNNNNNNNNNNNNNNNNNNNNNNNNNNNNNNNNNNNNNNNNNNNNNNNNNNNNNNNNNNNNNNNNNNNNNNNNNNNNNNNNNNNNNNNNNNNNNNNNNNNNNNNNNNNNNNNNNNNNNNNNNNNNNNNNNNNNNNNNNNNNNNNNNNNNNNNNNNNNNNNNNNNNNNNNNNNNNNNNNNNNNNNNNNNNNNNNNNNNNNNNNNNNNNNNNNNNNNNNNNNNNNNNNNNNNNNNNNNNNNNNNNNNNNNNNNNNNNNNNNNNNNNNNNNNNNNNNNNNNNNNNNNNNNNNNNNNNNNNNNNNNNNNNNNNNNNNNNNNNNNNNNNNNNNNNNNNNNNNNNNNNNNNNNNNNNNNNNNNNNNNNNNNNNNNNNNNNNNNNNNNNNNNNNNNNNNNNNNNNNNNNNNNNNNNNNNNNNNNNNNNNNNNNNNNNNNNNNNNNNNNNNNNNNNNNNNNNNNNNNNNNNNNNNNNNNNNNNNNNNNNNNNNNNNNNNNNNNNNNNNNNNNNNNNNNNNNNNNNNNNNNNNNNNNNNNNNNNNNNNNNNNNNNNNNNNNNNNNNNNNNNNNNNNNNNNNNNNNNNNNNNNNNNNNNNNNNNNNNNNNNNNNNNNNNNNNNNNNNNNNNNNNNNNNNNNNNNNNNNNNNNNNNNNNNNNNNNNNNNNNNNNNNNNNNNNNNNNNNNNNNNNNNNNNNNNNNNNNNNNNNNNNNNNNNNNNNNNNNNNNNNNNNNNNNNNNNNNNNNNNNNNNNNNNNNNNNNNNNNNNNNNNNNNNNNNNNNNNNNNNNNNNNNNNNNNNNNNNNNNNNNNNNNNNNNNNNNNNNNNNNNNNNNNNNNNNNNNNNNNNNNNNNNNNNNNNNNNNNNNNNNNNNNNNNNNNNNNNNNNNNNNNNNNNNNNNNNNNNNNNNNNNNNNNNNNNNNNNNNNNNNNNNNNNNNNNNNNNNNNNNNNNNNNNNNNNNNNNNNNNNNNNNNNNNNNNNNNNNNNNNNNNNNNNNNNNNNNNNNNNNNNNNNNNNNNNNNNNNNNNNNNNNNNNNNNNNNNNNNNNNNNNNNNNNNNNNNNNNNNNNNNNNNNNNNNNNNNNNNNNNNNNNNNNNNNNNNNNNNNNNNNNNNNNNNNNNNNNNNNNNNNNNNNNNNNNNNNNNNNNNNNNNNNNNNNNNNNNNNNNNNNNNNNNNNNNNNNNNNNNNNNNNNNNNNNNNNNNNNNNNNNNNNNNNNNNNNNNNNNNNNNNNNNNNNNNNNNNNNNNNNNNNNNNNNNNNNNNNNNNNNNNNNNNNNNNNNNNNNNNNNNNNNNNNNNNNNNNNNNNNNNNNNNNNNNNNNNNNNNNNNNNNNNNNNNNNNNNNNNNNNNNNNNNNNNNNNNNNNNNNNNNNNNNNNNNNNNNNNNNNNNNNNNNNNNNNNNNNNNNNNNNNNNNNNNNNNNNNNNNNNNNNNNNNNNNNNNNNNNNNNNNNNNNNNNNNNNNNNNNNNNNNNNNNNNNNNNNNNNNNNNNNNNNNNNNNNNNNNNNNNNNNNNNNNNNNNNNNNNNNNNNNNNNNNNNNNNNNNNNNNNNNNNNNNNNNNNNNNNNNNNNNNNNNNNNNNNNNNNNNNNNNNNNNNNNNNNNNNNNNNNNNNNNNNNNNNNNNNNNNNNNNNNNNNNNNNNNNNNNNNNNNNNNNNNNNNNNNNNNNNNNNNNNNNNNNNNNNNNNNNNNNNNNNNNNNNNNNNNNNNNNNNNNNNNNNNNNNNNNNNNNNNNNNNNNNNNNNNNNNNNNNNNNNNNNNNNNNNNNNNNNNNNNNNNNNNNNNNNNNNNNNNNNNNNNNNNNNNNNNNNNNNNNNNNNNNNNNNNNNNNNNNNNNNNNNNNNNNNNNNNNNNNNNAAUUUAGCGGAUGGUAUAUUAGUCACAAAUUUAUUAGUUUGGGGUUUUUUGUGGUUGAAUAAAUUAGUUUGGGAUAAAUUUGUCAUAAAUGUACCAGUUUAGAGUUUUUUUUUUAUAGUUAGUCAGGGUAAAUUUGUCACAGGUGUACCAUUUUUGGAUUUUUCAUGGUAAAAAAAAUAGUUUGGAGUAAAUUUGUCACAAGUGUACAAAUUUGGGGUUUUUCAAGGUAUUAACCCAUGACAAAUCUACCCCAAACUAUUUUUUUAAUCACCGAAAACCCCAAACUGGUACACAUUCGACAAAUUUACCAUAAAUUGAUACACUUGUGACAAAUUUACUCUAUGUUAGUUUUAGUUAAAUUUUCUUGUUAAAUUAUAAAGUUAAAUGACACGUGACAAUUGAUCGGUAUACCAAUUUGGGAUUUUACACUAUGUUUGUCAUAGUUUACAAUUUUUGUGAUUUUUUUGUGGUAUUAAUCUAAUUUAGUGGAUGGUAUAUUAGUCACAAAUUUAUCAGUUUGGGGUUUUUUGUGAUCGAAUAAAUUAAUUUGGGGUAAAUUUGUCAUAAAUGUACCAGUUUAGAGUUUUUUUUUUUUUUUUUUAUAGUUAGUCGAGGUAAAUUUGUCACGGGUGUACCAAUUUGGGAUUUUUCGUGGUCAAAAAAAUAGUUUAGGGUAAAUUUGUCACAAGUGUACCAAUUUGUGGUUUUUCAAGGUAUUAACCCAUGACAAAUCUACCACAAACUAUUUUUUUGAUCACCAAAAACUCCAAACUGGUAUACAUUUGACAAAUUUACCCUAAACUGAUACACUUGUGACAAAUUUACCCUCUGUUAGUUUUAGAUAAAUUUUAAAGUUAAAUAACAUGUGACAAUUGAUCGGUAUACCAAUUUGGGAUUUUACACUCUGUUUGUCAUAGUUUACAAUUUUUGUGAUUUUUUGUGGUAUUAAUCUAAUUUAGCGGAGGGUAUAUUAGUCACAAAUUUAUCAGUUUUGGAUUUUUUGUGGUCGAAUAAAUUAGUUUGGGGUAAAUUUUUCAUAAAUGUACCAAUUUAUGGUUUUUUUUAUAGUUAGUCGGGGUAAAUUUGUCACAAGUGUAUCAGUUUGGGAUUUUUUAUGAUCAAAAAAAUAGUGUGGGGUAAAUUUGUCACAAGUGUACCAAUUUAGGGUUUUUCAAAGUAUUAACCAUAAUAAUAAUAAUAUGACAAGAUUAAUUCAUAUAUCGACGGCAAUGAAUGUAGUUUUGAGUGGGGUAUAUGAUUUGGAGAUAACAAUAUAUGCAUUUUAGUCUACAAGCACACGGUCACUAGCAAAAAGUAAAAUUUUUCCUCCAAAAAAAUGAAUGAAUUUAAAAGUUAUGUAUGUGCUGAUUUUUUUCUAGCAUCCUUUGGCUCAUGGAUUACUGUUCUUAAUGAGAAAUUAUCAUUCAUGAGAAUAGUAUAUAUACUAAACUGAAUUUUGAUAUGGAUAUAAUGAUGAGUUCUACGUGAAUCUUGCUCCAGCGGAUCUAAUAGCUCAAUUGAACUUAAUGAACAUAUUGGCCACUCGAAGUGCCUGCUCAUUGCUAUGCAGCUUUUAUUUAUCAUCCUUGGAAUUCAAUUAUUUAUCCAUCAUGUGAUGUUUGUACUCGUUUGUGGAAAAUGUGAUCCAUCUUUAUCAUUCCGCACACAUUGGAACUUUCCUAGACACUCCAACUUUUCCGAACCUAAUGAAUAUAUGUGGCCCAUUCCUCCAUUAUUCAUGUACCUCCUCCACUUUUUUGUGGGACCAUCGACGAUGGUUGGUUAAUAACUCAGGAAAUUGGAGCGCUUGAGGAUGUAAUUCAACUAAUAUCAAACUACUAAAUGAUUCAAUCUGUCAAAUCAAUACUUUAAAAGCUCAAUUGUUUAGUGACAAUGCUAUCAAGAACUGACUCAACAUUUACUCCUGGUUCGUGAUAGACAUGUACAUAUUAUAUGCCUGUGUUGGUAUAACUGCACAUCACUAGUCUAGGAGAGAUCUGACCCCAAAACACAUGAAGGACGAGGCGAGUCAUUUGCAUUGCAUUGCUUGACCUUGACUUGUUCACGCUCUCACCCACGGCCAUUUAAAAUGUCUUAUAAACAAUAUUUUUAUUUUUCGUUAAAGAAAUUUUUUUUUUUUGCUAAUGUUUUCAAUUGGAAUGUUGCAAAAAUCGAUAGUAAUUUUGAUUUAUCUUUUUGAUACCUAUAAAAUGUCUUAAAAUAUAAGUUUCAUUCUUCAUUUUCAUUUCGAUAUUCUACUAGAUUCUUUUUUAUAUUUUAAUUUAGCUUAAGCCAUUAAGUCAUUGACAUGUUACGAGGUAGUUAAAAGUAAUUUACGCAACUAUCUAAUUAUAUGGACAGAUGGUGAUAAUUAACUGAGUGACACUUUUAAUCGACCAAAUGCAAUCUAGAAUCAUUCAAAAUGUGGGUAUAAGCCUAAUUUGAAGCUGUAGGAUUUUAAUCAAUUUAUGGCAAAUCUAACAAAAUGGCUAUUGCAAUAACAAACCAAAACUUGUUCUCUAGUUUUAGCUUGACCACAAAGUGAUUAAACUUUCACUAAACAAAUUUUUCAAGAUGGAUUGGGGUUGAAUGUGUGUUUUAAGAUGUGCCAACUUUUGAGACCAAAAUAUGACGUAGAAAAUAUUACUUCAACUCAAAUGACCGGGAAACUAAAGUACGUGAAAGGUAAAGUGCGAAGAUUGAAAUUGAAGGAAAUUGAAAGGAAAAUUCUGGAAUCAAAGGAAAUCAAAAGAAAAUUAGAGCGAUGACCACUAAAAUUAAAAUGAAAGUGCAAACGCAGAAAAAGAAAUCACUAAGAAACUUCACCAAAAUUGAAAUAUCCUCAAAGUUACAAGCACAUUGAUGCUAAAUUGCAAACAUUGAAAUGAAAGCUACACUAUCAUUCUCAAUGCACAUGAAGAAUAACAAACUCUAAAUCUAAAACUGAAAUUGAAAUACGUUAGUUCAACAUAGGAAAUACUCCAGAAGGAAAUUUGGCGAAGUUUUGGCAUAGCUUGACGGACCCCUCUUUCUCUGAGUUCUUUUUAUUUAUACUCCCUGGAUUUGGUUUGAUGAUAAUUGGAAUUCAUGUGUGAUCCCCUCUCUAAUUGUUCCAUAUUUCCAUGUUUUUUUCCACGAUUUUGCUAAAAUUAUUUCCACGAUUUUACUAACUCCCAAGAUAAUAAUUGUGUGCUGCAAUAAAUUGCCAUUUUAUUCAUGACAAAAUCUAAUUUUGCAACCACUCCAGCUCUUAACUCAAACAAGUCGAGGUACUCUUUUCUUAAUUUGAUCAAAAUGAUAACCAAAACACCUCAGAUCAACAUGAGGUCACGCAAUUUUCAGAUGAAACUAAACUAGAUAAGCUCCAAAUCGAAGUUCGGCUCAGUAUGACUUGAUGCUUCAAAUUUCUCUCCUCUCCUAACUCAUAGAGAUAAUUGAAUAACUCCUACGGUAUCCCAGACAUAGANNNNNNNNNNNNNNNNNNNNNNNNNNNNNNNNNNNNNNNNNNNNNNNNNNNNNNNNNNNNNNNNNNNNNNNNNNNNNNNNNNNNNNNNNNNNNNNNNNNNACCACCAACGGAAGCUAAAGAAUACUGCUGUAAAAAUUCCUAAAAGAGGUAGUGUUAAAAAGGUAAGAGUACCAAUGAGAAUCUCGAUGAAAUUGUUUCAUCAUUUUGAUGGCAUGCAUCAUGUGAUUGAUAAAGCUACUUUUGAUAUUUAAAGUGAGUCAACCGACAAUGACCCAGCUAGUCUUGGUCGUCUUUACCCUUUUACCGGCGAAGGUUCACGCGUUAUUAAUUCAUAUUGAAAACCUCUCACUUAGUUCUAACCCCACAGAUCCACCUUUCUCUUUGGAGUCUUUUCUUUUUUGGUCUUACUCAAUCUCUCGUUAUUGUGUAUCACAAGUGCACAGUGUUAGUACACACGUAAAAAAUUAGAAGAAUUAGAAAUUUGCCCAGCCUAUCAUAGAAUUAAUUACAAAUCCCAUCCCCCAAGUUACUCUUUACAUCCUAAGUCUAAUGUCUUUACAUUUGUAUGUCAUAAUAACGAGGAAAAAAGUUGCAAAAAAAAAAAAAAAUCAAAUCAAGCUCAUUAUGACACAUUUAAUCCAAAUUUAUAUUUAUUUGACACAUUUACCAUUUCUCAAAGUUCCAUUAGAUGAUUUUUCAAUCAAAUCGACGUCAUUUUUAUCUCAUUUAAGCCUCGUGUGCAUCAUAUCAACAUCGUUUACUUGUUGGCGUCUUUGUAGGUAGAUUUUUAACAACUCUCAUCGAUUGAACUUUGAUAGGCGGUAAAUGUAUCACACGGUUAUGAGUUUCAGAUUUUUGGUGUUACAAAAAAAAAUGUUUAGAGUAUAUGUGUCACAAUAGGCAUAAUUAGACUUUUUUUUGUUGCUUUUGCCCUAAGAACCACUAGCAACACUUCUACAUAUCUCAUAGUUAGAGCCGUUAAACGGGUGGGUCGGGUCGGGUUUGGGUCGGGUCAUUAAUGGUCCGACCCAAAUUGACCCAUUAACCCAUUUAUGACCCAUUAAUGUUUAAUGUAAAUUUUUCGACCCAAACCCGACCCGACCCAUACCCAACCCAUACCCGACCCGACCCAACUCAUAUUAAUGNNNNNNNNNNNNNNNNNNNNNNNNNNNNNNNNNNNNNNNNNNNNNNNNNNNNNNNNNNNNNNNNNNNNNNNNNNNNNNNNNNNNNNNNNNNNNNNNNNNNUUCCAAAUACUGUUUGCAUAUCUCUCCUCCUUGGCCACAUAGUCUCUGGUUGUUACCCUCUAAGUGACGCUAAUCCCCUGUUGAACCAUGAUGAUCACCGCCAUCAUCUAUCAUUGUGUAAGGAUGAGCAUGAUUCUAGAGUCAGACAGAAAUCAGAGAAUCGAAUUUGUGAGAACUGAUUCGAUUCUGGGUUUUAGAGCGAGAGAGGUCAAUUUUCGGUUUCAUUUUUUUAAGAACCGCCAGUUCCCGAUCCGGUUUGGUUUUAUAGAAACCGAACCGAGAACUUGAACCGGGAAGGGAACUGGACCGGAAACCCUGAAUCCCUGAUUAUAUAAUUAUACUCUCCCGUUCCCCAACUCAAUUCCAUUUCUCUCCACUUUCACCUCUGUCUCUCCUUGCACGACGUUGAGCCCUUGCGCGACGCUGCGUCUCAUCUCUGUCACGCUGCUUCUCCGACUCACUUCGUUUCCACUUCUCCAUCGUCGCUGUCGCGCUAAGCCCUUCGCUUUGCUGUCACCACUGCCAGCCGCUGCUAAAGAUCCGAGGAGUUCAGUGAAGUCACAGUGAGUCUCAACUCACACUCCCACUCACCGAGUCGCAGUGAGCGAGCGACCAAGUGGGACUGGAAAUUUAAGCCCUUCUUCAUCAUCUUCUUCUCUUCUUCUUUUAUUCCCCACGCUUUCUUGUCUCUUUUAAGAUCGACCUCGACCUCCAUUAAUUCCUCUCCCUCCUCAGACCAAAACCACGAAAAUUGCAUUACCUGCGCCCCCCUCUCUUUCUCUCACUACAGCAACCAUCAUCCAGCAGGUAAGCUUGUUGCUGGAUCUGCUCGAUUUCGUGCUUAAUUCGAUUGCUGAAUCUGCGUGUGUGCGUACAAUUACGUGUGUGUUUUGUUUGUCAAAUUGGCUUGAGGCUGGUUUUGUAUGUUGCCGGCCUUUGUUGCUGCUGAUUUUGCGUUUCGAUUGGUUCUGAGUGCUCGGGAUCAAGGCCUGGAGUUAUUUCGAUUGUUGCCUUCUUUAGCUCGAUGCUUGGCUACGAUUGGUCUAGGGCUUUCGUUAAUAGGCUCAAUCGGAUAUGUUGCUUUGUUAAGAUGAUUGACUGCACGAUUGUUGGUACUUGGAUAUUUUUGAAUUCAUGAUGGAUGACCAAUGUUGAGCUCGAAUGAGUACUUCCUUAAAGGGUGCUAUCUGGUGAUUUUAGGCAACUGAUUUGUAGAACCUUGGGGUAUGGUCGAUGAGAUUAUCUGCUCAACAUCUAGUGAUCUUGAGCAACUGACUAUUCGAGUGAAGCUCCCUGAUUUGGCCAAGAGCUAGGAUAAGAGAUGGAAGGAUCUUGGUCAUUUGCUUGUCAUGCAGUACUGAGUAGAUUUCUUCAAUAAGUUUACAUUUUCCCUUUCCUUUCCAAUUGUUGUUUGGCUGGUUUUGUGGGCUGGAUUCACCUCUGUCCCAAGGCACAAUUUGUCCUGAUUGCCCUGGAGUUUCUGGGAUGAAAUCAUUUUCAUGCUGUAGUUGGUGUAUUAGAUGCAAGAAAAUGCUACAUUGGCUUGAAAUUUGUUUUGCUGUUUUGUAAAUGUUUGAUUUUUAUUUUGAAAUUUCUAAUGAUGUUGUGCAUAUGUGAAGUUGACAUAUCAAGAUAAGAUUCCCUAGUAUCCCAAGUAUCUUUGUUGUUCAUGGCGUCCAAACUAUUGUCACUGGAUUAGGAUAUCAGUCCACUCGAUGGAUGCUUGUUGAAAGGUACCCCAAAAGCUGUUUAGUUCUCCUGCAGGCUUACUUCUUGCUGUCAUAUUUCUUUCCUUUUUCCUGCAUCCCAUUUUAUUCGUUGUCCUGGAUAUUUUCUUGAUUGACAUGUUAGUCCCUCGUGAAUUCUAUUGCGUAAGUUUAAUGUAUAAUAUCAAACCACUUGGUUAAGGAAGACACUAAGUUUCCACGAGAUAGGACUUGCCUAUCACUUCGGCAACGUUUUGUUUGUUAUACUUUAUCUUGUUAUUUUAUCUUCAUUAGCCAGUACUAUUGUUUUAUAAUCUUAUAGGUGAAAAUUAACAAUAUCUUUCAAGAAUGUCACGACUUCUCAUUUUAAUUGUAUUUAUUUCAACUGUAAUGCCAGGAAAACUGUCUUUGUAUUCUCUUUGGUGAAUGACGAGCUUGUUUAGUACUCAUAGACCAAAAACGCUCCAGAGGUUCCUUAUUUGGUUGACUGAAUCAAUAAGAAGCUUUUAUUUUUAUUGUUGUCUUCAUUUUUGUUUUGCUUAACAAAAAAGGAAAAAAAGAAAAAAGAAAAAAAGAAGAAAAGAACUUGUUAGAUCCAAGAUCUAUAAUAGGGUACCAGGUUUAAACGGGUGGGUUUUAGGUUCCAAAAAAUGAGGAACCUGUACCUGAUGGUAGGUUCUAGGUGGAAUGUUAGAUUAGAAAUAUACAAGUAAAUUUGAUUUUAAACUGAGCCAGCCAAGUUUAAGGUAUUACUACUCAUUUGCCUAGUUCAUAUCCAAUAUCUCGGCUCAUUUCUUAGCUAGGGCACACCACACUAACCUCAUUUUCUCUUCAGGAGAGAGAGAUAUCUGGAAAUUAAUAAGCUUCCUAAUUAUGGCAAACUCAGAGGCUGGAACCAGCAAUGAUGCUGUACCGGCAUCAGGAAGUGAGUACCAAGUGUUCUUGAGUUUUAGAGGGCCUGACACUCGUGAUGGAUUCACAGACUUCCUCUAUCACAACUUGUUAGAUGUUGGAGUCCAUGUAUUCAGGGACGAUGAUGAACUUCGCGUUGGUGAGGUAAUUGGCGAGAACCUAUUAAGUGCUAUCAAUAACUCUAUAAUCUACAUACCUGUCUUCUCUCGGACUUAUGCUUCCAGUAAAUGGUGUCUGUGGGAGCUUGCACAUAUAGUG
rnacentral:lncRNA from 1 species